rnacentral:lncRNA from 1 species
UUUAUACACCUACGUGACGUGAGCAUUCAAUAAUCAUCCUACACAUAUGCUGAUGUGAGCAUUCAAAAUCAUUAGAAUGAUUUAAUUGAAGACUCAACGUACGGACGUCUUUUUCACUUAGAUUCCCUUCCCGUACAAACUUGCAUCAGUUCCUCCACGACCCCAUCAAUCUCUUCAUCCUCUUUCUUGUUCAUGUUGUCUCUUAUUUUCAAUGCCUUUUUUCUCACUCCCUCUCCAAUUUUCUCCACAAAAACAUCUCUAAUCACCUUUGCGACCUCUUCUCUUUGCAAACUUCCUUCACCUGUUCUCUUAACCUCAACACCAACACCCACCUCCUCCACUAGUCUAGCGUUGAUCGGCUGGUCAAGAUGCAUAGGCAUGGCUAUAAUUGGAACACCAAACUUGAUGCUCUCCAACACUGAGUUCCAUCCGCAGUGACUCACAAACCCCCCAACACUAGAAUGCUGCAGUAUCUUUGCCUGUGGGGCCCAACCCUCCAUUAUCACUCCCUUCUCUCCCACCCUCUGUAAAAACCCUUCUGGUAACACCUCUUCAACCCUAGUAUUUUUCUCCUCCUUAGAAAAUCUUAUAACCCAAAUGAAGCUCACUUUGCUAAGCUCUAAUCCGUGAGCUAUCUCUUCUAUUUGCUCCUUGGACAGAAAGUACUCACUGCCAAAGCAUACAUACACUACAGAAGACCUUUCCAUUUUGUUCAGCCAUUUCAUGAUCCAUGUUUCCUCAUCAACUUUUUGAUCCACUGGCUCUUGAACAAGCGUGCCAACAGGCACGAUCUUUUUCCCCAUUAAAUCAGAGAGAUAAUCAAUAUAUUUUUCUUCAAUCCCCCUGGAUGUCUUUACCAAAAUGAUGUUACAAGAUCGAGCACUGCAUUGCUGAACACGGUCUCCAUCUUUGAUGCCAUUUGCUGAAGAUUCCAACACGUUGUUGAACUUUUCAGCUUCGUAAUCUUGAAGAUAAAUCGAAGGAAAAGGAAACUUGACACUAGGGUUCUUGAGAUGUUGAAUACUAAAUGAAGUAAAGGCAGCACCCAUGGUGAUGAAUUCGAUGGAUGGAAAAUUUUGCAAUGAAGCUAGAGAGGGCGCCCAUGGUUGAAGAAAAUCAUAUAUGAGCAAAUCUGGGCUUAGGGUUUUGAGGAUGUUGGAGAAGUUGUUGCUGGACAUAUCAAAGGCCCUUUUGAGAGUGGACAUGAGAUGGGGAGGGAGGCCAUUGGUGGUAUGGUAGUGAGGUGGGAGUUCAGGCAAGUCAUCAUGUGGAAGAUGGAGUUCCACAAAUUCAAUGCAAUGAGAAUAUUUUUGGGAGAGUUUAGGCUUGAUGGAGCUGAGAUUUACAGGCGUGGAACAAAUAAAGAUGUGAAAAUUUCUCUUGGUGGUCAGCUUCUUGGCUAGCUCUAGGUAGGGAGAUAUAUGGCCGUGAGCUAGCCAUGGAAGCAUAAGAAUAGUAAGUUUUCUUUGGUCAGAGUAAACCAUAUUUUGUUUUCCUUUCACUCUUUUGCUUGAGGUUGCUCGAUUAUAGGCUUAUUGGUAGUUUUUUUGUAGCUAGCUCUAUGCAUAUAUAUAUAUAUAUACACACACAUUCAUGGGAAAAGAGGCUUGGGGAUGGGAAAUCAAUUGAUUUCCUAUGUUUGGUAAAGUUCGGGUAUGAGAAAUCGUUGCUUUGCACAUGAGAAAGUAGAGGGGAAAGUGAAGCCCUCCUCCUUCCUUAGGUUUUGUUUUCCUCCUCAUGGGAAAGUUUGGGAAAAUGAGCUAAUAUUAAAUACAUAUUUUUCAUGACCAUAUUAUCCCCAUUAAUAAUUUAGAAUUACAUAAAUGCAUUCUAUUUUUAUUUGAUUUCAUAUGGGUAUAAUUGAAAAAUUAAACAAAUUUUGUUUUACAUUCCUACACAAACCAAACAUGUGAAAGGAAAUAAAGUGGUAUUUCUUGGUUACUUUCCCAAGAUUACCAAACAUAGGAAAGGAAUCUCUAUUUCCCAUCCCUUAGAAAAUGACUUGGAAAGUAAUUUCUCCUCAAAUUCGUUCCGUGAACCAAACGGAACCUGCAUAAUAGAAGUUCCAAAAAAACACGUGAUGAUUGGAUCAUGCAUAUGUAAGUUCCCGAGUGAUGAUUGGAACAAGUUCCUAAUGAUAAAGACUCGAAACAAGAAUAGUUUAAACUUUCUUCUUUGUUUGGCUUGAUAUAAGACGAAUGCACCAAACAAACCGACUAAUUGCUGGCACAAUAUAAAUUGGGGCUACAAUUACCUAAUAAUUAGGUACUAAGGGCUACAAUUACCUAAUAAUAUCAACUUUCAUUAUACAGAUUUGAGAAACAAAAAGUUCAACUUUGAUGACAAGCGAUAUUAAAGGAGGGCGUAAUCAAACUUAGGAUCUUGAGUGUAGAAAUAAAUACUUUUAACAACUUGAGCUACAAGCCUUUUGUAAUAUUAAUGAUAUUUUAAUUAUACGUUUGAAUAGUUCGCUUCCUUCUCUUUUAUUUUCAUUUGUUUAUAUUUAACUCUAAUUUUAUUUAUAUUUUUGGUCAAGGUAAAAAGACUUUGAAUCUCUCUCCAAUGAUUUUCACAGCCGAAACUCCUUUAGUUUCCACAAAUAUUUUUUAAUAUUUCAUGCAUUUGUAAGUUUCCGACUCGGAUGGUUCAUGUAACCAAGAAGUUUAAACUUGUUUUUGCUUGUUCCGCCGACGAAAGCGCAACAAAAGGACAAACUACAACCAAUACUUCUAGUAUCACCAGUUCUCAUUGAAUUUGUUGCCGUGAAUGUUUAGGAUUCUGCCCAAACUAGUAUUUGCGUUUCUGAAUUGUUUGAAAACACAUAUGAAAUUAUGAUUUCUCCUCCCCAGAAGACAAAUUGACGAAGAAGUAUCAUGAUUUUGAUGACACAAAUUAGAAUCCAGGGUUUUCGAAGUGCCUAAUGGACAACUAUUAAUUUAGAAAUAUAUAUAUUUUUUUCGCAAUGCAGAAACACAUAAAUCCCAAGUUUGAAUUCAUCCUAUUUUUGUUUUUGUUUUUUCCUUUUUUAACCCAGAAGAAAAAUUGAGUGCCACUCUGCUAUGUAGAAUGCAAGUUUUAGUUUAGAUUUUUUUUUCUUUUUAGUCUCUUAUUCUACAUUUAGAUCUCAUAUAUUUACUCGCAUUUUAUUAAAUCUAAGUCAUUCAAACAAUCUGACCACUUAACAAAUUACAAGUACUCAAACUUAAAAUCAGAUUGGAUGGACAUGAGGCUUACACUGAUGAUUCUACACGUGCUGAGAAUAGUCCUUUUAUUUCUUUAUUAUUUUCUUGGUCGGGACUCGAGAGACAGGUGUAGUGUAGCGAUGGAGACGAGGCCCGCAAGACAUAAAAGUCUGAAGAAGAGAAGCGUGAAAGCUUCAUUUAGACAGUUAAGUGCAUACGUAACGUAAAGAUUCAAAGACUAUGUCCCUCUCCAAACAGGGAAAGAUCUGAGUUGAAAGCAACAAACUACAGUCACAAUAGGAAAGCAUCUACAACGUAAAGAAAAUAAGUUUACCAGAAGCAUCGGAAAGAUCUAGAGUCUGAAGAAGAGAUACUGAAGUAAUUGUUCAUCGACUGAGCUUAAAUGAAAUAUUAACUCUUUGUUGUGCCAUAAGCACAAGAUCUUAAGAAAAAAAUUCAAGAUAAACCAUAUAAUAUUUUCUAACCCACAAAAUAAUAUAGAAAAUAAAUGCAAGAACAAGAGAAUAGCAAGACACAACGAGGCUGCUUACAAUCAGUGUAAAUGAGCAAACAAAUUCACCAUCAACAAAUUAGCAUGCUUAUGAAGUGUUUUGCAACCUCACAAACCAAGGCGCCAUAUACACCAAAUGACUCUCACUGAAAAACUAAACAAAGAAACACACUCACACUAAUGAAAGCAACGUUACAAGGUAGGAGAUUGAAUAUUACAUUUACAAUACACUCAUAAGUUACAAAAACUAAUUACAAAUAUUUAGCGCAUAGGUUACAUAGAACUGAAAGGGUGGAAUGAUAAGAGCUAUGGUGGUCAUCCACCAACUCAUGCAUUUACAACACCGCCUCUUGAAUGUCCACCAUACAAUACAAUGAUAUAGUUGCGUCAUUAAACACUUUGCUUGAAAAACUAUAUGGGACAAAACUUAGGCUACGGGAAAAAGAGUGCAACACAAAUAAUAUUGAUAUCACAUUUGUCUCUCCUACGGAAUGAGCUUUGGUGAUGUUUGUAUAAAAAUUGCGUACAAACCAUUAUUGGAAGAUUGGGCUAGAGUGGGCUUUACCCUAGUGUUGACUUUGGAAAGAGACAAAUUAGGCUUAGUUGUGUAAAUUCAAUCCAAAAAAAAAUUAAAUAAUAGCCCACAUCUACAGCCAAAUACUUUAAUACUUUAAUUACUAAAGUUUUUUUUUCUUUCUCUCUCUUCUUUGGUUUAUUCAGCUUUUGAUUUGGCUCAAAUAAUGUUUAUAUCUCUCUUUGAUUUUGUUUUUUCAAAUUUAUUGAUGUUGCUUCUUUUGAAAAUUUUGAAAUAUGGACCCUCCCUAACUAAACCACUCCAUUGAGCAAAAGCCCUUGAGCUUCAAAUUUAUCUUCGUCUGAGCCUCUGAAUUUUGGUUUUUUUUAGGUUUUUUUUGUUUGUUGUAGGUUUCUUUGUUCACAUAUCUCUCUAAAAAUAGUAUUUUUCUUAAUGAAUUCUGAAAAUAGUUUUUAAUUUGAAGGAAAUAUACGGAAUUAGUAAAAAAGUAUACCACUUUCAUUAAUCUGAAGGAAAUAUUGCUUUAUAUAUAUUUGUUUAAAAAUAGGGCUUAUAAUUGAUCUCAAAAAAAAAAAAAAAACAAAUAGCCCACCCCUGUAAAUAUUCCUUAGUCCGCCAUUGCAUGGCAUAAUAUUUGGUAUGCUAUGCUAGCAUCUCAUAAGCUCUUCAAGAGACCUGAAUUUUAUGAUAACUUCUUAAAAAAUUUGAAUACAUUUCAACGAUAUUAAACUUGAAUUUGAACUCAUAAUUCAAUCAAAGUACUCAUUGAGGCAAUUUAGAUCAUUUUCAUUUUAAAAAAAUUGGGUGCACACAUUGAGCUUCAUGCUCUUUACCUUCUUAGAGAUUUUAUUUGAGGAAUUUAUAUUGCAUCACAUAUUACAUCUCUUAGGAUUUGUUCUUAUUAUGUAUUCUUUAAGAGAUCUAUUCUUGCAAUAUGCUUCAAACACUUCAUAAUCUUUAUGAAUUUUUCAUGUAGAUUUAAGGUCUCCAUGAAUAUUGAGAUUGAAACAAGGAGUAAAAGAGUUAAAAGUUUAAGAAAUUUUUUCCCUGAUUAUUUUGUAAUUAUAAUGUUGGUGAAAAUCCAAUUUCCUUUCUAGAAUUUGUGAAAUUUGUUAUUUGGCUAAGCUAAAAGUAUAAUUUUGACAAUAAAAAGCAUAUGAAAGUUUCUCUUUGGUUGGCUUCUUGGCUAGCUCUAGGAACGGACAGUGUGGCCAUGAGAUAACCAUGGAAGUAUAAUAAGAAUGCUUGGAUGCUGUGAACAAUCCAUUUUCUGACUCUUUUUCUUGAGGUGGUUGUUUUCUUAUGGCCCAUCAGAGUUUAUGGUCGACAGAUAAGCUUCAAACACAUGCAUUGGUCGUGUCAGUUGCGAUAAACUCUUCCCAACAAUCAACAAUUUCUAAGGUAAUAUCAUCAUUCAAUCAUGUGCUGAAUUUAGAAUUGUUUUCAAAUCAAGGAUUUGUUUUGGAACUCAGAUUUUAAAACAAUUAAAAUUUAAUUGGGAAGACUUUUUGUUUAAAGGAAGUUCGUUUCAAUUCAAAAAAUAAUUUUUCAGUUUUUCAACUCAAAAGUCUUCUCAGUUUUCUUAUUUUUCUUAUUGGCGAGUUUCUUGGUUAACUCUAGGAAGGGAGAUAUGUGGCCAUGAGCUAACCAUGGAAGCAUAAGAACGCUGACCAUGCUUGGAUUUUGAGAAGACUUCCUCUUUUUUUUUUCCCUGACUCUUCUUCUUGAGGCGGUGGUUGGCUUAUGGCCUCAUAAUAGUUUGGUGUUUUUGGAGAUCAUAUGGUGAUGAUCUGAUGGAGAUGAGUCAUAGUUUGUGCUAGUGCAUACGUAAUUCCAAUUUCCUGAUUCAGAUGGGAUAAACUCUUCCAACAAAUUAAGACUCUUAUCAUGCAUACACAUAAGAAGUGGAAAUUUGCUUCUGUCUUAGUUUGGCCUUGAUAUAGGACAGCUCAUAGGAAAGCAUCCAAAACAAUAUUCUUUUUAUUUUUUUUAUUUGAAUACAAGCGAUAUUAGGAGUGUGGGGAUUUGAACACAUGAUUUAGGGUACAGGGUAAUGCUCUUAACUAUAUGAGUUACAAGUCCCUUGCAAACAGUCUGAAAUACUAAAAAUAAAAAAUAGAUGCUCAUCCAUAUGCACUGUCAUGCCCCAACCCUUGGAUUUACAAAACCUUGUGUUAAGACGUGAUUCACACCUUAAUUAUAGAAUUUAAUAAAAACUAUAACUAAAAUGUGAAGAAAACAUUUAAAUAAAUAAAAUAAAUAUUUCACAUAGAAUAUUCAGUGGAAAUGACAACAUGUGAAAUCUUAAAAAUUUUACAUUAUCUUACAAGUUGGCGUGACUUGUGGAUAUUGACUUACUUUCCUUACACACCAAGAAUUCCUAUUAUAAUUGUAAUUGAUUUACUUUAAUUCAUGAUUUCCUACUGUAAAUAGAUUUAAGAAUUUAUUAUUUACUUGCCCAUUCAGGUUUCGUUGUAUUAUAAAUAUGACCUCCUACAAGGAGAAGAACAUACAGAAAAUUCCCACAAACAAAUAUUCUCUCAUAGUUUUCAUAUUUUAGCAUGGUAUCAGAGCGGCAAUCUUGGAAUUGCUGACUCUAGUUUCAAACCCCCGCCGCCGCUAUGGGGGUUGAUGAUUUUUUCAACCAUCAUGGAGGUAGCACCAUCGACUCCUUCUCUCAUUCUCAACUAACCAUCGUUGAGUUGAGUGCCCAGAUGGCUCCGCUCCUACAGAUGCAGACUUUGACCCCAAACCCGAUCCAGAAUCAGGAUCUUCUUUCGACAACCACGACCCCGAUCUCGACUAUGACAACGACGACCCCGACCCCUACUCUGAAGAUGACCCCGACCCCCACUCCGAUGACCCCAACCCCGAAUUUGUCUCUGAUUCAGAACCCGAUCCCGAUUUCGACUCCGACUCCGGCCUCGACUCAGGCUCAGAUUUCGAUCCAAAUUCCUACUCAACUUAUAUCCUAUGCAUCUUCCGCUGCACAGAUUAUGACUUCUAGACUAACGACCCCGACAUAUGGACCAGAUUGCACAUAUUGUGGUGAUCCGAGACACACUUGUGAGACUUGUUUUAAAUCGCAUGGCUACCCCGAUUGGUGGGCUAUUCUUACAGAUCAAGGACAAUGCACCAGUAAUGGUACUGGUUAUGGAUUCCAUACUUCCGAUAAGAUUGAUUCCAGGAGCUGGAUAAUUGAUUCUGGUGCAACUGAUCAUAUGACGUUUGAUCCUGAUGAUUUUCUGAAUACUACACAACCUCGACGAACUUGUAUUGCAAAUGCCAAUGGUGUUACUUAUCCUGUGACAGGGGCUGGCACUGUUGCACUCUCAUCCUCUCUCACACUGUCUAAUACUUUACUUGUUCCAUUUUUAUCCACUAAAUUGUUGUUAGUUAGUCAGCUUACUAAACAAUUGAAGUGUUGUGUACUCAUUUACCUGAGUUUUUGUUUGCUUCAGGAUAUUCACACUAAGGAGAUUCUUGGUCGUGGUACUAAGAGAGGGGGGCUAUAUUAUGUCGAUGACUUCAGUUCCGGCGUGCCUAACAGUGUGACACAUCCCUUUGAUAGCAAACAAAAGCAAAUUUGGUUGUGGCACCUUCGAUUGGGACAUCCGUCUUUCAGUUAUAUGAAGCAUCUUAUACCAGAUUUAUUCUUAGGUUUCAAGGACUCCGACUUCACAUGUGAUACUUGUAUUUUGGCUAACAGUCACCGUGUGCCCUACCUGUUGAGUACGAACAAGUGUACUUGUAAGAUCCCACAUCAACCAACGGAGAGGGGGUGAUGUGCCUUAUAUAUGCACACCUGCAUCCAUCUAGCACGAGGCCUUUUGGGAGCUCACUGGCUUCGGAGUCGUAGGAACUCCGAAGUUAAGCGAGUUGGGGGCUAGAGCAAUCCCAGGAUGGGUGAUCCACUGGGAAGUUGCUCGUGAGCUCCUAGAAACAAAACCGUGAGGGCAGAGAGAGGGGCCCAAAGCGGACAAUAUCGUGCUACGGCGGAGUUGAUCCCGAGAUGUGACAAUUUGGUAUCAGAGCCACUCUGCCGUGUGGUGCGAAUGUGCCGACGAGGACUUCGGGCCCUUAAGGGGGGUGGAUUGUAAGAUCCCACAUCAACCAACGGAGAGGGGGUGAUGUGCCUUAUAUAUGCACACCUGCAUCCAUCUAGCAUGAGACCUUUUGGGAGCUCACUGGCUUCGGAGUUGUAGGAACUCCGACGUUAAGCGAGUUGGGGGCUAGAGCAAUCCCAGGAUGGGUGACCCACUGGGAAGUUGCUCGUGAGUUCCCAGAAACAAAACCGUGAGGGCCAGAGAGGGGGGCCCAAAGCUGAUAAUAUCGUGCUACGGCGGAGCCGAUCCCGGGAUGUGACAAUUGUACUACUCCAUUUACGUUAAUUCACUCUGAUGUCUUGGGACCUUCGCCUAUCACUGCUCCUUCUGGUGUUCGAUGGUUUGUCACAUUCAUCGAUGAUUGUAUACAGAUGACAUGGCUUUAUUUGCUGAAGAAUAAAAACGAAGUGUUUUCCCGUUUUCAGUCCUUCCACAAACAGAUGAAAACUCAGUUUAAUGCUCAAAUCCAGAUUCUUCGCUCAGACAAUGGUGGAGAAUUUGUCAAUCAUGACUUUCAGACUUACUUCCAACAACAUGGAAUUAUCCAUGAGACGACUUGUCCUCAGACACCACAACAAAAUUGUGUUGUUGAACGAAAGAAUUGACAUCUUCUUGAAACCGCCCAAGCACUUCUGAUUGGCGCUCAUGUUCCUCGCUAUCACUGGGAUGAUGCUAUUGUCACCGCAGUUCACCUGAUCAACCGCAUGCCUUCUGGUGUAUUGACCUUUAAAACUCCCUUACAGGUGCUUGCGCAACACAGACCUCUGCUCUCUGUUUUGGUACUCACACCCCGAAUCUUUGGAUGUGUGGCUUUCGUUCAUCUCCACAAAAAUCAACGUAGCAAACUUGAUCCCUGUGCGCUUCGUUGUGUUUUUAUAGGUUAUGCCACUCAUCAGAAAGGCUACCGUUGUUAUCACCCUCCUACCCAACGAACCUAUGUCACUUUGGAUGUGACCUUUCUGGAAUCUGAGUUGUUCUUCCAUGACCCAUCAUCCAAUUCUACGCAUCAGGGGGGGAUACGAAGUGAAGAGCAGAAUUGAAGCAACUUGGGAAAUAAAGAAAUUUUCCUCUGUACAGAAAUGAUUAAUCAUCCUGAGUCUGGAGCACGAGAUUACUCUCUGUCGAAAAGCAACCAAUCGCCCAUUCAUAGCGAUCAAUUGCCUCACCUACCUGAUCCAUGUGAAGAUAUUUUUGAUCCGAGUCUCACACCUACAGACAAUACAGAACAACAAGAUGAAGACUCCCCCUCUAACUCAACAGUACCAACAGACCAAUCUCCUGAGAAUAUCCUUGAGGUAACUACUCCUACUAGAUUUGUGCAUUUAAAUGAUUAAACUAUUGGAUAUCAAUUACCUUUCAGGGAAAAUCGUGGGAAGCCAUCAAACCGUUAUGCACCUGAUAUUGGCAAGACAUCCAAGUAUCCAAUUGCAAAUCAUGUAUCCACUGAGAAGCUGUCUGAACAACUCAAGGCUUUUGUGCAUCAGUUGUCUGCGAUCCAUAUUCCAACCAAGGUCUCUGAAGCAUUAAAAUAUCCUAAGUGGGUCCAAGCUAUAAAAGAGGAGAUGAAAGCUCUUGAGAAAAAUCAGACUUGGACAUUAGAGACUAUACCUCGAGGAAAAAAGACUAUCAGAUGUAGAUGGGUGUUUACUAUAAAACACAAUGUAGAUGGAUCUAUCGAGCAAUACAAGGCAAGACUUGUGGAAAAAGGGUACACACAGACAUAUGGUAUAGACUAUGAAGAAACCUUUGCUCCAGUUGCAAAGUCAAACACCAUCAGAGUCUUAUUGUCCCUUGCAGCUAAUUUGGAUUGGCCACUACACCAGUUUGAUGUAAAGAAUGCUUUUCUACAUGGCGUACUCACGGAGGAGGUGUACAUUUACAUUCCUCCUGGAUAUAAUACUACUUAGACUGGAACAGUUUGCAGGUUACGAAAAGCAUUGUAUGGAUUGAAACAGUCACCACGUGCAUGGUUUGGACAGUUCACCAUGGCAAUGAAGAACAAUGGUUCAAACAGUGCAACUCAGAUCAUACUCUACUCUUGAAACAUCGAAAAGGGAAGGUAACAACAUUAAUAAUCUAUGUUGAUGAUAUGAUUAUUACUGGGAAUGAUAAACAGGAAAUAUCACAGCUACAAGACUAUCUGGCUACGGAGUUUGAGAUGAUGGAUCUAGGUGGACUCAAGUAUUUCUUGGGAAUUGAGGUGGCUCGAUCCCAGCAAGGCAUAUUUCUCUCUCAAAGGAAAUAUGUCUUGGACUUGUUGACAGACACAUGAAUGCUAGAUUGUAAACCUGCGAACACUCAUAUUGUUCAGAAUCAUCAUCUUGGAGAAUAUCAUGAUCAAGUUCCAACUAACAAAGAAAGAUACCAAAGGUUAGUAGGAAGAUUGAUCUAUUUGUCACAUACUUGACCAAACAUUACUUAUGCAAUGAGCGUUGUCAGUCAAUUUAUGCACUCUCCAAGUGAAGACCACACGAAUGCAGUUCUUCGGAUACUUAGAUAUUUGAAGUCUGCACCUGAAAAAGGACUUAUUUUCUGAAAGCAUGGUCAUAUAAAUAUUGAUGGUUAUUCAGAUGUAAUGUAACAGAUAGAAAAUCCACAUCCGGUUACUUAACAUUCAUGGGAGGUAAUUUGGUGACAUGGAGGAGCAAGAAACAGAAUGUAGUAGCUUUAUCCAGUGCAGAAGCCGAGUUCAGAGGCAUGACUAAAGGAAUUUGUGAACUUCUUUGGUUAAGAAAGUUGCUUACUGAACUUGGGUAUAAACCUACAUCCACAAUGAUUCUCUUUUGUGACAACAAGGCUGUUAUAGCCAUUGCACAGAAUCCGGUUCAGCAUGAUCGUACUAAACAUGUUGAGGAGGAUCGACACUUCAUCAAACAGAAGCUUGAGGCUAAAAUGUUUCAGUUUUCUUUUGUGAAAUCCGAGGAUCAAUUGGCGGAUAUUUUGACAAAGGUGAUUUCCAGUAAAACAUUCCACAAUUCACUGGAUCAGUUAGGCAUUGGCGAUAUCUAUGCACCAACGUGAGGGGAAGUGUUGGCGUGACUUGUGGAUAUUGACUUACUUUCCUUACACACCAAGAAUUCCUAUUAUAAUUGUAAUUGAUUUACUUUAAUUCCUGAUUUCCUAUUGUAAAUAGAUUUAGGAAUUUAUUAUUUACUUGCCCAUUCAGGUUUCGUUGUAUUAUAAAUAUGACCUCCUACAAGGAGAAUAACAUACAGAAAAUUCCCACAAACAAAUAUUCUCUUAUAGUUUUCAUAUUUUAGCAAGAACUACUCGAGAGUUUACUAAAAGAGUAGUUCAGUAUUCAUCCACAAGCUAUAUACACAAUACACUCUAUAGAUAUGCCAAAAUCAUCGCAAGCUCUAGAUUUUAGGUUCGAUACCUGCAAAAUCUAUUAGAAGGGUGAGUGAAACCACAGUUUAGUAGGGACAUAAACCUUUUCACGGUAAACUGAUAUAAUUAAAUUAAGUGAAAAAUAAUCACACAGCCAAAUAUCACAUUAUUAAUAACAAUGCAUGAAUGCUCUUCAUUUAACCCGUUAAUUCAUAUAAUUAGACAAGCUUCACGACCCAUACCAUGCUUAUACCACUUAGUCCCGAAUGCCAAUUUAUAUGAAUUAACGCCCAUUUCAAUCAUCCCAUAAUUCCCAUUUUGUUAGUCAUCUUGUCUAACUCCCUGUUGCCAGUCCUGAAUCACCAAAAAAAAAAAACCAUGUGCACUAUGGGAUCCCUGAGUACUAGUACCUGGCAAGAGUUAGACUCAACUACACAAAAGAUCAUUUCUAUUACCCUCUUAUCCACCAUUAUUUUCUCAACUUCAGAAUUCUAGCCAAAUUCCAUGACAUGAUAUAAUUAAAAUUAUGCCUUCACAACAAUGUGCCCAUUUAAAACAUCACUAAUGCACAUAUAAUUAUGCCCACAUUGUUCAAAUAGUUAAGAGUACGUAAAUACCCAAUACAUGGAACGUCAAUCAAACAGUACCACGCAUAAUAUAAUGCUCAAGAAAUUUAAUUAAAUCAAUCUCUGUAAAAGGCCCCUAAGAAACCCCUGCCUUGAUACUAAAGCUUUUGCUAGACCUAUAAGGUGUUUUCCAAUUUUCCACCGCAUUCACAAACUCUGUCUUCUACUUUUUUUCUUACUUCUCUCUACCACUAUUUCUUUCUCGUUUUCUUUGUUUUCACUUGUUGUGCAACUUAAUGUCCUAUAUAUAUACAAGGAACAAGUCGGCAGUAAGUGAUUUCCUAUUGGAUGGUGUAUUCGGUUGUUAUAAACUUACUAGUAAUAGUUAUCAAUGUAGUUGCAGAUGAGGAAGAAUGUUUUUGUGACUCUUCCAAUCCCUCUAAUCCUAUUUCUUAUCUUCUUGGUGAGUUGAUAGCCUCGAUACUUAACAGAUUUUAUACUUUGACACGUAUUAACAAGAACUAUUUUAAAAACAUAUACAUAUAUAUAUAUAUAAUAGAAUAUGUAUAUAUGUAAUACACAUAUUUAUAUAUAAUAAGAAUAAUAUAUAUGUAAUAAGAUAUAAAUAUUUAUUAGAACAGUAUAUAAAAUAAUAUAUAUCAUUCUUAUUAUAACAAUAAUUUUAAUUUUCCCAAAAUAAUAUAUAUUUAAAAAUAUGUGGUUUCACAUGCAUGUCCUUUUUGCUAUAGACACUAUUACAAAAAUCGAAAUAGACAACGGAAAACUACCGUCGUCUGGAAAGUUUUCAAACAGUCGUGAAAUCGACUGUCGUCUCUUUUACAUAAAACAACGACGGCUAUUAACCAACGUCGUUAAUACAUUCCACGUAAAAAACUAUUAUAAACCGACGUGUAAUUACUAUAUAUAUAGCCUAAAAUAAAAUCUUCAACAACCUUAGACGACGGUUUUAUUAAAACUGACACGUCUAAAGAGUGUUACAUGUCAAGAUCAAAACAAGAACCGACGUACAGAUAAUUAUCCACGUCCUAAUUGAAGUAAAAUAGACUUGGAUAACCUAGAAACCGUCGUGGUUAACAUAUACUACGUUAAAUUAACAAAGGCACUUACGUCUAAAAAGUAAAAGACAACACGCGCACAAAGCAACAGACGUUUAAAGCUUAGUACAUGUCAAUAGCCGCUCAAUAACCGCAGUAAAAUGAAUUAACCACGUCCCACAUAUGGCAGAACUGUUGCUUAUGUGAUUAUCCACGUCGCGGAGUAGUAGAACAAAGACGUUGUAACCAUAUUCCACGUCUGUUUCUUGUGAGAAUUGUCGUUUAAAUUAUACAAAGAAGCCCCUUUGACAGAGUUAGACGUUGCUCUUGCUGUAGAACCGACUUCUAACAGGUUUAAAAUGACACAAUAUUACUUAAUACUGCCGUAACAAAUCAUAUCCACGACUGCUGUUGUCAAAGACUGACGUUACAAAAAAUAUUGAAGGUGUUGACAAAAAAGAACCGACAUGGAUUAUGCAUUCAACGUCGUGUGGUCUAAAAAUAAAGGACGUGGUUAAUUUUUUCUCUACGUCAAGUGGAUCCAAUUGCCUGAUGUUGUAAUUCUUUACCAUGUUGGUUUUUAAUACAUGAUGAUGUGGUUGUCCUUUUAAAAGUCGCUUGUUUUACCCUCCUUGACGUGUGUAUGAUAUGAGACGUCAAUUGUUUUAGACUAGCUGACGUGCAGAAAAUCUGUCACGACAAUUAAUGCAACUGAAUUGCCUCUAUUUCCCCCAGACGACGGUAGGUUUUAAGUGUGGAAGUAGUGUUUUACAAAAUCGUAAGUUGGAGUAAUCUACCAUCGUGUUAUUCGAGAAUAUACCACGAUCUUUGUUUUGUACUCGGUCGCUGAUGUUUAUACUACUUAAUAAACUGACAUGUUUUCAGUUUCAGACGGCGGCUUUUGUUUCUUUAUGGUCUUUUGCAUUUUUUUUCCAUGACAUUUUUGAAAGCCUAAUGUUGGUUUUAUUUUAGAAAUCGAUUUUUCCCCUUUUUUUACUGGACCGUCGUACUUUACACAUUUAAUCAAUUUUUUUCAAUUUUUGAUUCAUCGUGCCCAAAGCCUACAUAACGAAAAUGUGAUCAGAAUUAAAAUGAUGUACAAAGGUAUUAAUUAAUGUCAUACAAUUAACUGAAUAACUAAUGUCAUACACUACAACAAUCAAUCAAUCCAUAUAUCUUCACACCCAUCUUUAAUAUUUUCACUCCCAAACUCACCCACUAGGUCAUCAUAUGUGUCAACAUUUGGUAUCCCUCUAGUAAAUGUCUCACACUCAAUUCUAAUAUCACCUAGCACAUCAUCACCAAUAACAUUAUUAUAUUCUCUAUUAUGCAUUGAUAACACUACCGACCAACCACGAUGCAUUGGGUCGUCAGCAUAAAAUACUUGUUUUGGUCAUUCCUAUGUCCAAUUUUACUCAAAUCUACAAAGGUGAAUCCAAGUUCAUCGACAACAAGGCCCAAAGUGUUAUCUAUCCAAUCACACCUCAAGACAAGGAUUCUAAACUUUUGGUAGUCAAGGUCCCAAAUUUCUUGAAUAACACCAUAAAAACCCAUAUUGGAGACAAUAGAGUUUUUAUCCUUAGCACUAGCAACUUGCAUAGUAUGUGCAAGUAAAUAAACUCCACUAUUUUGGACAGUUCGCAUAUCAUCUUGUGCCUUGGUGUUAAAUUUAACACCAUUAAUAAGAUAGCUCCUAUAUGAUGGCAUUGCCAUGCUUGGACUAGCUGCUAGCCACCUCAAAUUUUAUGAUACGCCAUUAUGCUCUUCCCCAUUAAGUUCACUUUGAACUUGCAAAUUAAUCGUAUAUAUCCUAAUUCGAUCUAACAUAUAAAAAGGAAGAAAAUUAAAAGUUGAAUAUGUCAUUCAAUAACAUAUAUACUUGAAAGUGUAGCCAUUGAAUGAAAGUGCUAUUGUGCUUAUCUUGCAGCCACUUUGUUCUCUUUCUAAAUAUUGGAUAAGUGGUCUUGAUGUGGAUCAUAUGUUCCAUACAUUGACACGAAAAAAUCAAGCAUUACGGUCCCUUGUAUAUAAGAUAACAUAAGGAAUAAUAAUAUUUAAAAUGGCUCUAUAUGAAAAAUGGAACUCAUGCGUACUCGAUAUAAGGUAGGACUUCCUCAGUAUUCUCCAAGACAUAUAGAUGUGUCUGGUUCAAAAAACCCGAUCACCUAAGCUUACUGUGCAACCAGAUAAUGGCUUUGAAACUCCCAUCUUCUAGCUUGAAGGCACUCCAACUGUACUAACAUCAGAUAAAUGCUCGGUGCAAAACUCUACAACUUCUUCAGCUAUAUACCGCUCAAUAAUGCAACAUCCGGGACGAGUACGGUUCUGAACAAACCUAUUUAGCACUUUCAUAUGUCUUUCAAAUGGAUACAUCCAUCUAAAAUAUACUGGCCCAUGUAGACGAACUUCUCUGACAAGAUGUACUACUAGAUGAACCAUGAUAUCAAAGAAUGAAGGGGGAAAGUACUUCUCAAGCAAACGCAACGUAACUACUACAUCUUCUUCCAAAUUAUCUAGCUUGGAAACAUCUACUGUCUUUGCACAUAUAGCAUUGAAGAAGAAGCACAAUCGAGUUAUUGCAUACCUUGCAGGCUUCUCCAAACAGAACGAAUUGCCACAGGGAGCAAUUGUUGCAUCAAGGCAUGAAAAUUAUGAGAUUUAAGGCCAAGAAGUCUUGAAUAUUUUUAAGAUACAAGAUUUUUUUAUAUUUGAACAAUAACCUUCAGGGACUUUCAUACCAUAGAAAGAAUUGCAAACCGCUCUCUUAUCUGCUCUUGACAAAUUCUAGGGCCUUGGAGGCAAGCGAGUACGUCUUUCUCAAUACUCGGGUUGCAAAUCAUUUUUGACCCCCAUGUUCAAUAAAUCUAACCGAACAGCAAUCUCAUCUUUAUUUUUUCUAGGGAUCUCCAGCAAUGUACCAAUGAUACUAUCGCAAACAUUCUUCUCAAUAUGCAUAACAUCUUGGACAUGCCUCAUAGGAAGGUAUUUCAAAUACUCGAGAUCAAAGAAUUUUGAUUUCUUAUUCCAACAAACUCUGUCACCAUCAUUCUCAAAAACACUUCCCCCAUUUUUCGAGCCCCAUAUGUAAUUAAUAUCUUCAACCAUGUCCUAUUCAAGUUAAUGGUUCGGGAGGCGUGCCAUAUUCAAGUUUUCCAUUGAAAGCUGCACGCUACCUCCGACAUGGAUGAUUGAUUGGUAACCAUUUUUUAUGACCAAUGUAACAAAUUUUGGGGCCAUUUUCAACCUGUGACUAGGUGUAUCAUCGCCGCAUAUUGGACAAGCUUUAUAUCCUUUAACGACACUGUAACACCCCGACUCUAAAUUAAUCCCUUAUUUAAUUAUUUAAAGAAAAUUACAAAUUUACCCUUAAGAUAGGGGUAUUUUGGUCAUUUUCUUACCCGAAGAGAGUUUGGGGCAGUGACUAGUAUUUUUGGAUAGGUCGUACUGAGACGAGUUCAUAGACACGUAGUGGGCUCGAAUCGAAGUUGUAACGAGAGAGAUAUGGUCAAAAGAAACCCAAUUGCACAAUCAUAAUUAUUUCGAAAUGAGAUUUUUAUAAAAAUCAGAUUUUUUUUUCUCUCUCUCUCUCUCUCCUCGUCGGUCUCUCUCCCUCUCCUCGAAACUCCGGCCAUCGGCCACGGCUGUGGACGGGGCCGGUACCAAAAUGACCGAGGCGUUGUCCUCCUCUAAUCCCAGCUAGGUCCCGCCGUCAGCCGCCAUGGUUUCGCCGGAAAAUGGAGAAGAAGCGGCCGGCGUCGUCCGAAGUUCUCCGCCGUUGAUCUCCCUCUUCCGGUCACCGAUUCCGACGAGUGAGGUAUGGUUUCUCACCUACUUUUCAUGCUCUAGCUGCCUGCUGGGUAUGAUUGGAUUGAUUUUUAGCGUAGGCAAUUCGAUUUUCGCAUUGAAAUUCGGCUAAUUUUGGAAUCACGAUUCCGGCUAGUUCUGGUCAGUUUUUGGGGUAGAUCCAAGAACAAAAGUGGCUCCAAAUAGGGUGUUAUACCUAGGGUAGGAGUUUGGAGCCAUGGUUUUGAGAUUUUCCGGCGAUACGUAAUCGCUUUAGACACCCAACGCUGCCCGCACGUGUGGCAGUGCGUGGGCGAGGGUAGUGAAAUAGCACUAUGUCUCGAUGAGAUCCUUAGGUUGUCACGAGUGCGUAGGAUUUCGCGGAUCUCAAUUCGGACGUCGUUUGACUAUCGAACGGAUUUUCGUAUAUUGCGCGUCAUCCGGGUUCGAUAGGUUGGGACCGUUGGAUGGUCUCGAAUAAAAUAUAUGUUAAUCUAGGUAUUUCUAGGAUCAUGUAGGAAUUCACGGAUUAUAAAUCGGAGCCCCGGAUAUUCCGAAUAAAUAAUUUAAAGUUUAUGUUUUAUAAUAACCGUCACAUCGUGCGAUCGUGAGCGAUCCGACCGGCCGAUCUGGACCAAACUUACAGAACGAGUGUCCUAUACCUUGAAGAACCCAUAGGAAUUUUCAGAUCGAAAUUUGGAGGUCGUGGGCCCCGUGGGCCCAUUUGACUAGGGGUAGGGUAGUUUGACCCUUAGUUGACCGUGAGUCUCCCGGAGUAAUCUCACCUUUCCAGGGGGAUUAUCGGGUGCUAGACUGUUGUUGAGGUUUACACGAUAUUAGUAGUAAAUUAUAUAUUUAUAUACAUUUGUAAAGGUAAAAAAUAAGUCCAGAAUGUCAGUUUGAAGUGCUUUACGCACUACCUUAGGUACCUCCCCGGAUUUUAGUUACACUACAAGUACCACCCUAUGAAAGUUAGGUCCCACGUGGCGUAGGUUAUCCGGCGUGCGGACAGGCCCUAUACGUGGCAUUGGUAGUAUCGGUGUAUGGGGAGAUUACGUGAUAAUAUGUUGAGGUCACACGUGGCGUAGGUUAUCCGGCGUGUUGACAGACCCCAUACGUGGCGUUGGUUGUACCGGCGUAUGAGGAGAUAUUGUGAUAUGAUAUUCAGGUCUCGCGUGGCGUAGGUUAUCCAGCGUUGAGACAGACCCCAUACGUGGCGUUGGUUCUACCGGCGUAUAAGGAGUUUAUGUGAUAUUAUGUUGAAGUCGCGCGUGGCGUAGGUUAUCCGGUGUGUCGACAGACCCCAUACGUGGUGUUGGUUGUACCGGCGUAUGGGGAGAUAUGUGAUAUGAUGUGCAGGUCUCGCGUGGCGUAGGUUAUCCGGCGUUGAGACAGACCCCAUAUGUGGCGUUAGUUGUACCGGCGUAUGGGAAGAUAUUGUGAUAUGAUAUUCAGGUCUCGGGUGGCGUAGGUUAUCCGGCGUGUUGACAGGCCCCAUACGUGGCGUUGGUAGUACCGGUAUAUGGGGAGAUUAUGUGAAAUACAGAGAAAUGAAAUAAGGUAUUGCCUAUGUGUGGAAUUGGGUUUUAAGGAAGAACUACGUGUGGCUUGAUCCCUCAGGGAGGGUACGUAGGCAGCCUAAGGUUAUUAGGUGUAGCCGCGGACAUAGACGUGAUUGUGUUAGGAGGUUAAAACCUCGUAUGUUGAAAUUGAGAAAAUUAGAUGAUGUAUGUUGAAAUUUAGUAGUCGUAAUUUAUAUUUAAAUUUAUCGUUUGCCUUGUUUAAGGCAUGAAUUGAUUUGCUAGCAUGCUUGGUAGUUGAGAAUUAUAGAAAGGCCGAAGGCCGUUUAUGUGAAUUGCAUGGAAUUAUAUUGUGCAUGCUGCCAGUUGUAGUUAUUAAAUGUGUUUUUAUGCAGGUUGAAAUUUUGGGAAAUGUCCAAUUUACAGGGGAGACUCUGCCGAAAUUUCGGCAGAAAGUCUCGGUCUUUAGUAAGUGGGCCUGACAUCGAGGUGAUGUCGGGGAAUCCACAGGAUCCGCCUCGAUUUUUGGAAAAAUCGGGGCGGUUCCUUUCAGACACAACCAGAUAAGUUCUCAUAGGCAGAAAAAUCAUUAAUUGUUCACAGUAAUACACCUAUGAGUGUAAAGUAAUCUCCUAUGUGUGCAUCAUACACUCCUUUAAUCCCAUCCCACAAAGAUUUUAAAUCAUCAAUCAGAGGCUCUAAGUAGACAUCUAUAUCAUUUCCAUUCUAUUUAGGACCAGAAAUCAAUAAGGUCAAUAUCAUGAACUUCCAUUUCAUGCAUAGCCAUGGUGGGAGAUUAUAUGUAACUAAGAUAACCAACAAUUGUAUCUGCUACUUAAAGAACUGUGGGGAUUGAAUCCAUCAGAUGAGAGAGCCAAUCUCAAGUUUCUUGGCUCUUUACUGAACUCGGGCCAUUUAUCAUCAACAAGUUUUUAAGACGGGAAAUUCGCUGGAUGAGACAUAUGACCGUCAAUUGCUUUUCUAGCAACAUGCCAAGUCAAACUCUUAGCUGUCAUAUGUGAUUGAAACAUCCUUUUAAACCUUGGAAUUGGAGGAAAAUACCACACCACCUUCGCUGGCACACUCUUUUUCAAGAUUGAAUCUUUGCAUUCCUUCCACCUUGAGAUACCACAAGUAGGACAAUUAGUUGAAUCUUCAUAAUCAUUCCUAUACAAGAUGCAGUCAUUGGGACAUGCAUGGAUAUUCUCAUAACUCAUCCCUAAAGGAGAUAAUGUCUUUUUUGCCUCGUACAUAGAGGAAUAUAGUGUCUUUCCUUCUGGAAGCAAAUCUCCUUGAAGUAUCAAUAAUUCUAUAAAACAAACAUCACUCAUCCCAUGUUUUGCUUUCAAAUUAUAUAACUUCACCAAAGCCGACAACAUCGUGUACUUACUGCAACCAGGGUACAAGGAUUGAUCUCAAUCCCCAAUCACAUUGGCAAACUCAUAAGGAUCAAAUCCAAUAUCGCCUAAAUCAUUAUCAUCCAUCCCUACUUCUUUAGAAACAAAACUGAACCUACUUUGCUCAUCUUCUUCCACAUUUCUACUAGCAUUAGUAGUCAAUUCCCAAGGUUCUCCGUGCCAUGUGCAAAUCUGAUAGCUUUAGUCAAUUCCAUUAAAGUAUAAGUGGUCCCUCAUAAUUCCAACCCCAAACAAUCGAAUAUUCCCACAUUUAACACAUGGACAACGAAUAUGAGUUGUAUUUCCAAGAUUUUCUACAGCAAAAUUCAAAAAUCCUUCCACCCCUAACUCAUAUGCCUUCGGUCUUCUAUCCGCAUGCAUCCAUGACUUAUCCAUCUCACACACUAUAAAAUCAUAUAUAUAAUAAAGUGAAAAGACCAGCAAUGAAACACUACUUUAUUCACAUAGCAAAGAAUGAAUUGAAAAAAAAAAUUAACCAAGAAUCAGACGACGGUUUUUACAAAAAAAAUCGUCCUGUAACAGAGGGUCAGACGACGGCAUAUCUAGUUAUCGACGUCUUUAAGCUACCCAAACCCAGAUAUUUGUAUUGCUUUUUGAAGAACCGGGUUCUGGGUUCUGGUAAACAAAAGAUGACGGUAAAUGGAGAAACACCGACGUAUCCUAAAACUUGAGACGACGGUUUAUUUCACCAACCGUCGUCGUAGUUUACGAAAAACAGAAGUCUAAAUCUCCCAUCCUCAUUCCUUUUCUAAGAACCCUUAACAAAAUGCAAACAUCAAAAUAUAAAAGAGCCAUAUAUAGCUCCCAAUUAAGAAACCAAAGCUACCAAAACAUAUAUUAAUAAACCAAAGCUACCAAAAUGAACGAAAACAUUUAUGGGUUUUACAAACUAAGAGAAUAUUGAGAGAGAGCUGAGAGAAUAUACUUACAUGGAUAUUGAGAGAGAGCUGAGAGAAUAUAACAAAUGCUUGAGAGAGAGCUUAGAGAAUAUACACAAUGCUUUGAGAGAGAGCGAAAAAUUUAAGACAAAUUUAUGUUGAAGAGAGAGAAGGAAAUAUUUUAGGGUUAAAGGGAAAUUCUGAAAAUUUUAGAUCACCGUCAAAAUUUUCAAAGGACCGCGUUUUUCAAAGACGGCUAAGGAAAACUACCGCCAUUGUAAAUCAUUUUACUACGACGGUUGAGGAAAACUACCGCCAUUGUAAAUCAUUUUUAUGUCGCCUCUAUAAAAACCGACGUCUAAAAUAUUAAAUAAUUAGAUUUGGUUUGCAUUUCGUGGGAUUCUAACGUGCGUAAUUGACCAAAAAGAGCGAGAGAAAACCAGCGUCGUUUCUAUAAAACCUAAACCCUAAACCCUAAACCCUAAACUCUAAAACCUAAACACUGAAAAAAUUAACCAAAAAUUGCUAUGGACUCCUUACAACAAUGCCUUCUAUAUUAGUAGGCUAAAAUCGGGAUUAAAUAAUUUUGAAUUUUAUGACCACCAAUGGAUCACAUAAACCUUAGGGUUAUGUUUAUGGAAAGUAUAAGGAUUAUUGUGUUUUGUCUCUAAAUCUUUUUUACUUUUGUUAUCACUUGUAACUUUGAAAUCUAAAAUUAAAAUUUUCAGGCCUUUAGGGGGGAGAUAUUGUCUCAAUGUGUUUAUAGAAUUUGAGACUGCGAAGGUUCUAGCUGAUUGACUAAGGAUGAGGCAGGAUGGAUGGAAGGUUUGCUUGGAGAUUCUACCUUUGUCAGCUCUUCUGGUUGACAUGUUGUUUAUUCUGCCUGAGGAACUACUUCUAGAUUUUUCCCUUUUCUAGCAGAACUAGUCUCUGGAAGUACUUGUGUGUCAUCCUUAUUCUUGAGGAAGACGCAGUAUUGCCUUUGAACUCUCCUCUUUUGCAUUCUGGUUAGCUUCAGAGUUGGUCUUCGGCUUUUUCCAAUAGAAUAUCAUCUACCUUCUAUGAUAGUUGCAAAGGGCUUGUCAUUUCCAGGCAUCUUAACUGGUAUUUCCUUCUUUGGCUGCUCUAUUAUUCUCUUGUUGCGUUGGGCAGGCCUUAAAUAGUCCUUCUGUCUGGCUCUAUCUCUAGGUGGAGCCGGAACUAGGCCUUGUUGGUAUGAUGUUCCAAUCCUGUCAAAAACACAAGGUGUGGGCUGACUUUGCCUAACCAGAGUUACCUCUAACUCACUUUCACAUUUGCACCUGUUGCACAAAACUACCCCAGCCGAAAUGGUUGCUUUUGGUCUUCAAUUAGCCUAUCUUUGGACUCUUCUGCCUAUGCUGGGGCUAACUUUUGCUGUUAGUUUGCCUUUCUUUUGUUUUGGCCAAUUUAAGUUGACCAUGUUGACUUGAGGUUGGGGAAAAGGGUCUGUUGUUAUCGAAUGAGGUUUCUCAGCCAGUUUUAGCCUCCAUGCUGUUAUUCCUUCCUGUAUGACGUCCCUGAAAACAACACAACUAUUGGUGGAAUGGUCCCAGGAGUUAUGCCAUCUGCAAUACUGUCUGCCCUUGAGUUCCUCUAGCUUGGGCAACUUGUAGGGUGUUUCUAUUGCCUUCUGUCGCAGCAUGUCAUCAAACAGGGCAUCAACCUUGGUUAAAUCGAGGGAAUAGACUUUGUUAUGAGCUGGUUUGUUUGGAACAAACCCUCUUGUGAAUGGUGGUGGCUUUUGGUCCUUUGGUGGCUUUGUUAAAGCCUUGCAACUGAUGAGAUGUUUUAAUUUCCCCAUUUCUGCCACUGCAACUUCUCUCUCCUCCGAGCUUUCUAUGCCUUCUUCUGAUUCUACCUCAACAAGAUUUACUGAAGAGGAUGGGGUUUUGUAAUAUGUGCCUUUGAAAGAGUUCCUCUUCUAUUGUUCUUCCCUGAGCAGCUCCUUGUAUUUAGAUGCUUUGUCUGCUAGUUCUGCCAGAUCUCCAAACAGCAUCCCAUCAAAUUUUUUUCUCAGAGAGAUUUUAAGGGAGAUUUGAGCCAUUUGGAUGAAGUGCCCUUCCUCCAUAGGGAUUCAAAAUUUCAUUUUGAGCUUUUUGAACCUGGUUAUGAAGUCUUGGGCAGGCUCAUCUUCCCUCUAUUUCCAGGUUUGAGGGCAGCAAGAUCACUGAUGGUGACUUCUGGCUGAAUCCUAAAAUAGUAGUCAUGGAAGACAUUUUCCAUCUAUUUCCAGGUUUGAACAGAAUUGGCUGGUAAGCUAGUAUAUUAGAUGAAGGCUUGUCCAGAGAGAGAAUUUCGAAAAAGCCUUAGUUUUAACAGAAGGUUAUUUUCUAUGGCUAUGCACUGGAAAGAGAAUCUGCCUAUAUGCUUAACUGAUGAAGCAUGGGUGUCUUCUCCGUUGAACAAGGUGAAGUGUGGUACCUUAAAGCCCAGGGAUAGAGGUAUUUGAUCGAUAUAAGCUGGAUAAGGCUUUCUGUAGGUGGGCCUUUCUCCUCUUCUGGCCUCAGGUUCCAUCAUCUCUCUGAUCAUUCUAUAAAGUGCCCCCAUGUCAUUCAAAGCAUUGACAUGAUGCGGGGUUCGCCCCUGUUCUGGCUAGUUGUGUUCAAUCCUUUGUUCUACUUUAUAUGGCCUGGGCAGAACUUCCUCCCUAUGCUCUUCCUCUUUUUCGAAAUCUGGAUGAUUCCUUUAGUUUGCCCCCGGUCUGUUUUUGUCAUUGUUGGCAAAGGGUUUAACUCCUACUCUACCUCUCAUGCCACUUGCUAGUGGAGGGAAUGGAUUGGGGUCCAUCCUUCUAGGUCUGUAGGGCAACACAACUGGUUGCUCAGGCAGAAGUGCCAAGGCCUGAUCACGUGGGGCCACUAGUUGUGGAAUAGGUGGAGGUUCUGGCUAGUUCUGAGGGGGUCUGAACUGGUGCAGAGCCUUCUGGAUGAACUGAAUCCUCAUGUUCUUGGAUGGGAAGGGCUCCUCCCCUCUGUCCAGCUUGGAUUUCUCCAUGUCCUGGUAUUCCAGCUAUCUGUGUGAUGAGAGGCUUCUCUUCAUAUGGCCAUGCCAGUCCUGGUAGAGGUCCAAAAGGGAGAUCUAGCUGCUGGACCACCAUGUCUAGGUUUGGAAUUUUGGCAAUAGUAGCCUCACGGUCCUUCCUGAACUGCCUGUUGACUUGCCAUUACAUCAUGGUUGUCAUGUUGUUUAGAGUAUCUUGGCUCAUUUGUGCUGUGGCUUCUUGCCGAAACACAGCCUCCUGUAUCUAGUUUAACCUUCUGGAACCAGACAUGGAACGUCUACUCGUGGUACUGCCAUGGGCUGAUUACCUAGCAUCACUUUCUUUUGACUCAAGUCCUUUUCGGAGAGCUGCUUGAUCUCUUUUCAUGGCAUAGCGUGGAUUCUGGCUAGAACUUCCAAUAUUCAUAUACUAGAGGAUUUUUCUAGAAAUAUAUGUAUUGAGAAGUCCCACUGGGCGUGCCAAAUUGUUCAUCCGUUUUAGAUUUGUUCCUGUGAUGGUAGGGUAAAGUUCCUCAUUGACUUGAAAACCAUUGGUGGUCAAUAAGUCAACUUUCUUUUGUGUACAAAUGUGCCACUGCUAGCAAUAAAAACCCUAGCAGACUUCUUAAAAAUAGAAAACUUGUGCCCAAGUUAUUAACUUCUAAAUAAGCGAUUGUGAAUUUGGGCGAGGAAUAUCUCCCAAGUAAGUUCUUUUCUUUGCCUCAGAUUGGUGAGGACUUCACAAUUUUUCACAGUACAAAACUGGUAGUUCUAGCUAGAAUAAAUGAUAAGAAAGUGAACUGUUUUCAGGCAGAACUACCUUUUACAAAGCUUAAAAAGGAAGACCAACUCUAAAAAGACAAAAAGAGCUUUUGGACUUCAAUUUCUGCUUGGAUAAAUGCUUCUGAUCCGGGCUGGACUGGGUAUGUUUGUGCUGGACUGGACUAUCAACACCUUCAACUGUCAAGUUUUAGCUGUCAAUGAAUACCAAUGUUCGAGUGUGGCAAAGCUUCAAUCUAUUUCAAGCCGUGCAAGGCUUUUUGAACGGACAGAAUUGGAACCUCUUCAGUCUGGAAGGGGUAGAAGUGGCUGAAUUUGGUGAUUACUGAGCUGGAACUGCACUGUAGUACCUGUUCUGCUUGAUCAGGGCUCUCCAUAAAUUUGUUGAGGUUUUAAUAUUGGUAAAACCCGAAGCUUAUGUUGAACCAACUUUGUAACGAGAGAAAUCUUGCUUUGAAUGACUAUUUCUCUGAAACUAAACAGAAGUUAGAGAUUCUGGAAUAUAGCUGACUUGUUUCUUAUGGCUCAAUGAGCUUUUGGUUGCUUCAGUGUUUUGAAGGCUUUUGAGAUCAAGUGAUCAUUUUGAGUUUUUAUUUUUGAUUGAUUUUUUGGCUGUCCUUUUAUCUGUUCACCUCAUCUCAUAUUUAUAGAAUAUACUGGAGUGUGAUUUCUAAUCUUUUAAUAAUGGGCGGCAAAUCUUUUAAAAGAUCUUUUUUUCUUUUUUCAAUGUCAUAAGAGAAGGAAGCUACUAUUCUGACAGAGAAAGGUUGUCAACAAUCAUCUUUCAAUUUUUCUAUGUUCACUUUUUGUUCUUUGUAAAGAGAAAGAACACAAUCUACCAUGAUGGUCAGUGUGCUUUUCCUGUUGAACAACUCCCUCGUUCUCUACUUAUCUCUUGAAAACGUAGUCUGCUUAUCUCUUGGAAAGACCACCUGAUUUGGUGCAGAGCUUCUCUAUAUAUAUAUAUAUAUAAAGGGAUUUUGAUCUUCUUCUUUUGGCUGAAAAAAUAGAGAAGUCUUUCUGUAAGACCUGCCUUCAUUAAUUUUCUAUCAACUUCUCUGUAAUAGUUGAAAAUUUUGACUUUUCAAAGCCAGGUAUUCACGUGGGGUUGUUUAGAAAAGAUCUGUUGAUUUUGUCAAUCUUUUAGGGUAGAGAUUAAAUAGCGUAAAAAGGCUGGGCUAGUCUCUUUUUCUUAGUAGAUAAAAAGCCCAAAUAUUUUGUCUCACUGCCCUUUUCUGGAAAAUAAAUGGGCUGGGUGUGUUGGAAAUUGGCCCAAUCUUAAGAAAGACUCUGGUGGCUGCCCAAAAUUGACAUAGGCUUUUCUUGAUUUUGGGCUGGGCAUGCCAAAUUAGGCCCAAACAAUGCCCCUUAAGUCUGAAUUGUUUUUGGAAUAGUUUCAGACUUAAUGAUUUGGCCAUUAAUUUGUGCGCGCCAUUUCCUUCUGUUAGCCCACAUCUGCCACGUCUGCCUAUUAUGAUCAAGACUUCGUGGGAAAGUGGGCAGUUACUAGCUAGUUAUUAUCAGGUGGCGUCUUGUCUUCUUCUUCCCACGAUUUCGAGUCUUUCUAAGAAAUUUAAAAAGACCUCAGCUCCUGUUUACUCAAAACCUAACUUCUUCAGACCUUGAUUUUCCUCAGUUUUCUCAGAAUUUUUACCCUUUUCUGCGAUCAAACCCUGCUUCCUUUCAGUUUGAUUCCCCUAUCCUAGCUCAAAACCCGAAAAUGUCUUCUCCAAAAAAUCGUGCCCAGACUUCUUCUUAUUCUGUUCCUCCUACCUACAUUACUGGGGCCGGUGUUGAUAAGCAUGUGAUUGAAGUCCGGAGCAAGCUUCAUCCUUUUGCCCAGAACGUUCUGGACAAGAACGUGUUACAUUUGUUCGAGAACACUCUUGUUUUGGAGCCUCAUCGGUUUGGUUCUGUCCCGACUGAAAUGGCAGAAUUGUUUAAAGAAUAUACUGAAGCUCCUCUAUGCUUUCAGAGCUCUUUCGUAGAUUUCAGUUUUAUAUAUAAACUAUCGUGUUUCUCCCUAUAACAUGUCGUUUUUAAGAAUUGUUGUCAAUGUUUUAUUUCCUGCUACUAUAAGACGGCGAUUAUUUAUACAUAUGAGACGUGUAAAUUAGAAUGAGACGUCAGUCUUUGGGAUUUAAAUUAAGUUUUUACGAUUUAAUGUCAUUUUAGUUCAUAUAAGGACAUAAAUGUCCUAACCAAAAAUAUAUUUAUGUACAUUGUCAAUAAAUUAAAAUAAACCUAAACAUUGUUAAAAUAAAUUAGAUCACUUAUUAUUCUGUAAUUACUUGUUAACGAAUUCAGCCCAUUCCAACCUGACUUCGUCAAUAUGUUCUUAUACAUACUGAACUGGUUCCUUUUUCUUAUCAAACUGCAAAUAAAUAACAAAAACCAACGUGUUAUAAAGAUUACAACGACUGCUUUUAAAGAAAAAGUUGUGGUACUAAAAUAAAGAAUUUAUAUCUUAAGUUUUGCCUUUUACCUUCUUCUCAAAUGCUAGGCCUGGAUCAUGAAUUAUAUCUCUCAUGAAAUGCAUCACGUAAUAGCCACACUCUACAUUUGUUGGUUGUCGAGGAGUGCCAUGUAGAUUUUUCCAUAUGACUGAUUUACAUGAUGAUUAAUUGCCUGUGUGAGAGUUAUACAUUUUGAUUGAACUGUUUCAAGAAAAUGAAAAGUGUUAAUGAUAAAAAUAAAAAUCUAAAGCAAAAAUAUUAAACGUCGUGGUAAAUAAGUGAAGACGAUGGUUUUGUUAAAAAAGUGAUGUUGUAUUUCAUUUCAAACGUUGGUAAAUAAAAACCGUCGUUGUGUAGAAUUCUAACGUCGGUGACGAUGAAAAAUGACGUAUAACCAAAAAUUGUUUGUAAAUGAAAGUUGAACAGAAAAAAAUAAAACUUCCUUAAAUGAAAAACACAAACGACGUGGUAUUUCAAUUAAAAUGACGGUUUACAGAAAAUACUGACGUUGUAAAUGAUUUCAAACAUCGGUUUGAAGUUACCAUCGUGUUUUCAUUGUAACGUCGGUAUUAGAAAAAGCCGUAUAUCAUUCAAAUGCAAAUAAAAAAAUGUUAGAUUUUCAUAGAUAAACUUACAUAUUCACUAUAUUUCUCAUGUCCUCGUCAACAACGCGGUUUGGCAAUGAAUCCAUGUAAUAGAUAGUCUCCUUCGCUGGUCUCACAAUUAUUAACACCCAAUGACCCCUACACAUAAUGAUCCAUAUAGGUUAAAUAUACUAGAAAGAAAAAUAGGCAUCAAGUAUAGUUAAGGGGACUAACCUUGGAUUACAAGGCACCAUGUAAAAUUGAUCCCCAUUUGCGUUUUUCAGGCGGUCUGAGAGAUGUUUCAAACGGUAAGAUAACGUUCCAGAUUGAGAGCUGACUUGUCCAAGGUCCACGAAGCCAAUAAGGUUUACCAUAUUUUCUAUUUUUAAAUAGUCAAAUAGGCACCUAAAUAUAUGAAAUUCAAUUAAAUGAGAUUUUAACUUUAAAGAAAGGAAAUGUAUAAUGCAAUCACUGUGGAUCCAAUCUCAACCAUGGAAGGAAAUUGUAAAAUAUCUUCACACAAGAGGAAGGUAUCAUGGUUAAUGCCAAAGGCUUCCUCUGGAAUGUGAAUUCUAAUGGUCUCGUUAAUGGGCUUCAACUUGGUCUCGACAAAUUGAAAUAAGGCUAACAGAGGAGGUGGCAUGUCUAGCUUUGAGAGAUCCUGUUACAACAAAUAAAUAAAGAAAUAUAAGUUAGUUUGUACACUAAGUAAAAUAAACGACUCUAACUAAACCAAUCAAACCGACGUGGUAUAUAAUAUAAUCGACAGUUUCUAGAACAUACUGAAGGAGUAAAGGUUAUAGACGACGGUAAAGACAUAACCAUCGUUAUGUAAAUGUUCUAACGUCGCUGCAUUAUGGAAAGGUCGUCUAAUUAAAAUGCAGUGAAGCCUUUAUUGAAAUACACGACAGUUUAUAAAAUAAACACCGACGUAGUAAAAUACUGAGACGACGGUUAUCAGCAACGUCUAUUUGAAAUUAUAAAUCAGAAAAAAUCAAAUAUCAAAGAUUUUACCGUUUCAUCUUGCCAUUGUUUAGCAACAUCAGCAUCAUUCGUGGGAUUUUCUUCCUCCAAAACAAGGGGUCUCACAUUAGAGCAGCUUGCUUUGUCAGACAUUAGAUUUUUUGGAGUAAUUGGAGUUUUAUUGAGCAAGUUGGGAUCACAGUUGGGAAUUAGUUGACUGAAUUGUUUCAAUAAAAUUUCCCUCUCUGCUCUGACUGCCUCCAAAACAGUUUCUUUUGCCUUAGCUUUAAUCUUUUUGGUUUCUUCUCUCACUGCCUCCAUAACACUUUCCUUCAAUUUGUUAGCAAAUUUUACUCUCUGCUGUCUCGACAAAUUGAAGAAUUGAGUUGGGGAAACCCCAGCUCCAACACCUCUAACUCUCCCACCAUGCUCAGGGGUUCCCAAAGCCAAGGUCAAAAUAUCGUUGCUCUCAGAGACAGCAGAGUGCCCUCGGAAACUUGUUUUUUCAAAUCAUCCUAAAAGUGAGAGAGAGAGAGAGAGAAUGUUAGUGAGUGAACAGAUAGUAAAACAGAUUAAAUAAACAACUAUACAAAAAUAUUAACCGACGUGGUAAAGACUUUAAAAAACUGAAAUCAAUCCCCAAUAGUAACAGGGACCAUGCAGCAACGAUUUGGUUGACAGUAGUAUAGGUUGGAGAUGCUGUUGAUCAUUAGAUACUAUUUUUUUAAAUAUCAAUUCUGUAACAUCCAGACCUAAAAAAUUAAUGAUUUUGAUUUAAAAUUAAAUUUAAAUAAGCAAUUACGAAUUUACCCUUGGGGAAGGGGUAUUUUGGUAUUUUUUUUUUAUUCAGAAAGAGUUUGGGGCAGUGACUAGUAUUUUUGGGUAGAUCGUACUGAGACGAAUCCGUAGACACGCGGUAGGCCUGAAUCGGAGUUGUAACGAAGAAACGGUGACCAAAAUUAGUCCAGUGGCAAACUUGUAAAUAUUUUGAACUUGGGUGUAGAAAAAUCUGAAACUGGCUUCCUCUCUCCUGCGUGCACACGUCCUUCUCUCUCUCUCCUCUCUCUCUCCUCGAUACCAUCACUCUCUGUCUCUCUCUUCGAUUCUCUCAAUUCUGGCCACGGCAAGGGCCGGGACUGGUUCCGAUCAACUCCUCACAAAGCCCCGAACCAGAACCACCACUUUUCUUGGCCGGAAAGCUCGAGUUUCGCGUGGUAAUCUCGACUGGUUUGAACCAGUUUUCCUCCGUCAUUGUGCCGCCGCCAUCGCAGCCCAAUCUCGGUUAAACAAGUGAGGUUUCUUACUCUUUUUCCGAGCUCUAGCUGCCUGUUGGGUAGGAUUGGAUUGAUUUUUUGUCUAGGAUCCCGAUUUUGAAACCUAAGUUUUGACGAAUUUCAAAGUGAAAUUCCGGCCGGUUGCCGUCCUAAUUAGACCUCCCCGUAGUUGAAUAAAGUGAUCCUCGCUUCGAGUAGUAGCUAAGGUAGGAAUGGUGAAUUGCGGUGUGGAGUUUUUCCAUCACUGAAAAUUACUCUACACAUCCACGCGUUGCCAGGGCAUGUGGAGGCGCAUGGGCAAUGUGGUGAGACCACAUUUUAUCCUGAUGUAGUCUCCUAGUCCUCACGUGCGCGUAAGUGUGCUCGAAUUUCAAUUCGAAUGUUGUUUGACUAUCGAACGGAUUUAUGCAUAUUGUUUCUUAUCCGGGUUCAAUAUGUUCGGACCAUUGGAUCGAGUCCAAAUUUACGUAUGUUAAUCUAGGCACCCCUAGGAUCAUGUGCGAAUUCGCGGAUCGUGAAUCGGAGCCCCGAAUGUUCCGAUUCAAUAAUUUGAAGUUUAUGGUUUGCGAUAACCGUCAAUUUCUGACCAAACCUACAGGACGUGUUUCCUAAACCCGUAGUCGGACCUUAGAAUACUCGUUAUGCGUGCACGCACCGGGAACUUGAGAAAAUUAGUAUUUAAUUUGUAAAUUCCGUUUUGAAGUGAUUUUUUAUUAAUUAAGGGUGCGUAUCUCGAAAUAGGUGCUCCAUCACUAGCACGCAGCAGGUAGGACCCUCUUGAGGUCAGGCAGUGUGGGACUACUUGUGAGUGGACAUUUAUUUUAUAUAUGCAUUAUUUUCAAUGAUUGAAAGAAUAUGCAUGAAAUAUAUAUAUUUUUUGGAAUAAAGAUUGAGAAAUUCAUAUGUUGUUAUAUCAGUAUUAUUUAAUUUAGAAUUUGGUUUGAUUUGAUGAUGAGUUAUAUAAAGGUCAAGUUAUUCGUGAUUAAGUCUUGGAUGAAUUUUGGGGGAAUCGGGAAUUGAAUAUUAUGGUUUAUGGUGGGAACUUAUAUGAUUACACUGUGUGGAGUACCAUCCCCUAGUUACUAGGCUUCCCACAUGUGGCGUUGGAAAUUUUCCAGCGUGUGAUGAUGUAGUCUGCACGCAUAGGACUUAGUAUUGGAGCUACACGUGGCGUUGGAAUUUCCGGCAUGUAAGCUAUGGAGUUUCGUCCCCCGGUUGGACCGCUCAUCCCUAGACGCAGGAUAGCAACUGAAAAUCUUGCGGGUUAGCCAAACAAUCCCCCGGUUGGAUUGUUUCCCCGGUACCUAAGUAGUGUGAUAAAUAUUAUGUAUAUUUAUAGAUAUAUAUAUUUCUAUGUGUGUGUGUGUGUGUGUGUGUGUGUGUGUGUGAGUAUAAAUCAGUUAAAGUAUAUGUAGUGGUUGGGUAAGAGCAGUAUAAAUUUUGGGGAUAAAGUUUAUGGAUAGAGUGAUUGAUCUCAAAGGGUUUCGGAGAAUGAUGUUUUUGAUCAUUAAAUAAAAGUUAUGAAUCUGCAUGUCUUGAGCAUUAUUUUUAGACGGUGGGGUUAUUAUGUUGUUUUGAAUGCAAAUUUUGUUUUUCCACUCACAUGUUUUCUGUUUUGCGCCCCCCAAACAGUAGUCGCUCAAGGGAGAGUUGCAAGCCAUGUUCGAGGCCCCGAACUGUGAACAUCAGUAGAUUAGGUUUCGAGUAAUUUCUUUCUACUCAACUGGAUGUUCUUGUAAACUAAAUUCGUUAGAUGCUCUAUUAUUGCCCCUGUUAGGUUUUACUUGUGAGGCCAGAGGCCAUUUAGUUUAUACUGUUGAAUAAUAAAUGCAUGCUGCUGGUUGGGAUUAUAUUGUGCUUAUGCAGGUUGAAAUUUUUGGGAUUGUUCAAUUUACAUGGGAGACUCUAGCAAAAUUUUAGUAGAGAGUCUCGGUUUUUAAUAAGUGGGCCAGGCAUCGGGGUAAUGUCGGAAAUAAGACUGGAUUCGUCCCGGUUUCCGAAGAAUUCGAGGCGGGUCCUGUCAAGUUCCUCCUAUUAACAAUAAUAAAUUAAAUAUUUAUAUAACUGAUAACAGUUCCUCAUAUUAACAAUAAUAAAUUAGUAUUUUGUAUAAUAAACAUGUUUAAUGAAAUUCAUCUUCUUCUAGCAUGUUUAUUUAAAUUCUAAGUUUUCUGAAGAAAAAAAAAAAAAAAAAGGAGAAGGAAAUGUCCUAAAUUAAAUCUUAAAAGUUCAUUUUUUUCUGUCCCUAUAUAUUUUUUACCCAAUUAUAAUUUGAGAAAAAAAGGUGAAUUAACUGUCAUUUCACCUUCAUCAUUUUCAUGAUUUAUAUAAGAUUCUUCAAAGAUCAUUUCCACAAAAAAUUACUUAAAUUCGAAUCCAUUUAACCGUCUAAUUAAAUCGUUAGGACCGUUGAAAUAAAAUUUAAAGUGAGUUUAAAGUGAGUCCUACUAUGUCUCCCUCAAAUAAGAUCAUUUACAGGAUCUGUCGAGUCAUAUGAGAAUGUUUAGCUUUUCGAUCCCAAGAGUUUGGUUCGAUUUUCAUAUAUAUAUAUAUAUAUAUAUAUAUAUAUACAAGUCAAUUUACUUUAAAAAGUUCACCAAAUUUUAUUUUUGGUCUCGGUAGUUUGCUUGAGGGCCUUUUUCUGUCAAUCUAUUUGUUGUGAUUGAAAGAUUUUAUAUAAAACAAAAGAUAUGUUUUUAUCUUAAAAAAUGCUUAUUUUCAGAUCUUUACAUAUAGACAUACAUAUGGCCUGAGAAUUCAAGCAAUAAAGACAUAAGCUGAUGAGCAUUCAUAAUCAUUAGAAUGAGUACUGAAUGGUCAACUCUUUCAAAAUACUUCGGAAAAAAACAAAGGACAAUACUUCCUUCCUUACUCAUAAGAAGGAACUCCUUCUCACCUUCUAUUGUCCCUCAACCACAAAGUAACAAGUGUUCUCUUUUUUUAAUUGUCAAUUUUUUUUUUUUCACUUUUACUGAACCCCUAGCUUUUUACCAAAGCAAAAAACACAAAACAAUAUUCCCAUUGUUUUUUUUUUUCAUUUUGAUUUUUUUCUCAACUUUUUGAAAAAUAACAUUUUUCCUUCUUCAGUAAAAAAUUGAAGUCUUUGUGGUUAAAAGCUAAGGUUUCAGUAAAGGUUUAAAAUAAAUAAAAAGUUUUGACAAUUCAAAAAACAGAACACAUAUCACUUUGUGGUUGAGCCGCAAUAGAAAGUAAGAAAGAAUUCCACCUUACCCAUAAGGAGGGAAGUAUUGUCAAAAAGAAAACAUCUUAAAAAACACACAGAAAACCCACCAUCACUACUUAAAAGAAGUAGAGAAGUCCAACAUUCUGAUUUUUAUACACCUACGUGACGUGAGCAUUCAAUAAUCAUCCUACACAUAUGUUGAUGUGAGCAUUCAAAAUCAUUAGAAUGAUUUAAUUGAAGACUCAACGUACGGACGUCUUUUUCACUUAGAUUCCCUUCCUGUACAAACUUGAAUCAGUUCCUCCACGACCCCAUCAAUCUCUUCAUCCUCUUUCUUGUUCACGUUGUCGCUUAUUUUCAAUGCCUUUUUUCUCACUCCCUCUCCAAAUUUCUCCACAACCACAUCUCUAAUCACCUUUGCGACCUCUUCUCUUUGCAAACUUCCUUCACCUGUUCUCUUAACCUCCACACCAACACCCACCUCCUCCACUAGUCUAGCGUUGAUCGGCUGGUCAAGAUGCAUAGGCAUGGCUAUAAUUGGAACACCAAACUUGAUGCUCUCCAACACUGAGUUCCAUCCGCAGUGACUCACAAACCCCCCAACACUAGAAUGCUGCAGUAUCUUUGCCUGUGGGGCCCAACCCUCCAUUAUCACUCCCUUCUCUCCCACCCUCUGUAAAAACCCUUCUGGUAACACCUCUUCAACCCUAGUACUUCUCUCCUCCUUAGAAAAUCUUAUAACCCAAAUGAAGCUCACUUUGCUAAGCUCUAAUCCGUGAGCUAUCUCUUCUAUUUGCUCCUUGGACAGAAAGUACUCACUGCCAAAGCAAACAUACACAACAGAAGACCUUUCCAUUUUGUUCAGCCAUUUCAUGAUCCAUGUUUCCUCAUCAACUUUUUGAUCCAUUGGCUCUUGAACAAGCGUGCCAACAGGCACGAUCUUCUUCCCCGUUAAAUCAGAGAGAUAAUCAAUAUAUUUUUCUUCAAUCUCGCUGGAUGUCUUGACCAAAAUGAUGUUACAAGAUCGAGCACUGCAUUGCUGAACACGGUCUCCGUCUUUGAUGCCAUUUGCUGAAGAUUCCAACAAAUUGUUGAACUUUUCAGCUUCGUAAUGUUGAAGAUAAAUCGAAGGAAAAGGAAACUUGACACUAGGGUUCUUGAGAUGUUGAAUACUAAAUGAAGUAAAGGCAGCACCCAUGGUGGUGAAUUCAAUGGAUGGAAAAUUUUGCAAUGAAGCUAGAGAGGGCGCCCAUGGUUGAAGAACAUCAUAUAUGAGCAAAUCUGGACUUAGGGUUUUGAGGAUGUUGGAGAAGUUGUUGCUGGACAUGCUGAAAGCCGUUUUGAGAGUGGACAUGAGAUGGGGAGGGAGGCCAUUGGUGGUGUGGUAGUGCGGUGGGAGUUCAGGCAAGUCAUCAUGUGGAAGAUGGAGUUCCACAAAUUCAAUGCAAUGAGAAUAUUUUUGGGAGAGUUUAGGCUUGAUGGAGCUGAGAUUUACAGGCGUGGAACAAAUAAAGAUGUGAAAAUUUCUCUUGGUGGUCAGCUUCUUGGCUAGCUCUAGGUAGGGAGAUAUAUGGCCGUGAGCUAGCCAUGGAAGCAAAAGAAUAGUAAGGCUUCUUUGGUCAGAGAAAACCAUAUUUUGUUUUCCUUUGACUUGUUUUCCUUUGACUCUUUUGCUUGAGGUUGCUCGAUUAUAGGCUUAUUGGUAGUUUGUUUGUGGCUAGCUCUAUGCAUAUAUAUAUAUAUAUAUAUAUAUAUAUAUAUAUAUAUAUACACACACAAAAACGCGUGAUGAUUGGAACAUGCACACGUAAGUUCCAGAGAGUGAUGAUUGGCCUAUGAUAAAGACUCGAAACAAGAAUAGUUUAAAUUUUCUUCUUUGUUUGGCUUGAUAUAAGACGAAUGCACCAAACAAACCGACUAAAUGCCGACACAAUAAUUAGGUACGUAAUAAUAUCAACUUUCAUUAUAUAGAUCUGAGAAACAAAAAGUUGAACUUUGAUGACAAGCGAUAUUAAGGAAGGGCACAAUCGAACUUAGGAUCUCGAAUGUUGAAGUACAUGCUCUUAACAACUUGAGCUAUAAGGUAUUUGUAAUGACAAUUUAUGGUUUUAAUUAUACUUUUGAAUAGUUGCUUCCUUCUCUUUCAUUUUUAUUUUUAUUUGUUUAUAUUUAACUCUAAUUUUAUUUAUAUUUCUGGUCAAGGUAUAAAGACUUUGAAUCUCUCUCCAAUUAUUUUUCACAGCCGAAACUCCUUUAGUUUCCACAAAUCUUUUUAAACAUUUCAGGCAUAUGUAUGUUUCCGAGUCGGAUGGUUCACGUAACCAAGAAAUUUAAACUUGUUUUUGUUUGUUCCUCCGAAGAAAGCACAACAAAAGGACAACCUACAACCAAUACUUCUCAUUGAAUUUGUUGCCGUGAAUGAUUAGGACUCUGCCCAAACUAGUAGUUGCGUUUCUGAAUUGUUUGAAAACACAUAUCAAAUUAUGAUUUCUCCUCCCCGAAAGAAAAAUUGACGUAGAAGUAUCAUGAUCUUGAUGACACAAAUUAGAAUCUAGGGUUUUCGAAGUGCCUAAUGGACAACUACUUAUUUAGAAAUAUAUAUAUUUUUGUGGCUAAAAUUUAAAUUUAUUAUAUAUAUUCUCAAUGCAGAAACACAUAAAUCUAAGUUCGAAUUCAUCCUUUUUUUGUUUUUUUUUUUUUGUUUUUUUAACCCAGAAGAAAAAUUGAGUCCCACUCUGCUGUGUAGAAUGCGCGUUUAGUAUAGAUUUUUUUAUUUUUGAGUCUCUUAUCUGGUUCCCGAGCUUCUACAUUUAGGUCUCGUGUAUUUAUCUGCAUUUUCUUAAAUCUAAAUCACUCAAACAAUCUAACCACUUAACAAAUGACACGUACUCAAACUUAAAAUCAGAAUGGAUGGAGUAGAGGCUUACACCGAUGAUUCUUGGUCAAGACUUGAGAGACAGAUGGAGACGAGGCAUGACAUAAAGUCUGAAGAAGAGAAACGAGGAAGCUUCAUUUAGAUGGUGGUGUAAGUGCAUACGUAAAGUCCAGAUUCAACAGGAAAGCAUCUUAAACGUAAAGAAAAUAAGUUUACCAGAAGCAAAAGAGAUACUGAAGUAAUUGUUUAUCAACUGAACUUAAACGAAAUAUUAACUCUUUGUUGUGCCAUAAGCACAAGAUCUUAUGAAAAAAAAUUCAAGAUAAACCAUAUAAUAUUGGGAGAUUCACGUUUAUACCGAAUAUAGGAAUUCAAAUUAUAAAAUAAAUAAAUAAAUAAAAUAAUCGAUAUGAAAUGGACUUUAGAAACACACACAAAGCCUAUUUACAACAUAACAAAAAGGUUUUUCCCUUCUUUUAAAUUACAAAACUGCCAUUGAUUUCUUAAAACAAACCCAACUCCAAAACCUCAUUAAAAAAGCACAAAACACUCAAUAGGGUGUCAAAGUAAUUUAAUAAUAAAAAAUAAAUUCAAUAAGGCCAAUUGAAUUUUUUGGAUUUUUUUUUGGGUUUGUUUAUAGAAAUUAAUGGUGUAGGGUUUAUCUAUAUUAUUGGUGUUAAGAAUGAAUAAUGACUAAAUAUCUCUAUAAUAUUUUCUAACUCACAAAAUAAUAUAGAAAAUAAAUGCAAGAACAAGAAAAUAGCAAUAUGCAAUUUAACGAAGCUGCUUACAAUCAGUGCAAAUGAGCAAACAAAUUCGCUAUUAAUUUAUGAAGUGUUUUUGUAUUUACAAUACCGCCUCUUGAAUGUCCACCAUACAAUAAUAUAGUUGCAUCAUUAAAAACUUUACUUGAAAAAUCGUUUGGGACAAAACUUAAGCUAAGAGAAAAAGAGUGCAACACAAAUGAUAUUGACAUCACAUAUGUCUCUCCUACAGAGUGAGCUUUGGUGAUGCUUGUAUAAAAAUUGCUUUCACAUCAUUAUUGGGAGAUGUAUGUAUGUCAUCAAUCAUUUGAAUCUUGUUGAGGUUAAAGUAAAACCAAAAAAAUAUCAAGGGCCAUUUUCAUAUAGUUUUUCACAAUAAAAAUUAACAAAAUAACUUCAUGUUCUUUAAUAUCAUCAAAAAAAUAAUAUAAACAAACUCAUAGUUUACCUUUUCAAUGAUAAGUGUUUGGAAAAUUUACAUGGAAUAAUAUUUGGUAUGCUAUGCUAGCAUCUCAUAAGCUCUUCAAGAGACCUAAAUUUUAUGAUAACUUCUUAAAAAAAUUUGAAUACUUUUCAACAAUAUUAAACUUGAAUUCAAACUCAUAAUUCAAUCAAAGUACUCAUUGAGGCAAUUUAGAUCAUUUUCAUUUUAAGAAAAUUGGGUGCAUACAUUGAGCUUCAUGCCCUUUACCUUCUUAGAGAUUUUCUUCGAGCAAUUUAUAUUGCAUGACAGAUUAUAUCUCUUAGAAUUUGUUCUUAUGUAUUCUUCAAGAGAUCUCUUCUUGCAAUAUGCUUCAAACACUUCAUAAUCUUUAUAGAUUUUUCAUGUAGAUUUAAGGUCUCCAUGAAUAUUGAGAUUGAAACAAGGAGUAAAAUAAAAGUUUAAGAAAAAUUUUCCCUGAUUAUUUUGUAAUUAUAAUGUUGGUGAAAACCUAAUUUCCUUUCUGAAAUUUGUGAAAUUUGUUAUUUGGCUAAGCUAAAAGUAUAAUAUUGACAAUAAAACGUAUACGAAAGUUUCUCUUUGGCUGGCUUCUUGGCUGGCUCUAGGAAGGGACAUUGCGGCCAUGAGAUAACCAUAGGAAGCAUAAUAAGAAUGCUUGGAUGCUCUGAACAAUCCAUUUUCUGACUCUUUUUCUUGAGGCGGUUGUUUUCUUAGGCCCAUCAGAGUUUAUGGUCGACAGAUAAGCUUCAAACACAUGCAUUGGUCGUGUCAGUUGCGAUAAACUCUUCCCAACAAUCUGAGACUCACAUCACUCCAAACACAUAAAAAGAAGUGGAAAUUUGCUAUUCUUUGUCUUUGUUUGGACAGCUAAUAGCAAAGCAUUGGAAACAUCGAAAAAAGAAAGUUAAUUAAUUUAAGAAAAACAAAGAAAUCCUUCUUUUUUUUUCUUUUUUUUUUCAGCAAACCGAAACAUAAAAUCCGAAAAAGAAGAAGGCAUGUCCAAAAUUACAUCUUGAAUUUAUUUUGGAGAUUCACUAUUAUACUCAAAUUAUAUAUGAAAUAAAUUUUAGAAACACACAUGACGCCAAUUUACAAUAUAACAAAAAAACUUUUAACUUCUUGUAAAUUACAAAAUUGUUAUCGAUUUCUUAAAACAAGCCUAAUCCUAAAACCUCAUAAAAAAAAAAUCAAAACACUCAAUAAGGCAUCAAAGUAAUUUAAUAAUUAAAAUUAAAUUUAAUAGGGUCAUCUGUCAUUUUUUGGAUUUUUUUCGAAGUUGUUUAUAAAAAUUAAAAUAAUGUAUAGUUUGUUUAUAAAAAUUAAAUGAUGUAGAGUUUCUUUAUAUAAUUAAUGUUAAUAAUGAGUAUAUGAAUAAAUGUCACUUUUCUUUAUUAACCAUUUAUAAUAUAUGAACUCAAGACUUCCUAUCGAACACCGAAUGGUCUUUCCAUUCCUUGUUAAUUCAAAGUCUGAAAAUGUUCGGUGUCAGCUCAUGAAUUUAAAGGCUUAAAGGCUCAAAACUUGAACGAAUAUGAAAGAAAAAAGUCGUUCACCGUUCAUCCUCUUCCUGCAGCUGUGCAUGCUAAUCACCCACUGAAUUAAACAUACAAAUACGCUUUAUGUUUUCUCAAAUUGUUCUUUGAACUAAGUAGAGGUUGGAAUACACUCGGGGUCAACAUUGUUCAAAUACAAAACACUUCUUAAUUUUAUAUUUUAUCAAAACAGAUCGAAACUUCAUUCAAACUGAGAACCUAGAUUACAAAACUACCAGAAAAACUGGAAUCUGCACUGUGGCCUCAUUAAAACCUUGCUUUAAAAAACUCCUAAAAGAGGAGAAUUCAGUCAAGAAAAAAGAGUACCACAGCAAGUGAAAUCCGAUAUCAUACUUCAUUCCUUUCUCAUACAAAGUUGAAUCAACUGCUCUACCACCCCAUCUAUCUCUUCAUCCUCUCUCUUUUUCAUGUUGUCUCUCAAUUCCAUUGCCUUUCUUUUCAAACCCUGUCCAUUUUCUUCCACCACCACAUCUCUGAUUACUUUUGCUAUCUCGUCCCUUUUCAGCCUCCCGUUCUCGUUGCCGCCUCCUCCCAUUCUCUUAACCUCCACACCAACUCCAACGUCCUCUACUAUUCUAGCGUUAAUAGGCUGGUCAAGAUGCAUAGGCAUGGCUACAAUUGGAACGCCAAACUUGAUGCUCUCCAACACUGAGCUCCAUCCACAGUGGCUCACAAACCCACCAGCACUAGAAUGCUUCAAUACUUUUGCCUGUGGAGCCCAACCAUCCACUAUUAUUCCCUUCUCCCCCACCCUCUCAAAAAACCCUUCUGGUAAUACCUCUUCAACCCUAGUACCUUUCUCUUCCUUAGGAAAUCUUAUAACCCAAAUAAAACUCACUUUGCUAAUCUCUAGCCCAUGAGCUAUCUCUUCUAUUUCCUCCUUGGAUAAAAAGUACUCACUGCCGAAGGAAACAUACACCACCGAAGAUCUUUCUCUAGUGUUUAGCCACUUCAUGAUUUUUGUUUCCUCCGAAUCCACUUCUUGCUCUAUAAGGUCUUGAACAAGUGAACCAACAGGCACAAUCUUCUUCCCAAUUAGAUCAGAGAGAUAAUCAAUAUAUUUUGCUUCAAUCUCUCUAGAACUCUUAACUAAUACGAUCUUACAAGAACGAUCGCUGCACUGCUUAGCACGGUCUCCAUCACUGAUGCCAUUUGAUGAAGAUUCUAACAACAUCUUGAUCUUACUAGUCUCGUAAUAGAUUGAAGGAAACGGAAAUUUGACACCAGGUUUCUCGCCAUGGUGGGUACAAACUGACAUCAUGGCAGCACUGGUUGUGAAGAACUCGAUGGCUGGAAUGUUUUGUAACAAAGCUAGAGAGGGUGCCCAUGGUUGAAGAAAAUCAUAAAUUAGCAAAUCCGGGUGUAGGGUUUUGAGGAUGUUGGAGAAGUUAGGGCUUGCCCUGUCGAAGGCGGUUUUGAGAGUGGACAUGAGGUGGGGUGGGAGGCCAUUGGUAGUGUGGUAAUGAGGUGGGAGUUCAGGCAAGUCGUCAUAUGGAAGAUGUAGUUGCACGAGUUCAAUGCAACGAGAGUAUUUUUCAGAGAGUUGUGGCUUGAUGGAUCUGAGAUUUACAGGUGUGGAACAAAAAUAGAUGUGAAAAUUUCUGUUGGUCAGCUUCUUUGCUAGCUCUAGGUAGGGAGAUAUGUGUCCAUGAGCUAACCAUGGAAACAUAAGAACACUGAAUUUUCUUUGCUGAGAAGAAUCCAUUUUUUCAGACUCUCUCCAUUCAGGUCGUUUGUUUUAUAGAUCUAAUAAGUGAGAUGAAAAGAUGACAAAAUAUAUACAGAUGAGUCAUGUGAAUCUAGGUUUUUUCUUCGUAGUCAGAAGAGUCGUGCGUAAGUGCAUGCGUGUAUACAAGACAAAAGACAUACGUUAGACUUCUUUAUCUUCGUUCGUGCUGAUAUAUAUUAAGAAACAGACCCUUGCAACUCUAAUAUCCUAGACAAAAAUUCAAUUUUAAAAACUGAUGCUAUGUCCUGUGUUUUCCUAAACAAUCCCUAUUUUCUGUAGUCUUUCAAUUAUUCUAAAUUUGCUCAACAUUCAAUAUAACAUCAAUUUCUUAUAAAUCCCUGAACUUUCUCUAGCAUUCAAAAUUUUAAAACAUUCUCAAAGUAAUUCGGCUUCAAAGGAAUGGUAAACUUAGUAAUGGCUUCUUUUCCCCUUUCACGAUGCAGUGGCUGAGAGUUCUGAGAACGGAAGUUGUAGUUGGGUGACUUUGAUUCUUUUUAGCUGAUGCCUACUGCUUGAAUGAAAUGGAGCAAAGAGGUCAUCAGUACUUACACUGCUACUAGGAGGGUAAGCUUGAUUAUGUGUAUACUAUAACUUUAGAGUUUUGGUAUUUGGAAUGAUGAUAAUUUCAAUGUUACAUUUAUUUUGUUUACUACACUAUGUUUCUUUGUUGAACUCAAAUGUCAUGCUGAUAAAAAGAAAUAUAUUGUUGUAUGAAAUUGAAUCAAUAAGGAAAUUGACUGAGAUUUAAAAAUAAAAUUACACAGACACAGCAUGCAAUAUUAAUGCAAUAUUAAAUCUGUGUUAAAUAAUGUAGGACAGAUAGAUUAGCUGAUCGAGGAGCAGCUGGAUAAGCCCGUGCAUGUCGUUGUGCCAGAAAAGCCCAAUUCGUGCAAGUAUGGGCCCUGAACUCUUAAUUAGGCUAUGAUCUGUCAUUUUGAAGAGAACGGCGUGACAAGUGCAACUCACUGCUGUAUUGUGACAUACGGACUAUUUUAGUCAAAUUCUAUCAUUUACAUUGCAUUUUCAGCAUUUAAAGUUUUUUAAAAAAUUUGGAAACUUUUGUUAUUUUCCUUUUUUGUUUUCUAAUUAGCUUUCUUAGCAAGUCUAGGGGUUCUCUUGUAUAAAAGGAAUGCAUUGGAGCAUCCUAAACUAUUCAGUUUAUUAUCAAUCAAAUACUUUUGAGUUAUACUAAAUUUCGGAUGGAUCCGGCAUGUUACUUGCAGGGUUAUCAUUCGAUCUCCUUAUUCCCUAUAUCUCGCUACGUCAGCUGUCAUGGCCAACUGGGGAAGUCGUGUAAUGGAUAUCACUUAUGGUGUGCACCAUGUGUAGUAAAUAGUUGUCCAAAACCUUUCCCGCAGCUCUAGUGCAAGGGUGUAUUGUGUGCACGUUUGAGGCGUGCAUAUAGGUUCCGUAAAUUUCAUGAGCUUUUUAUGGCUAGUUCUUUCGGGAAGUGCAUAGGGAGUGAUCAACUUCUUGGUCACUAACCUGUUUGAUAUUCUUAGUAAUGGGGUGUUAGUUGGAUUGACUUAGACUUUUAGUUUGCUCUCAAGUGGUCCCGAGUUGAAGCCCCCACGGUAUCCGUGUGUGUGAAUUUUCCCCUUCCCUUUCCUAAUUUAACAACAACAACAAAAAAUACUUAUUUGAUAUCCUGGUUUAUUUAUUUAUUCUUUUUUAAAAAAAAAUUUAAAACUUUUUUUAUUAAAAGGGGUAAUAUCAUACUAAACUCACACACACUACAUAGAUGAUAGGACUUGAAUUCACCAUAAUCGUUUUUUAGGAGCAAUUACUUAUGGUAAACAAUUACUUCAAACCACUACACUAGUAGUCAUUAGCGGCGUUUUAUAUUCUUGCACAAGCUAUGUGGUCACUAAUAUUUUGUGUAUUAAGGGCUUGUGGUGUUUCAAUGUUGAUAAAAAUGCCAAAUCAGAAUUCAAUACAAGAGUACAACCACCUAAAGGAUAGCAAUGAACAGAUACUAUUUUAUCCACACAAAAAAAAGUUUAUCUGAUAUGAGCAUUAUUCAAAAUCAUUAGAAAAUGAGUACUGAAUGCUAAAAAGACGCUAAAACGUAGAGUCAAAGCCAACAUUCACAUGAUCGGCCAUCAGAUACGCUUAGCAUUCAAAAUCAUUAAAAUUAUUAUUGAAGUCUCAACUCCUUUUCACUUAAAAGUAGAUAUUUGUUUCCCUUCUCCUACAAAUUGCAUCAAUUCCUCCACGACCCCAUCUAUCUCUCCAUCUUUGUUUUUCAUGUUGUCUCUUAAUUCCAAUGCCUUUUUUCUCAUGCCCUCUCCAAUUUUCUCCACAACCACCUUUCUGAUCACCUUCGCCAUCUCUUCUCUUUGCAAAAUUCCUUCUCCUGUUCUUUUAACCUCCACACCAACACCCACCUCCUCUACUAAUCUAGCGUUAAUUGGCUGGUCAAGAUGCAUAGGCAUGGCUAUAAUUGGAACACCAAACUUGAUGCUCUCCAACACUGAGCUCCAUCCACAGUGACUCACAAACCCACCAACCCUUGAAUGCUUCAAUAUGUUUGCCUGCGGAGCCCAACCCUCCACUAUAAUUCCCUUCUCCCCCACCCUCUCUAAAAACCCUUCUGGUAACACCUCUUCAACUCUUUUACCUUUCUCUUCCUUUGGAAAUCUUAUAACCCAAAUAAAGCUCACUUUGCUAAGCUCUAACCCAUGAGCUACCUCUUCGAUUUGCUCCCUGGACAAAAAGUACUCACUCCCAAAGCAAACAUAAACAACCGAAGACCUUUCCCUUUUGUUCAUCCAUUUCAUGAUCCAUGUUUCCUCAUCAACUUUUAGAUCCAUUGGCUCUUGAACAAGCGGACCAACUGGCACGAUCUUCUUCCCCAUUAAACCAGAGAGAUAAUCAACAUAUUUUGCUUCAAUCUCUCUAGAUGUCUUCACCAAAAUGAUGUUGCAUGAUCGAGCACUGCAUUGCUGAACGCGGUCUCCGUCGUUGAUGUCAUUUGACGAAGGUUCUAACAGAUUGUUGAACUUUUUAGCUUCGUAAUCUCGAAGAUAGAUCGAAGGAAAAGGAAACUUGACACGAGGGUUCUUGAGAUGGUGAACACGAAGUGAGCUCAAGGCAGCACUGGUGGUGAUGAACCGGACCGAUGGAAUAUUUUGCAACGAAGCUUGAGAGGGUGCCCAUGGUGGAAUAAAAUCAUAAAUGAGCAAAUCUGGCUUUAGGGUUGUGAGGAUGUUGGAGAAGUUAUUGCUGGACAUGUCGAAGGCCCUUUUGAGAGUGGACAUGAGAUGAGGAGGGAGGCCAUUGGUGGUGUGGUAAUGAGGUGGCAAUUCAGGCAACUCUUCAUGUGGAAGAUGAAGUUCCACAAAUUCAAUGCAAUGAGAGUAUUUUGGAGAGAGUUUUGGCUUAAUGGAGGUGAGAUUGACAGGCGUGGAACAAAUAAAGAUGUGAAAAUUUCUCUUAGAGGUAAGCUUCUUGGCAAGCUCUAGGAAGGGAGAAAUGUGGCCGUGAGCUAGCCAUGGAAGCAUAAGAACAGUAAUGCUUUUGUGCUCAGAGUAAACCAUCUCUCUCUUUGGCUCUUUUCUUUCGGUUGUUUGAUUAUAGGCUGAUAGGUUCGGUUAUGGCUAGCUCUAUGUGUGUGUGUGUAUAUAUUUAGCAUCACAGAAGUUGGAAGGGACGCGAGGAGUCUUCGUGUCAGUGCAUACUUAAGUCAAGGGAAAUACGUGGCAUAAAUUUUUGGGGUAAUGUUAAGUUUAUCACAUUUUUAUACGAUAUUUUUAAUAAAGAUGAAGUCCACCAAUAUAAUAGAACCUAUCUUUAUUAAAAAUGUGAUACACAAUGUGAUAUAAAAAUAUGAUACGCAUAGCAUUUUCCAAACUUUUAUGAUAAAGAUUCAUAUGAGGCCAAUCACACAAAAGAAGUUCAAACAUCUUCUUUGUUUGGCCUGAUGUAAGAACCGACCAAUGUUUCUAGAAGAAAGUGCUUAGAAUACUUUUUUAUCUUAUAUAUAUUGGAAGGUAUUUGAAGUUGGAAUUUUAAUCGCCAAUUAAAAAAAAAAUGUUCCCUAAAGGAAGAGUGCCACUGCGUCAUUGGGGAGAUUGGAUCGUGAGGGAGAAAGGGGUUAUGCUGUCGAACAUGCAGUUUUAAAGAUUUUUCUUUCUUUUCUUUUUUUUUUUUAAACAACAAUUGUUGUUCAUAGAAGAAGCAGCAUGAUUUGGCAGAGAGGUGGCAUAGAUUCAAUGCAUAGAGAGACAUGUGGCCGUAGGCUGAGCAUUGACGGAUGAGAAUACCGAUGUGCCGAGAAAUAAUCUAAUUCUUAGAUUCUUUUGUUGGUGUACAGGUGUACAGUUAUGGUACUCAUGAUGUAGAUGAGUCAUGAUACAAUCUUUGAAGAAGAGCAACGUGGAAGCAACCAACAUAUAUAACAACAAACUACACUCACAAUAAAGCAUACGAAAGCAUAGAAACACCUUUUUACUUGAAUGUCAAUGUCAUAUGUGGUAAGAGCAUGUAUAAGGAAGUAUGUAAAUUUAUGUUGUCUUUUAGACUCUCUUUUUCUUUACUUUGGUUCAACAUGUAUGCUCCUCAACGACUGAUGACUCUCUUAUUGGCUGUAUUGUGGAGGAUGUUUAAGCUCUGCUAAAAGGAUUUCCACCAAACAAGUUCAUACAUACUUUCCGAGAAGCAAAUGAAGCUGCUCAUAGGGUAGCACAAUAUGCUUUGCACAUAAAUGAUAGUUUGUCUUGGUCAGAGGUGCUCCCUGCGUUUGUGCAGGACGCCCAUUUGGAACAUUCAGAUCGGAGUUAGGUGUUACGUUAUCAUUCAUUGUAUUAGUUUGCUUAGUUAAAUAAAGUUUUUUCUCGUACCGUCGAGGUUUUUGCAAUUAUACUCUAAAGGCAUAAGUAUCAUUGUACUUUUACGAAUAGUUUGGCACAAUAAAUUGUCGUGAAUUGAUCACUAAAUUCUGGGACUGUUUUGGAUUAGAUUGAACUGGCAUAAGCUGGAUUAAGUACUGACCUACAUUUGAUAUUGCAUCAGACUAAGAAACUAGAUUGCAAAAUAGUGAAAAUCUAUGUUUGAUGCUUUGUCGAACUAAAAAAUAAUUAUUUAAAUAUUUAAAUAUAAUAAUUUUUAGAUAAUUAAAUGUAAUUUAAGAUCUUAAAAUUAUUAACAUACUUCCUAGUUACCAAAUUGACAUGUGUUGGCAUAAGCCUUCUUAAUUAAUCAAGAAGAUUUAUUUCUUUGAUUAAAUAAGGGAUUUACUUUCUUAUUUUAUAUAGUCGAUAUAUCAUUGUACAAUUAGGAGAUAUUCUCCUAAUUGAUUACUGUAUCUAUUUCUUUGUACAGCUCUCAUGUAAACUCCUAUAUAUACCUCCUUAUGGAGAAGAAUACAAUUAACCUAAAGUAUUCAAACCAUAUUCAUAUUUUACCAUGGUAUCAGAGCAAUCGAUCCUAGCUUGUCUCUAAAUCCUCAUAUCAAAUUCCUCAUAUUCAAACACAAACCCUAAAUCAAAUUCUUCAAAUCCAAAUUCCUCACAUACAAAUCUCCCACUCUCAUAUCAAGUCCUCUUAUCAAAUCAAAAUCCCUAAACACAUCCCUUUAUCUUACCCUCAAAUCAUUCUGCUGCCAUAAACGCCGUCUCGUUUCCUCACACCGACGGCUCCUCCACCUCCACUCCCCAAAUCAUUGCUAUUCACAGCGACAACUCCUCAUUCCCUAUCGGCGUCACCCUGACUGAGACCAAUUAUGCCUUAUAGUCUCAAGUCAUGGAGAUGAGCAUUGUUGCCUGUGAAAAAUUGGGGUGCCUAACUGGCUAAGGUGUAUGAGAGGCAAUAUGUCCCUAAUUCCCUCCUCCGUGAUUAGGGAGGGUUCACACACUCUCUCUAAUUCCCUCAAUUUGGAUUCUGUGUUGAUUGUUCCAUCCUUGCACCAUUGUUUGUUGCCCAAAUUACUACGACUUUGAAUUGCACUGUAACCUUUCGGCCUACUCAUUGUGUUAUUCAAGACAUUCUCUGUAGCAAGACGAUUGGUUGUAGUACGAGGAGGGGCAAACUCUACUACGUGGACUUGGCAUCUAACAGAAGCCAGAGUCAGUCAAGCUUUCAAGAUUGGGGGUGCUAGUGUUGAGAAACGAACUGCCGACGUCUGGUUAUGGCAUAGGCUUCUUGGACAUGCUUCGUUUGGAUAUUUACAAAAAUUAUUUCCAUCCUUAUUUACCGGUUUAGAUAUUUCAAAUUUUAAGUGUGAUAUUUAUGAACUGGCCAAGAGCUAUCGUGUUCCUUUUCCCUUGAGUUCAAAUAAAAUUUUGGUUCCGUUUUCUCUUGUUCAUUCUGAUAUUUGGGGCCCUGCUAAAAUUUCCACUCUAGGGGGAGCUCGAUGGUUUGUUACGUUUAUAGAUGAUUGAACCCAAAUAACCUGGGUUUCCAUUCUCAAAACUAAAAAGGAAGUCAGUUCUAAGUUUCAACAGUUCCAUCAAAUGGUGGAGACUCAGUUCAUACCAGAAUCCAGGUUCUCCUCUUUGACAAUGGCAGAGAAUUUCUUAACCAUGAUCUUAACAAGUUCUUACAAGAUCAUGACAUCAUACAUCCACGCUCAUGCCCAUACACUCCCCAACAAAAUAAAGUGGUUGAAAGAAAGAACAGACAUCUAUUGGAAGUAGUUCGUGCCUUUCUCUUUGAUGCCAAUAUGCCUUAUUCAUUUUGGGGAGAAGUCAUCCUCUCUGCAGCUUACCUCAUCAAUCAGAUUCCCUUUAGUAUCUUAAAUUUCCAAACACAACUUCAAGCACUUCACCCCCAUAUCCAAAUACCUCCCAGCCCAAACCAGGAACCCCGGAAUUUCAAUUGUAUUGUAUUUGUACACUUACAUGAUCACCAAUGAAGCAAAUUGGAUCCUCGAGCUGAAAAGUGUAUUUUCAUUGGCUAUGCUCUUCAUCAGAAAUGAUACCGUUGUUAUCAUCCUCCAAGUCAGAAGGUCUAUACCUACAUGGAUGUCGUGUUCUGGGAACACGAUAUAUAUUUCUCAGCCGCACAGGAGGAGAAUCAAGAAUCACUCCCUCCAAAAAAUUUUGAUUUUUUCCCUCAGAACUGCUCCCUGCCUCAAAGCGACAUGUCGCACAACUCACUCAACUGGUCACCCCUAGACUUUCUUGUAGGCUAACAGUUUGCUUCAAAACGACUAGUAGCCUACUUCAUGCGACUGAUCAUCCUUUUUUGUUCCUUCACAGCCGGCAACUCUGUCUCAAAGCGACCGGUAGCUAAUAGAAAGCGACCGGUCAACUCCACACUACCAAAAUCAGGAUGAGGAAAUUGAACCGUUUCAUGAGAUUUCUCCCGCUCCAUAGAUGUCUUCAGCUCUAGUACCACACCAAUCAUCUAUUAAGAACGUCAUUCAGGUAACACCUUCCCCUGAAACUGAUAACACUAAUGAAAUAUACCAUGAUGAUGUGAUUUCAGGAAACAUAAGGGAUGCAGACAUCCCUACGUGUCUUCUCCUAGAAAGGACAAACCGUGGUAAACCUUGAGUACAGUAUGAAGUAGAUCUUAAAGCCAAAGAAAAGUACCCCAUCAACAAUAAUAUAUCCCUAAGCAGAUUGUCGUAAUCAGAUGCACAUUUUGUGAAGGAGUUGGCCGACAUAUCUGUUCUCAGUAGUGUAAUUGAAGUACUAUGAGACUCAAAAUAGAAAGAAGCCAUGAAAGAAGAAAUGCGAGCGCUUUAGAAGAAUGUCACAUGGGGCUCGUGCCUUUACCUCACAGAAAGAAGAUAGUGGGAUGCAGGUGGGUCUAUAUUGUGAAACUCAAAGCAGAUGAAUCCAUUGAAAAAUAUAAAACUAGACUGGUGGCAAAAGGGUGCACACAGAUAUGGGGUGGACUACCAGGAAACCUUUGCCCCAAUAACCAAGAUCAACACUAUCAUAAUCCUACUGUCUCUAGUAGCAAAUCUAGACUGGCCACUACAUCAGUUUGAUAUUAAAAAUGCCUUCUCACAUGAAUGAAGAAAUGCAAGCGCUCUAGAAGAAUGUCACAUGGGGCUCGUGCCUUUACCUCACGGAAAGCAUAUAAUGGGAUGCAUAUGGGUCUAUAUUGUGAAACUCAAAGUAGAUGAAUCCAUUGAAAGAUACAAAGCUAGACUGGUGGCUAAAGGGAACACGUAGAGAUAUGGGGUGGACUACCAGGAAACCUUUGCCCCAAUAACCAAUAUCAACACUAUCAGAAUCCUACUGUCUCUAGCAGUAAAUCUAGACUGGCCACUACAUCAGUUUGAUGUUAAAAAUGCCUUCUCACAUGGAGACUUGGAGGAAGAAUUCUACAUGGAUUUACCACUAUGAUGUAGUGUAGCUCCUAACAAGAAGAAUCAUGUUUGCAAUCUCAAAAAAUCACUAAAUGGUUUAAAGCAGUAUACCAAGGCAUGGUUUGCAGAUUCACUAAAUCCAUGAAAUUUUUUGGAUACACUCAAAGUAAUUCAUAUCAUACUCUAUUCUUGAAGCACAAAGGUGAAAAAAUCACUGCAUUAAUCAUGUAUGUGGAUGACAUGGUUGUAACUGGGAACGACACAUGAGAACAACAGAAGCUGCAAAAGUAUUUGUCUAAGGAAUUUGAGAUGAAGGAUUUAGGUCAUCUGAAAUACUUUCUCGAAAUAGAAGUAUCGAGGUAAAAAACUGGGAUAUUUAUAUCUCAAAUGAAGUAUGUGAUGGAUCUACUCACCGAAAUAGGAAUGUUUGGAUGUAAGCCUACUGACACACCCAUUGAGAUGAACCACAAGUUAUGUGAAGACAUGGGCCGGGUGCCUACCAAUAAGGAACAAUACCACUGCCUUGUUGGAAAAUUAGGAAUGCAGUUGAUCUGAUCGGAUCUUAAGGUAUUUAAAGUCAACCCCUAUAAAGGGACUAAUGUUCUCCAAGAAUGGAAACCUUGAAGUUAUUGGAUAUACAGAUGUUGACUGGGCUAAUUCCAUUACAAAUAUAUGCUUUACAUCAGGUUAGUUUACAUUUGUUGGAGGUAACCUUGUUACUUGGUGAAGUAAAAAACAGAAUGUGGUUUCCACGUCUAGUGCAUAAGCAGAAUAUAGAGGAAUGGCUUAAGGAGUUUUUGAAUUAUUGUGGAUCAAAAGACUCUCGACCGAAUUGGGCUUCAAACUAGAAAAGCCAAUGAAGUUACAUUGUGACAACAAGUUAGCUAUCGAUAUUGCUCAUAAUCCAAUUCACCAUGAUCGAACCAAACAUGUUGAGGUGGAUAGACAUUUCAUGAAAGAAAAAAUUGAGAAUAAGAUCAUCCGUCUACCAUUCGUAAAAUCAAAAGAUCAACUUGCAGAUGUCUUAACAAAAGUUGUUUGUGGAAGAGUGUUUUAUGACUUACUUACCAAGUUAGGUAUUAGUAAUGUAUAUGCACCAACUUGAGGAGGAGUGUUGAAGUGAGCCUUCCUAAUUAGUCAAGGAGAUUUAUUUCCUUGAUUUAUUAAGGGAUUUACUUUAUUAUUUUAUAUAGUUGACAUAUCAUUGUAUAAUUAGGAGAUAUUCUCCUAAUUAAUUACUAUAUCUAUUUCCUUGUAAAGCUCUCAUGUAAACUGAUAUAUAUAACUCCUUAUGGAGAAGAAUACAAUUAACCUAAAGUAUUCAAACCAUAUUCAUAUUUUAGCAACAUAUACAUUUCCUUUCCCCAAACCAGAGGUUUUUUUGUUUGUUGUGAAAAUUAAAAAUUCCACACAAUUUAUGUAUACUUGAGUCAUUAUUUAUAUGCAAGCACAAAGAAUUUAAGGUUUGAUAUGCCAAAUAUUCGAUUAAUGUAUCAAUACCAACCACUUACAUCAACUUGUGUGUCAAGAAUUUAAGGUUUGAUAUAUGCAAAACUCAUAAUUUCUUCAUAUAUGCAAAAGGCAUCUACAUGACUCGAAAUUAGAAGUUGAGCUAACCGCACACAAUUCCACCAUUAAUACAUACAAGUAAAUUAAAUAUCCACAAUUCCAAGAUGAACCUAAGAAGCCCUAUGAUGAACAAAAGUUAUAUCUCGCAAGUGCACAAAUCGAUAUGAUAGUAUAGCAAGCAAAUACGAGAGUCGUUCCCAUAAAGAUUUGUACAGUUUAUUAAUUAAUUCCAAAUAUGAAUACUUUAAGAAAAAUAAAAAAUAAAAUAAAAUAUUAAAAUAUUAAAAUAGCUUAAAAUAAGAUUACUCGAUUUUAAUCUAAGUGUAGAAAAUUAAGAAAAUAAAAUAACAAAAGUUGGAAAUUAGUUUUGAAAAUCAAUGGAUGAAAACUAGGACUCCGACUUUACCAUAACAAUCUUAUUUUAUGCAUCGAGUUAAUUUUGAGAAUAAGGUGCCAAUUCGAUUCCAAGGAUUCGUUCUCUCUUUAUUUUGAUGAUUCAUUCAGCUGCAAUGUCACCAAGUAUUCUCAAUUAAACCUACUAAUGAACCACAUAGCCAAAUUUACGAGAACCCAAUAAGUGUAAUUAAGAAAAACAAUCAAGAGCAUCUUAACUUGAACCCCGGUUUAAAUAACAACUCAUUCAUUCAUAGUGCAUAUAAGAUUAAGGAAGAACCCCUCACCCAGUCUUAUCUUAGACAAUGCAAAAUACAUAUAAUGGUCAAUUACAAGUAUCAAGAUCACAAUUAUAAUAAUGAAUGAAACGAGGAAUAUAAAUUGAUUAAAAAUAAAAUAUUAACUCAAUAACAUAGAACCAUCAUGUUAGGUUACAUCGGAUCCCUAGCAAAGAAUUUAGUUACCCAUAGCCAUCUUCGAAACAAACAAUAUACUUAUGAACAUAUAAAAUAUAAAGUUUGAAUUAAGAUAGAAAAACCCUUAAAUGAAUCCACUGUAGUUGAACUCCUCAUCCAGCAAAUCUGGAAGGCUAUGAAUUGCUAAGAAUAUGAGUAUGUGAGUUGGAUGUUUUGAGAUAUUUAACAAUAUGCUAGGGUUCACCCAAUGUCACACCCCGGGAUCGGCUCCGCCGUAGCACGAUAUUGUCCGCUUUGGGCCCCCCUCUCUGCCCGCACGGUUUUGUUUCUGGGAGCUCACAAGCAACUUCCCAGUGGGUCACCCAUCCUGGGAUUGCUCUAGCCUCCAACUCGCUUAACUUCGGAGUUCCUACGACUCCGAAGCCAGUGAGCUCCCAAAAGGCCUCGUGCUAGAUGGAUGCGGGUGUGCACAUAUAAGGCACAUCACCCCCUCUCCGUUGGUUGAUGUGGGAUCUUACACCCAAAAUAUGUCCAGAAUAUGUAUUUAUUGGCUCUAGGACUUUCCCCAGUCAUAUAAGGAAUAGGAAACUUAAAACUCCCAAACCCUUGGAAAAAUAGCCAAAAAGGCCAAAAAUUCCAAGCUAGAUUCGAAUCGUGCACUCGAGCGCCAGAAUAACUAUAUAUUAAAACACCCAAAAAAAACUCUUCGUCCCUGGUACUACCCCUCUCCUUCCCCCCACAACCUUCCUACGUCUCUUACCCAGCCGACCAAAAUAAGCCUCCGCCACAACAAAAAUUUUAAAAUUAAAAAUGAAUAUUUGUGAACAGUGUGGAUGUCAUUUGAAAAUGAGUAGUUGCGUGCUCCUCCGGAAGCACACACUAUAAUAAGAGGUAAAAAUUGAUUGGUAGCAUACUCGGCCAAACGUGUGAUUUUUCGCCCACUACAGAUCCCAUACUACCCCCAAUAAACUGAAAAUCCAUAACUCCAAUGGCUAUAAACCCCAAAUCCUCAAUAACUUUGCAUUUUUCAUGACGUUAAGCCCAAAAGUAUGUAACUUUGCAUUUUUCAAAGGAUUAAUUACAUUUUUUGUCAUUGCGCUUUGGCUCGAAAUCAAAUUUUGUCACCAUGUUUUCAGUUUUCUUGAUUUUGUCACCCUACGUGCCUUCAAAUUGACAGAAAUAAAGGAUUGGACAAGAUUUGUUAAUGACUGCAAGUGGGGUAACGAAAUCAGAAAAAUUAAAAGCACGGUGACUAAAUUUGAUUUCUAGUUGAAUUUCACUAAAAUGUAUAGGGACGUGGAAUAAUUUUCGAGGAAGCUAUAGAGGGUGCCCAUGGUAGAAGAAAAUAUGAGAGCAAAUUUGGGCUUGGGGUUUUUUAGGAUGUUCGAGAAGUUAUUGCUGGCCAUGUCAAAGGCCCUUUUGACUGAGAGUGGACAUGAUCAAGAUGGGGAGGAAGGCCAUUGGUAGUGUGAUAGUGACGUGGCAUUUCAGGCAAGUCAUCAUGUGCACACAUGCACAAAUUCAAUGCAAUGAGAGAGUAUUUUUAAGAGAGUUUUGGCUUGAUGGAGCUUGAGAUAUAGAGGUGUAGAAAAAAGAAAGAUAUGUGAGAUGUACAGGAGACCGUGUGCUUGCAUAGGUAGUUUUUGUAUAGUGGAUAGAGAUGUAUUACGGAGUCUUGCCGUGAGUGCAUGCAUAGGUAAGUUCCAUUCUUAAAAAAGUAAACUCAAAAAUUAAUAAUUUUUAAAAUAUAAAAAAAAAAAAAAAAGAGUUUUCAUGUAACAAUUUUAAUAUUUAAAAACUUAUUUAGUAUUGAACUUUAAACUAUUUUUAAGAUCUAAAAAUAAUUGAAAUUAAAAUCAGAAAAUUAGGGCCUGUUUUGGAUUUGAAUCUAAUUUUAUAAACUCAAAAAUAAAUUUUAAGUUCAAAACUAAAAAAACCCGUUUUGUAUGCCUUUUUAAUAAUCCGAACCUCGAAAAAACUUUUAAACACCAACAAAUUAAAAGGAGAGAUUCACUAUUAUACCCAAUAUAGAUCCCAAAAUAUAAAAAACUCUUAUAUGAAAUGGAUUUUAGAAAUACAAAACUCAUUUACAACAUAACAAAAAGGCUUUUAAAUUACAAAACUGCCACUGAUUUCUUAAAACAAACUCAACCCCAAAACCUCAUAAAAAAACUCAAAACACUCAAUAGGGCAUCAAAGUAAUUUAAUCAUCAAAAUUAAAUUCAAUAGCGUCAGCUGUCAUUUUUUGGAUUUUUUUUGGGUUUGUUUAUAAAAAUUAAAUGGUGUAGGGUUUAUUUAUAUUAUUAUUGCUAAGAAUGGGUAUAUGACUAAAUAUCUUAUUUAAAAAAUAGAGAAAGGCGGUUUUUUUGGAAUUUUAUUUUUUUCUACUCAUCUCAUCGCUCGAGCUACGAUUGCUCUUAGCUCCUUCUGGUCAAGCUCAAGCUUCAAGCCCCCAUGGCAGAAGUUUGAAGCUUUCUUGCUCCCUUUCUCUCCAUCUCUCUCAUAAGUAACUUUAAGGGCUAGGCAUCUGAAGAUUGCCCUCGCUGUCUCCUCUCGUCUUUGCGAUUCUGUCAGUCAAAGUCUCAACAUCACACCAUUGGCUCGCCGUGAGCUGGAGUUGCACAUCUCUUAUGUCUACAAUCGGGUAAUUUUGAGUUCCCUUUUUGUCCUAGUUACUGAAGAUUAGGGAUUAAUUUUCAUUUGGGUUAUGUUUGAUUUAUUAUAUAUAGCUUAUUUAUAUCUAAUUCGAUUUGAUUUAUAUGAAUUCUUUUGUGUAACCUAAACUGUAAUUUUUUGCAAAAGCAUGAACAGAUAAAGGGUUUUGGAAUGGUACCUCUGUAAUUUCUUGAUACGUUGCCUUUGUGAUGAAUAUGAAGCCCUAGUGAAUCAACAGAUAGCAAGACAUUAGAACUCUGGCAUGUGAAAAUGGGUUUUGGAAAAAAAAAAAAAAAAAAAAGAAUGCCCAUAAAUAUUGUGGUAGAUAACAUGAUACCUCUUAUUUAUCUCUUUUAAGGUUGAUUUGAUUUCCUUUUUUGUUGCCUUUUUUAUAGUUUGUCAUGAGUUUCUUGUUCUUCAAGUAAAACCUUCUUUUCGAACUAUCAGUCAAACUAAUGCCAGAUACAUUUUAACGGCUAUAAACUUGCCUGCAUUAUUUAGAUGCUCAUUCUCCAACUUGGACCAUUGGAACAAAUUGUUCAUUAGAUUAGAGCUAUUGAACUUGAAAUGAAAAGGGUAUAUCUAACUUGAGUUUCAUGUCAGCUUCGAUAUGGCUGCACGUGUGGAAUGAUAGAAUCAUUGGGAUUUGGGGAUUUGAGUAAAAGUUCCACAUCCCUCUUAUGAUGACUUCAAGGGCUGCUAAAAUAAAAACACCCCAGCUUCACGAAAUACAUGGAGAACUCAAUGAGGGUUAGAUAAAGUUCAGCGGUUAGAUAAAGUUCAGCUUCUCUAUUUGAUUUCAUGGGUUUUCCCAUGGGUUAGAGAAGGAGAUGGCAGAGAGGGUAAGAGACAAAGAGGGUUUGGGACCUUCACCCUUGUCAGAUCUCUCUCUCUCUCUCUCUCCCACCUCCAGCAGCUCCAUACCACAACUAUAGUCCAAAUCCAAAUACUGAUUCGUUUUUAGGAAUAACUCACCCAAGGUCAAAUCCGAAAUCUCCGCCAAGGUCCGUCAAGGAAGAAUCUGGGAUCUAAGAUUUGGCAGUACAGACGGGAUUUUCCGAUAUGAGUGGAGUCGAUUUCGAUAUGCGUAUAUGGCGGGUUUUUUUGGGAAUAAUCUGGGUUGUGGUCGUUGUCAAGGAUGAAGAGGACUGAAGGAGAAGGAGGUGGUUGGAGUGGUUCUUUAGGCGGCGACAGGUUUUUUAUUUAUAGGGAUUCUUAGAUCUAGGUCUAAAACGAUUAAUUAAAACCAUUAGUUAAUCUGGGUUUAGUCUACGCGUUUUUUGUUUUAGAUAUAGAUCAUUUGACUUUUAUUACUUUUUUGUUGUUUCGAUUUUACCCAUUGGUGUAAAUAAGAAAAACACAUUGAAAAUCUAAAUUUAAUGCAUUAUUUCCUCAUAAUUAAAUUUCAUAUUUUGAAUUUGGAUUUCUUUCCUUGAUAAUAUUUACCUAAUAUAUAGAUAAAAUACAAUGUAAUUAAUGAAAGUAAAAACUCACAUAUUAUACAAAUUAUUUAGGCAAGCACCCACAUGAAAUUAUGUACCUAACAUACAAGUAAAUAGUGUUAUUAUUAGCAAUGGAAAAAACUUAAUGAUAAAUCGUGUUACCUAUAAGUUAGAAACAUAAAUUAAAAGACUACCUAUAAGUUAGGAACAUAAAUUAGAAGACUACCUAUAAGUUAAAUACAAAAAUAGGCAAAUAAAAAUUGUAUGUUAACUAAAAAAUAAAAAGGUACAUAAAAUACUAUUAUACAAUGUCAAAAAUAUGAAAAACGCAUAUAUACCUAUGCAAUAGGUAAUGGAACAAUAUACCUACACCAUAGGAUAAUAUAUUUAUAAGAGUAUGUAAUAUACCUCUACCAUAGAAUGACAGAAAUAAAAAUUGUUACCUAUAACUCAUGUGCUAAACGAUGUGCUACUGUAUUUGCUUCCCUAAAAACAUGUAAAAUAGAGGUUGAGUAAAUUGAGCCAAAAUAGACCCGUAGUCAUCCACCAAGCACCCCAAAACAAAGCUCUGUGGGAGUGGACUAUGGAUCACCCAAAAAAGUGCAUGGGCAUCACCUUCCACAAUCAAAUGCUCUGGACGCCAAGCAGUCAAUUUCCAUGAUGGGAGCAUUCAUGUACGUACAACAUGCCAAUUACAACAUACCUACACCAUAUACGUACAACAUACUUAACAUACCUACAUCAUGGGAACACUCGUGUAUAUUUGAAGACAUGGAGACAUGUGCACGGUUCAUGUGAAGUAAGAAGAUGAAGAGAGAAAAAGUAAAAAAGAAGACAUGAAAAAAAAAAAAAAAUGAAGUGUGAAUUAUAGGUAGUGGUUAAGAGAAUUUACCCAUGCACCCAAGGUCCUAGGUUUAAUUCUCCCCUCCUCUAUUAUCACUUGCAUGUGUUAAUAAAAAUAUUAUAGGAGGUUAACAUUAGGUCUAAUAUUAAAUGUGAUAAUUAUUUAAAAGGUCAAAUAUAUUAACUGUAUGCCUGAUAUGUCCCCUUCGACUAUAAUGAGUGGAAAGUUAUAAGGGGUAAGUUAUAAGGGGUUCACUUUAUAGCCAUUAGAUAAAUCCAAGGGCUGGGGAGAAUUGAGAUAAAGUUUCACAAUUGGGUAGGUGAGGAACCCAAACCCGAAUUGAAUAUCCAGCACGUCCAAAAAGAAGAAGAAGAGGGAAACACGUCCGAAAAAGAAGAAGAAGAGGCAAGUUCGAAGUUUGAACAGAAAGAACUCAUCUCUCUAAAACCCAGAGGUCUGAGAUACCCAAUGAAGACAACGGCUAACGACAGUUGAAGGCAACGAUUCGCCACUCCGUUCUCCAGACCCUGAAAAAGUAUUUAUUUGGAGUAGAAGGGGCAAAGGUGUGGAUUCCAAAUCAGUGAAGGGGCCAAGCAGUGGAAGGGGAAGGGGAGAAGCUGUAUUCGUUGGAAGUGGUAGGUUCCAUUUGUGGAGCAAAGAAACAGAAAGACCCCACACAGACACCUUGCAAUAACCAGCAUUUGGUGAGUAAUUUAUGGAAUUUGAGUUUAGGGUUAGAGUAAUGGUUUUCCCCAAUUUGUACCAUAAAUUUUGUUGGAUUUGGCAUCUCUUCAUUGUGCUUCAGUUGCAUGUUAAUUUUUGCUUAGGUAUAUGUUAAAAAAAGAAUGAAAAUCAAGUCAAUAACAAGUGAAUAACAUGUCAAUAAUGAUAUGAAUAAGAUAAUGGUGUUGAAUUGGAGGAGGCCCUCAAAACCUUCCAUAUUUGAAGCAGUGCAUAGUGCAGAUUAAGAAGAGGCGCUAGAAUAUAUAUAUAUAUAUUUUAUGAAGUAAAUAUGAUUUCCUUUGUUACUAAAUUUGCCUGAGAAACAUUUGAACAGAUAAUAAUAAACUCAUGAAUAGAACUGCAAAGCAUUUGAUGAGUAAUGUAAGGAAUUUGAGUUUAGGGUUAGAGUAAUGGUUUUCCCAAAUUUGUACCAUCAAUGUUGUUGGAUUUGGCAUCUCUUAUUUGUGCUUCAAUUGCAUGUUAAUUGUUGCUUGGGUAUAUGUUAAAAAACGAAUGAAAAUAAAGUCAAUCACAUGUCAAUAACAUGUCAAUAACAUGUUAGUAAUGAUAUGAAUAUGAUAAUGGUGUUAAAUUGGAGGAGGCGCUCAAAACCUUCCACAUUUGAAGCAGUGCAGAGUGAAGAGUACCUCUCUGGCACUAGAAUUUAUAUAUUUUGUGAAAUAAAUAUUAUUUCAUUUGUUACUAAAUUUGCCUAUGAGAAAUGAGAACAGAUAAUAAUAAACUCAUGAAUAAAAGUGCAAAGCAUUUGAAAUGAAGGUUGAUCUAUGACGAUUGUGGGUGACUGAAGAAAAAGCUAGAAAGAAAUAAGGAUGUGGCAAUUGCUUAGCAAGCAGAUAGCAGAGUACAUGCUUUGCUUUGCUUCCUUCCACUAUAUUUCUUAUUUAUUUAUUUUGGGUUGUGUAUGAGAUGACAAUAAUUGUCAUGUGUGUGAAGUGCAGAACUUGCCUACAUUGCACUCACACGAGUAUGGAUCCAUAAAUAAAACACGUGAAAUUGUUUGUAAUUCACAUAAUCAUUGCAUUAACAGGUAUUUGCACAAAAAUUGUCAUAUUGCUUUGAUGAUGUUAAAGCCUGUGAUCAGUAAUCCCUAUGCUCAUGUACUUUGUAAAAGUUGUAAUGUGCCUGGUUGACUAGUUGUGAUUGUGCAAAUACGUGGUAGUAUAUGUGUUCACGUUAUUUCACAUUGUAUUUGAGGAAAUGGGAUCCAACGUGGAGCUGGUAUGGCCAGAGGCAAAGGUAUAUUCGUCACGGGUGAACAACUGCUCACAUGCAAAUUCAUCUCUAGCUGCAAUUCGAGCGAAGUUGAGUGCGGAACAAUUAGAACAAUUCAAGAUAUCAUGCUUUGGCCAUCUUCUGAAUAUAGAUAAGAUUCAGUUUAGCGGGAAGAUUGUGCAUGGGGUUGUGUUGCGUAGAGUAGCGGGGCAGGGUGUGAAAGACUUGGAUGGACUGAGUUUCUUAUUAGGGUGUGACGUUGCUCAGUUCACUCGUCAGGAUUUCUGUUUGAUCACAGGGCUUCGUUUUGGGGAAGUGCCUGAAGUUUCCAGUGGAGAGAGUGAUGAAAUCAGACUUCAGAAAAGAUAUUUUAUAGACGAAGGAAUUACAUGCAAUGCUUUAGAAGAAGCAUUUCUGAGGUGCACAGAGGAAGAUGACAUCUACAAGCUAGCUCUUGUUUACUUUGCUGAGUUAGUGGUUUUGGGAAGGGACAAACAUUUGAACAUCAAUCUAAAUUACCUGACCCUUGUAGAGGACUUGGAUGCGUUCAACAGGUAUCCGUGGGGUUCGGUGUCCUUUGACAAAACCCAAGACAGUCUAUUUUCUGCACCAACAAAGUACGUGAAAAGCUUGGAAAAUGAAGAGGGAAGAGGGAAGGGGAAAAGUAAGGUAACGGGAACAAGCCGGAGAAAUGAGAAGGGCAAGAAGGAUAAGCAUGGUGAAGCGCAAAGGAGUGGCUGGAGUUUUAAAGGUUUCACGUAUGCUUUCUAGGUACAUGGUAAUAAUGUUCAUGUCAGUUAUGUUUUGUUUUUCUUUAAAACAUAAAUAAUGACUUUUGUCCUGUGAAUUGUGUAGAUUUGGGUAUAUGAAUUAAUUCCUAGAAUGGCGGACCUGAAUUACUGCAAGGUUGUUGAUCCGACCGCUGUCCCGCGUAUUUUGCGAUGGAGAACUACUACGUCUGUUCCAGAGAUGAGAAAGUUGAACAAUUAUUUUUUCCAGAGCAAAGAGGUUUGGUUUGCAGCCCUUGGAACUAUUGAUAAGAUUGAAUGAAAUUAUGAAGUAGAAUGAUUUAAUAUGACUCUUGUCUGUAUUCUGAAACAGUCAGUUCAGUUGCGGGCGCUAUGUCCGAGUGAAGAGGAAAUGAGACAACCAUAUUGGAGUUGGCCACAGGAUUGCCCUGCUGUUGUCUCGGCAGAGUCAAUUCCUUCUUCAUGUGGUGAUCUUGAUGAGUUGAACAAGGUGGUAAGCUUGUUGAGGUCCGAGUUGUUUCAAGUAAAGCGGGAAAAAGACGUCCUUCACUUAAAGGUCAUACGGAUGGAAAAACUGUUGGACCAAUGUUUAGGUCCUCAGUUUGAGCAGGAAGUAAGGAGGGACCUAGCUUUACUGAAACAGAGGACGAAUCGUUGUGUCGUCUCACAUCUAUUUAAGGGAUAUGGGGAAAUGGAUGACAUUCAAUGGGAUGAAGGGCCAAGUAAUAGAAAUGAGGGAGAGGAAAAGGAAGAUGAAGGGAUUGAAGGGGGUGAAGGGCCAAAUAAUAGAAAUGAGGGAGAGGAAAAGGAAGAGGAGGGGAUUGAAGGAGAGGAAAAGGAAGAGAAGGGGAUUGAAGGGGGUGAAGUGCAAGGAAAACCAAGUGAGGUAGAGGAAGGGCCAAGGAAAAGAAGUGAAGGAGAGCAAGUGCAAGUAAAAAGUAGCAAAGGAGAGGAAGCCCAAAGACAGAGCAGUGAGGGAGAGGAAGUGAAAAGAAAAAGCAGUAAGGGAGAGAAACUGCAAAGGAAAAAAAGGGAAGGCAAGGAAGUGAAAACACAAAGAAGUGAGGAAAAGGAAGUGCAAAGAAACCAAUGUGAGAAAGAAGAUAAUGAAGUUAUGUUGCUUGGGGGUGACAUUGGCGAGAGCACGAAGGGGACACUGCUUGAGUUUACUGUCGGGGACAUUGAUUUGGAUGAACCUACAGCUGUGCUAUCUCAGUUGAACGUGUGGUUGAAUGAUAAAGGUAAAGCUGUGGCACAAGGGGUCCAAUUACGGAAAAGGAAGAGGAUCAUUCCUAUGUGGAAGAUCAUUGAAGGCAGUGAAUUGGUUCCAAAAACUGGGGCACAGACAACCGGACUGAAGAUGUUAGACCCAAUGAAGGCGAUUCCGCAUGAUGAUCUGGUGAAUUUGCUGAAACUUUGUUGGGAAUGGCGCCAGGACCCAAAGUAAGUCCCUUGCAAUUAUAAGAUAGAAGCAUGACUGUAUAUAAUUUUUUAUAUACAGUGUUCUAAAACUAUUUUAUAUUCAUAGUUUGGUGAUGCAAUUUGGCAACGUGGAAGCUGAGAUUGAAUUCUUCGCUUCCCUCGUGAAAGCUGAUGGUUGGCUGAAAGGAGAUGUAAGUGUAAUUGAUUAUGCAUUUGUUUUAAUGUACAUAGAUUAUGAGAUUGACAAGAAAAACAUGUUGCAGCACAUUGAUUUGGGGUUGUAUCUCAUCCGGAAGCGACAACAACAGUUGGAGACAGAUUCGGUAGAAAUAGCGGACUGGACAACGACCGAUGUUUUUUUUAUGGUAUGUCAUCGGCCUUGACCAAGUGCCGUUAAUAAUUACACAUUUUCCAUACACACACUAGUGGAGGUGUUUAACCAUUGAUUGUUUUGUAUUUCACAGAAUCACAUUCGUACUUGCUUUGACGAUAAUAAAAGAAAAAAACAGCAGCUUGGGUGAAAAAUCAGAAAAAGUUUACUAAACGUUGUAAAUGGGAAGGUUCCUCCGUGUGGGUUGGAUUGGCAGAACGUCUAUAAGGUGUAUACUCCAUUUAUGUUGACGAAGUACAAGCAUUGGGUGGCUGUAAUGAUUGAUCUGGUAUUGUGUGAAAUCAAAGUGUACGAUUCAAAGGUUUCACUAAUUCCAGAUGACAUCGUCAAGGAAGAACUCGCCCCGCUAUCAAUUACGCUUCCAAAUCUUCUCAACACCAUCGACUUUUAUGAAGAAGGUGUUUAUGCAAACAAUUACAGCCGAGAUUGGUGGUGUCCGUGGCCAAUAGAGCGUGUGGAUGUUCCACAACAGUCUAAUGAGUAAGCACAACUUGCAAUUUAAUUUUAUUACUUUCAAUUGUCAAUUACGUUAAAAUGUCAUUAGUUGAAUUGAUCGAGUUCUUGUUUUGCUUCAGAGGCGAUUGUGGCAUGUUUGUGUUAAAGUACAUUGAGCUUUUCAGCGCUGAGCUUCCGUUAGCUACUUGCACCUCGCACAACAUGCCUUUUUUUCGGUUGAAAUUGGCUGCGGAGAUAACAAGGGGAGAUGCUUACUUCCCAUGAUAUUGGUUGAAGAUGACAAAUGGUACAUGAGAAGGUUUUGGGAAUGUCCAUUCUCAAACUAAUGUAAAUACAUAAUAGAGGGUCCUUAUCGAAUUCUACCGCUAACUCCUUCAUGACAUUUACAUGUUUGUUAACCAAACUGCAUUGAAUUGGAAUUUUAAGACUGCAUAUGUGAAUUGGGAUUUGAAGAUGGCUUUUUAAGUGUAUUACAUCAUUGCAAAGUGAUAUGUCAUUGUUGAUGCAAGCCACCAUUAAUCGCAAUGUGUUGCAUCAUAAUAGGUGUCUAAACAUGCGAAAGGUUUUCGGCAGCUCAGUAGCAUAAAAGUAGAAACAUAGACAAUAUACACAAAAUGAACAACAAUUCACAAACGCACCGACAAGCAAUACACACACAACAGACAAACAAUAUACACAAAAUUGGCCUGCCAUAUACAGAGAAUAGACAUGCAAUAUACACACAGUAGACAUGCAAUAUACACACAAUAGACAUGCAAUAUACACACAAUACUCCCUUAACACACACAAUAGACAUGCCCUUGCCCACAAUAAUGAUGCAAUCUACUUCAGUCCCCAAGUACACCAACCAUAGGGAAGUCCUAUUGAAUAUGAUAUUAAACUUAACAGUUGUUCUUCCUACUAAAAGAAAGAAUAAGGUCCGUUUCCCCCCUUCAUUCUUACUUGAGUGAUACUUGUGGCCCCAAUAAACAUCCAAUUUCGGGGCAAUGAUAUUCCAUAUACAUGCAGCAAACUAUCAAUAAACCUUCAAUAAACCUUCAAGAAACAUUCAAUAUCGUUUCUAUAACAUGCGAAAUACAUGCAGUUACCAAAUAUUACAAAAUGGGUAAAAUGGUCUCAUUGGUGGUGCAUGCAACAUGUGUUGUGCGGGAGAACUUUCACAAUCUUUUAAACCGUGCAGUUAAAUGAUCAUUAAAAGAACAAAUAAAAUGACAAUUGAUACAACUAAUAAAACUAAUACCAAGUCCUUAAUGGACUUCAGCAUGUUCAGCACUCUAGCAUCAUACGUGUCAUCUUGAUGUUCUGCUUCAGCGGAGGUUACAUCAACCCAUUCGAAUCCAUUGCAACUGGUGGCUCCCUAAUUGCAGGCAUCAUAUAUGGAAUAUAAUUCUGUCAGAGUUAGACAUACGUUUUUUUUCACCCACAUACAUAUUCUUUAAAUUAAAACUUACAUAGGAGGUUAGACACUUCUAGAAUGGCUUCCCUCGAUUUUUGUCAGAUUUUGAAACCCGAAGCACCAUUGUAGCUCCACAAUACUGACACCUCUUUGUUUGAGCGGGAGAUGAAGACGAAGACAUGUUGAAUCUUCUCAGUUGUACCUCUUCUCACUCAGAUCUUCUCACUGAAACCUCUUCGGACUCAUACCUUCUCACUCAUAGUUGUCAUUUAUACCCCUUCGCUCAUAACCCUAAACUUGUCACUCAGCUCUCUCUCAUCUCUGCCCAAAUCGAGUUCUAUUUCUUUUUUUUGGGAUCAUUUGGUGGGUUGGUCACGAUGUCGACACCUGUACCGUCAGCAUUGUGACAUCUUUUAGCCCGAAAAGCAAUAUAAACUACUUUACUACCAAAUAUAUUUUCUGAAUAAUAAGGGGACACUGCUUCAAUUUUAUUAAUUUAUUUAUAUUUCAUUAAGGCAACUAGUUGGAUAAGAAUCCGUCAUUAUUGGUUCCAUUUUAAUAACAUUACUAGGGAUAGUUGGGUGUGGGAAAAUGAAAAAGUAUAUGAUGGGACCUUCUGUCACUAGUCAGUAAUCCAUCACAUUUGUAUCAAUGAAUUUGAUAGUGGGAUAAACCCAAAAAUGGCUAUGCAAAUAGCCAUUUAAUUAACUUUUUGACUGUCUGACUCUGUAUGCACCGUUAUGACGUUUUCCCUUCUUUUGUCUUAAGUUUUAAUUCACUUGGGUUCAGUUUCUUUCAAAAGGGUCAACUUGGAAAAACCCCAACUGGAAACACCUUUUCAAAACACUAUAAACAGAGGCUAAAACAAAACGUGUACCCCCAAAUAUUAUCAUUUAUCCCCUCUGCCACUCCUCAAAUCGUUCCAUUCCAAAAACUUUUCAAUGAAUUCGAAACACUUCACUACAGUCGGAGGAAAGAGAAGGUAACAUGUCCAUUUGGAUAUGCCCGAAGCCUUCAUCCCGGAGUCCGCUUGGUUUCAAGUGAUGUUAUACGUGGCAACCGAAUCAUCGGAAGAUCUCUUCCGUAUGGCAUCUGUGUGCCGAUUGUUCCAAACUUUGGCAAACAGUCCACAAGUGUGGAACACCAUUUCAAUGGCAAAGUACCCAGACCAUCCUAUCUGGUACCGUGCCAGACCUGCGGUCCAGCAUUUCUUGCAACAAUGCAGGGCUUGCGAUAACCCUGAGUCCAUAUUUAGAGAAGCAUUCGAAGGUUUUUCCAGGCACGGUAAGGUGGAAGCGUUGUAUGGGAUGCGCAUUGCAGCCACGACAGGCCAUAUGGAAGCGGCAUAUGUAGUUGGACUACUUGGUAUGUCCGGAAUUGGUCAGUCAAAAGAGGAUGCAUUACAAUUCUUGUGUUCUUUGAAUCAACGUAACAACAUUGAUAUGAAAGGAACCAGGGAUGCUUUGACAGGAAGAUUUCGCGGAGCAUUUGUUGCAAGACAUAUCGUAGAUAUGUUUGACUAUGGGAAGAUUAAGUUCAAUCGCUGCAGCGCUUGUAACAACAAUGAAUGGUAUUUUGUUAUUCCAGGCUGGCCUAGUGAAGACAAGAUAAAUCCUGCGUUGUGGACUUGUUGCAAUCGAUGCAAAUGGCACCGUGAGAGUAUUUUUUGGUUCAAACUGAUGCGUGAGUAUGUUGUGCGAGGGAAUCACGUAUUUUUGCAUUAGUUUUAGUACGAAUUUACGGUUUUGAUGCAUUGUGGACUUGCUUCUCUUCACUUCUAGGUUGGCUGGCUACGUUGUACAAAUGUUGUUUAAAUGUUGUUCAAAUGUUGGUAUUUUGUCAUAAACCGUUUUAUAUAUAAAUGUAUAAUAUUUAUUAUAUAGCGGAAUUAUUACUUACAUCAUAGACGGCUAGGAAUGACAUUUUACUGACACAGAUAUUUUGCUCACCGACCCCAAUCUUCAUAUUUGGUAAACGAAAAGUCAUGCAUGGAGUAAAUAGGUGUCUUUUCACCAGUGCUUGGGAAUGACAUUUUCCCACUUAGCAUAUCCGAAAGGAUUUGGUUACACGUUUCUUAACCUAGGGGAUUGAACAGUGAAUGACGUAGAAUAUUUUUUUUGUGUGGAAGGAGUACAAUGGAUGACUUGUAUAUUUCCAUAUUAUGUUUCAAAACAUCCCUUCAACCUAAAAAAUAAAAGAAUUAACAAAUUGAAGAACAGAGAAACCGAUGAGCACUACAAAUGGCCUAUUCGCAUGGAAAAUAAAAUUGUUUUCAACAAGUUGGACUAAAUAUAAUUAACAAAUGGACAGCCUAAAAAGUAAUAUCAUAAUAAUUAUAAUAAUUGUGGAUAAAUAAUAAUAAAAUACUAAUGUAGCAUAACCAUGAAACACGGAAUGCAGUAGGAAGAUGAAAUCGCAAUAAGUUCGUAAAAAUUUUCGAAUCGUUUUUCUAAUUUUUGUGUAUUUAGUUCUGAAUUUUUCAAGAAAAAAAAAUAAAAUAAUAAUUUAGGGUAAAAUGGGAGGAUGUGGCCAUGUUCAGUAACGUACACUUGUGCAAGUAGUCAAAAGUGACGGGCUGAGAUCGCGGCAGGUGUCAUAUUCUUUUUAAUUUUGGAAUGUUUUGUUAAAAAAUCUUUGAAACUAGGUAAUAAAUAGUAGGAAAAUCCUAAAAAUGGCCCAAAAAUUACUCCGGCCUCCUUUUGACGUCAUAAAACUAGGAGAACCUAUAAAUCAUUCGUCUCGCAAUGAAAUAAUCCAAAUUGUUUUACAUAACUCACUUUCCUCUUAACCCUAAGUAUUGAUGUUUGUUAACUUAAACUUCAAUAAUCUACUUCAGCAAGCAUCUCCCGUUAAUGUUCGGAAAUAUUUUUAAAAAUGCGUAACAAUGAAUCGGAGAAUUCAGCAAGGGAGAUGGAGUGUCAAUGAGUUCGUAGCAAUUUUCGGAAAUAAUUUUGAAUUUUUCUGUAUUUAGUUAUGAAUUUUCCAAGAAAAAAGGUAAUAAAAUAAUCAUUUAGGGUAAAAUGGGAGGAUGUGGCCAUGUUGACUGACGUACACUUGUGCAAGUAGUCAAAAGUGACGGGCUGAGAUCGCGGCAGGUGUCAUAUUCUUUUCAAUUUUGGAUUCUUUUGUUAAAAAAUCUUUGAAACUAGGUAAUAAAUAGUAGGAAAAUCCUAAAAAUGGCCCAAAAAUUACUUCGGCCUCCUUUUGACAUCAUAAAACUAGGAGAACCUAUAAAUCAUUCGUCUCGCAAUUAAAUAAUCUAAAUUGUUUUACAUAACUCACUUUCCUCUUAACCCUAAGUAUUGAUGUUUGUUAACUUAAACUUCAAUAACCUACUUCAACAAGCAUCUCCCGUUAAUAUUCGGUAAUAUUUUUAAAAAUGCGUAACAAUGAAUCGGAGAAUUCAGCAAGGGAGAUGGAGUGUCAAUGAGUUCACAGCAAUUUUCGGAAAUAAUUUUGAAUUUUUCUGUAUUUAGUUAUGAAUUUUCCAAGAAAAAAGGUAAUAAAAUAAUCAUUUAGGGUAAAAUGGGAGGAUGUGGCCAUGUUGACUGACGUACACUUAUGCAAGUAGUCAAAAGUGACGGGCUGAGAUCGCGCCAGGUGUCCUCUUCCUAUUAUUUUGGCUUUUUUAGUGCAACAAUCUGUGGAAAUAGGUAAUAAAUUCUACGAAAAUCCAAAAAAUGCCCGGAAAAUGAGAAAAUCAAAAUUAUUUGUACAUAACUCACUUUCCUCUUAACCCUAAUUCACGUUAACACAUAUAUUUCGGAUAAUAUUCGAUAUAUAAUUUGUAAUAAUACAAUAUUUAGUUUGACUAAAUACAAUAAUAUGUUUUGUUAUAAUAAUGUACAUCCAUAAUAAUUGCACAUGCUUUGAAUCCAUCAUUGCAACUACGCCUAGAGCUUUCAAGACGUCAGUUCGUAUUCAAUAAGUUGUCCACAUGCAACUGCACCUAGAGUUAUUAACACGUCAGAAGUAUUCAAUAAGUUGUCCAUAUGACGCCGCAUUGGGAAUCAGUAAUAUAUUUUCAAUCAUGUCCAAUCACAUUAAAUAAUGCCAUACUUUUUCUCAAUAACCUCACACAAGUGAAGCAAUUUUAAAACCCUUAGUUAAUAUUUGUCCUACUCUAUAUGAGUGAUUAUAUAAUCAGUCUGCAUUAUUUUGCACAGUAUAUGUUCACUUUGAGAGGGAUUCCACAAACAUAAAAUAUAAAGAAAGCAAGAAAUAGUAGGAGAUGAACCAGUACAAAAAACAAUAUAUAAAUGGUACAUAAUAAUUCCAUAACCUUGUCACAAACGCACUCACAAAAGCAUUUCCAUAAACCUUGUCCUAACAUAUAAUAAAUAAAGGCAACAUUGCAUAUGAUGCAACCAUGUCCAAAUCUGAUACGUGAUCAACAAAAAAUGGACAUGGCAGCAACAUAUGACUGAAGUAGAUGGGCUCUUUGCAUCUUGUGUUUUCGUAAUUAAAGACAUCAAAAUAUUAAGGUUUAAAUCUUCCAUAGUAGUUAGCAUCAAAAUAGCUUUGAAGCAGAGUGUAACGAAAAUUCCAAUUCCACUGAUUUGCCUCUGCUCAAACACGAGAACCAAAAUGGUUACUUCCCUUGCUGAGUAUAUUUGGUGACGUCGGAAACGGUAAUAGAUGACCAAUCAAACCCGGGUACGACGAGUUUUGCAUAGGAUCGGAAGUAGUCGAAUCCAGCUUGCAUCACACGCUUCUUUGACUCCACUGCAUUAGAUGAGUUCUUGUAUUUUUGAACAGCUACACUCCGAAGUCGUUUGUGUCUACGCUUCAUGCGCUGCAACUUCGCCCUAUCCAGAUUGGCCUGCCUUUUGUCAUCUUCAAUUUGGCCUUCAACAAAUUCCAAACGUGCCCUUGCCCUUUGGAUUUCAUCACCAAGUUGAAGAUGCCUAUCCUUCCAAAAAGCAACAACUCUUUCAGACUCAAAACUUCCAACAAAAUGGUCAUUCUGUCUAGGAAUGUGACAUUGCUUGUCUGGUGACUCACUUACGUGUCGAAGGCGGUCUUUGUUUGGAGGGGUGUUUAUUAUGCUCACAUCAAACUUGGUUAGUAAAUCCAUUCUUUGGGGGGAAUGAGUUUGUUUGCUUGAGAGAGUAUCGGUAGAUGGAGACAGAUUCGGUGGAGGAGUGAGUUUUGUGUGGAAGGAGAAUUUAUAUGAAAGGGGUGAUAGUAAUACCAAGAAAAGGGUUCCCGCCAAAAAAUAUUUGGUUGACAAUGUAGAAAUUAUUUUUUGGUCUGAUACAAUCUAAGUUUAAUCCUAACUAGUUUGGUUGAGUUAACUAAGUAGAUGUCACUUCCAUUGACUUUCUUUCAACCACUAUCAGUGGUGGAGGUGUAAGAAGAGUGUGAGGUUGACAUGCUUGAAAAGCAAAAGCUGACACCUAUUUUUAAAAAAUUCUCGCCAAAAAGUACAUAUGUUGACUAUACACAAGCUUUGGUAUGUUGGUCUAUAAACCUAUGUUCCCUUUCUCAAACGAAAUUGCAUAGGCAAUCCUCAUCCUCCCAAAACAAAGAGGAUAAUUCAAGCAUGUCAACCUCUUCAGGCGCCAACAACACAAUCGAAGAUGACAAAUUGGAGUCGCAGGUUCUAUUUCCACAUUGUACUCGCCGACCCCUUCCUUUUUCAACAUCAUUUGGGAGUGAGGGGGACUCCGAUGAUCCAUUAGAGGCAAUACAUGCAGUCAGUGGCAAGCUGGAUUAUAAUUCCAGACUGAUCAAUUCAUGGCACGAGAAAUGUGUUGACGAGGCAAUUUUGGCUGAUCUUAACAUUAGAGUGAACAAAGCGUUCUCCCAAAAGAACAAGUACUUGAAGCUGAGUCAUAAAAGGAAGCUGAAAGCUGAGGAGUUGGAUACAGUAAUGAAUGAUGAAAUGAAAGGUUGUUUGAUGAACCAUAUGCGAUGCGAAGAGCACUAUAGUGAACUGGAGUUGGCAUUCAACGAAGGAUUCGACAAAUUCCGAGCAUUUGCGGCAACUACUCAUACAAGUUAUGAUUGGAACUAUGUGUCCCCUGAUGUUGUGAGAGAGAUACUAGACGAUGGGGGUGACAUGAAUGAGCAUAAGCACGUCAAAGCUGCUCGGAAGAAGCCGACCGAUACGACUAAGUGAUUGCGGCUACCGCUGUUCAGUUGGUUGAGGGUGACCGUGGUAUUGCACAUAUACUCCCUUAAUGUCAUUAUCUAAUUUAAAUUAACACAAAUAUCAGUUUCAUUUGAUUCAUAUAUAAUUAUUGGGACUAUGUAUUGCAAGUCAUCAUGUGUUAUAAUGUCUAACAUUAUAUUUUGCAAAUAUGGAAAUAUUAUUCAAUAAGAAGUCAAUAUCACAGCAAUCCGGGAAUCAGUAAAUGCUCCUUAUCAUGUCCAUUUACAUUAAAGAGCUGGCGUACUAAUGUGUUAAAAAAAAAACUGACACGUGAGUCAUAAGUAACAUAACAUGUGCUAUACAUUGUUUAGUGAAUGGUUUUUGGUUUAUUUAUAUAUAAUAAAAUUCCAAAUAUUGCUGAAGAUUUAUUUCGUCUAUAUCACUAGGGAUAUGAGUGGCCAUAAGCAUGUGACACCUGCUAAGAAGAAGCUGACCAGUACGACUGAGUGAUUGUGGCUACCGUUGUUCAGUUGGUUGGGGAGAUCGUGGUAUUGCUAAGAGGGAGCACAUAAUAUGUUUUGCAAUCAAAUGUUCUUUUGUGUGUGGAAUUAUGAGUAUUUAUGUAAUUUAGUGUACCCUUUAAUAUUUUUCACCUAAGUAUCGAAAUGUAAUUAGCUGCAAUGUUAUGUUUCUUUUUUACACGCUGCUUUCUAUUUGCUCUGUUCCAACAAAGUGCUUCAAGUAUCCUUCAGUUACAAAAGUGUACAAAAUCGUGCCCCUAAUAACCAAUCGGAAAAAGUGGCUACUGUUGGAAAUGAUUACUGGUAAUGGAAACAACAGCUGGCUGCUGGAAAUGCUGCAUUAGCCUGAGGAUUUGAAAAAUGAAUCUCUGUUAAAACAUAAUUCACCCUAAACUGCCCAUUUUACAUGGUAAAAGUCAUUGCUUCUUCACAUAACUACAAAUUUCAUACUUGAUCAAAUGUCUAUGAAAAUUUAUAAAUAGGGAGAAGACGUAAAAUUAACAUAUCUCCAAAUUUCAUGGAAGAAUGAAACCAAGCAAAUUUUCAUUUCAAUUACCAGUGGACAUAGUAAGAGCUCAUCGGUGGACAUGAAAAAAAAAACACAAUAAUAUUCAAAAACUGAAUCUAUAAAACUUCACCUGAUCAUUAAUCUUCAUAACAACCACAUUUCGUCUAAUACAAAUAUAAAUCAUUCAGUUGGUCCGUGCAUCCUGUCAAAAUCGUCGAAUAAUGGGUCACUACGAUGUAUUGGAGUUGAUUCGUCAUUGUUCGACGGUGAUGUCCUGCAUAAACAUCAAACACAAGCACAUAAAAAUGUUACCUAUUCAAAUUUUAGAUGUUAUUACAAAUAGUGUUAGCAUCUUACGGUGUGUUCAAGGCUGGGCAUUGUCUUCUAUCAUGACCAAUGCGUCCACACUCCCGACAGUGUCUAAUCCCUCGCUUCAUUGCCUUUUUCUUUGCUCCCGUUACUCCUUUCGACCUUCCUUUGCACCUCACUCUCUUAGGGUCUUUCAUAUAUUGUGUUUGAGAGCUGGACCCUCCAACUUCGUUAUUACUUGGUCCAUCCUUCAGCAACUUCAACUUCACCUGCAAACUUUUUAAAGUCUCUGACAGUAGCUCACAUCCUUCUUCACUCAUUAAUGCAUCCUCAACCACAUCUGAAGCAAGUCGAGACAUUGUACACCGCUUUAUUAGAAGGCCAGGAUCUGCACAGUCUUUAAUUUCGUUUCCAUUUGCAUCUGACACCAAUCCAGAUUUCGCAGUUUUCUUCCACCUCUUCAAAAUAUAUUUAUCGGGCAUAUAUUCAAUCUGGUCCCUUCUGAACAAUGCUAGGAUGUGCUUGCAAAUAAUUCCAACAAAUUCAAAUCUUUUGCAGCUACACGAUGCGUGGUCAGAAUCUUUGACAUAUACGACUUCUGCCACUCUUGUUUCCCAAUUUUUCCUUUCGCUCACGUUAAAGACAACUUUACAAGCAUCCUCUGUUUUGAGCUCUAGGAAACAUGCUGUACUUUGUAUUAGUUCUUGCUCAAACUUUUGAAACAUUGUCCUUGUGUACAAGGUAGCCAUUUGUUUGUUCAUUGGCAUCGGUAGAAGACAUUGAGCCACUUCAAAUGCAUCUACAUGAUCAGCAACUAACUCUUUUUCACGUUGAUGAGAAAGUGCCCUCUCAAAUCGUAUUAUGAAAUCCAUCAACGAAUUUCUCCUUGAUAUGUAUUGCUUGAAAAAACCAUGAGAACCUUCCGCUCUUUGGCUGCUUGACAUUCCAGCGGUAAAAAAUUGUCGUGCGUAGGCUGGAACCCAAGAUUUCCUUAAAUCAAACAUUGAACUUAGCCAUGGAUGGUCAGUCAAACCAGCCUUUGUAACCACAAUAUUCCAUUUUGCAUCAAACUCAUCCUUAUUGUCAGUAUCCCAUAUGGCUUUCUGAAAUUCACGCCAAUACUCCUUAUAAGCAUCACGUGGUAACUUAACAGAGAACUUUGAUGUGAUGUGCCAUAUGCAAAGUCGAUGAAAUGUAGUCGGGAAGGCUAUUGAAAUAGCUAUGGCCAUUGCCGCAUCUUGAUCUGUAAUGAUCGUUUUAGGUUCCCCACCUGGCAUGGCUUUCUUAAACUCCUCAAACAUCGAAACAAACGACUCAGUCGUUUCCUUGCUCAAAAAUGCGCAUGCUAAGACAAUUUUCUGACCAUGGUUAUUAACUCCCAACAUUGGUGCAAAUGUCAAGUCGUAUCGAUUCGUGUUGAAUGUGGUAUCGAAUACAACAACAUCUCCAUAAAACCCAUACGCCCGUCUAGAAGUUGCAUCUGCCCAAAAACAUCGACUAAACCUGUCAUGCCCAUCUCCCUCAAUCCUGAAAUAAAAAGCCUCAUUUUUUUUCUGUUCAGCCAUAAAAUACUCGGUCACUAGUUCAACAUCGUGGUUCCUCAGCUUCCCAUUCACACUACAUUCAAGAUUGUAGAUAUCUUUUUUGAUAAAACCGAUUUUAUCCAUUCCUCCGGAUUGCACCUCGAAAAUACUUACCUUCUGAUGAAUGGGAAUAUUAACUGAACCCAACUGUUUUGUGAGUACUUUUGUAGAAUCUGAAAUAUGACGGUGUGAUCUCAAUAAAUGCAUUCUUUCUGAGGGUGUCAUCUUAUGAUUGUGUCCCUCUGCAAAAAGAGAUAUGGUAUACUUCUUGCUCCCAUUUGUCUUCACAACCACAAUCUUAGCUUUGCAAUUGCAUCUACUUAUUCCCCGUUGUCUUUUUCUCUCCCGAGUUUCAUCCUUCCUGUAUGCACCUUGUUUGAAACAUACAAAUUCUUUCCUCAAAAUCUCUUUCUUAUUUUCCCCCAAAAGCUAGAAUGAAGUCGAAUAUCAAAGCCAGCAAAGAAUGCAUAUCUAUUAUAGAAACUGUAAACGAGGUCAAGCGAGUCAAACUUCAUCCCAACUGCUGGUGUUUCAUCAUUUCUUACUUCAGGAAUAUAAACCCUCCCAUUAGCUGUUGCACAUUCAUCACUCUCUGAGCUCCCAGACAUUUUAUCUACGUAUAUUAUUGAUCCACUUCUAUAUUACUGCAUAGUAAUUAUUCAUUCAUUAAUCAGUCAUUACUGCAUCACAACAUAUCAAUGCAUUCCACUUACACAAAACAUUGCCCAAAUUGACACAAAAUACGCAUAGCCUAACUUCCGAUUACACAAAACGCAAGCAAAAUUUCAUAAAUGUUACGUCAUCUCUUGUGAAAUAAUCUGGUAAAAAUAACAUUAGAACCAACAUGUUCAACUAAGAACACAAAUGCAAUUCAAACCACCAAUUACAGAACUUCACCCAAUAUCCUCUCCAACUGCUUACUCCUAAUGUCAUUAAGCCUAAGUUUAGGUUCUUUUACCUACAUUUCAUAAUUUUCCACCCCGACCAACAACAAUGAACUAAGUAUAUUGAAUAUUCAUAAGGAAAUGACACAUUAUUGAUUCCAAAAAUGAGGCAUUAUUGAUGCCACAAAUGACGAAUUUCCCACCCUCACAAAAAAUAAACCUAACCCAAUAAAAUCAAUCCAGCAAGUGAACUUACCUCUCAAAAUCAAUCGGGAGCUCUGCAGUCAGUCAGCUUGAAAGAAUGUGGUGGACAUUAGAGAAGACUCUUUGGUAUUUGAGACUCCAUCUCUACCAAAAUCGAGGAACAACUGCUGCUGCGGCUUCUAGCUACAAAAAGAGAUAUGCUACUUUGCUUUCAUCUGGAAUCUUGUCAGCUGAAUGAAAAAGAGAAGGGGUUUUCACUUGAGCCAUAGAAUCAAAACAGGGCAACAGCUAGGUAAGAGCCAUUCUUCGUAAUACCCAGGAUACCAUAGAUCGCAGGCCUCCCAACGAGCUAAUGACAAUCGAGUGACUAUAAGGUUCGGGAGAUUUGGAUCCUUCUAAUUGUGGGUUUGCUUUACAUUCAAAAAGAGAGGAUUGUGUUCUUCAGUUUUUCACAGAGAGGGAAAGAGGGGAACAACUGAAGUUGGGUUUCUAACGGGUUAGAUUUCAACCCGAUUCUACAUGCACCCUCUUUUAAAAAACUCACCGUUGGAUGAAAUCCAACGGCUCUUACAUACCCCUCAAAAACACCCCUUAUAACUUUCCACUCACUAUAGAAGCCCUCUGAUAUGUCAACGGGUUUGUCCACAAGAGCCCAACACAAACUCAAGCCCAGAUCACUUGAGGAAGUGACUGGACCCCAUCAAGUUGCCUAAAGCCAAUCUUCCCUGAGCCCGCCCAAGCCUAGAAAAAGUAAAGAAAGGCAACCCAGGCUAGAAAGCAACCACACAAUCGUGGCCUGACACAUCGAACCAAUCACCUCACCUUUGAGAGGCCUAAUGACACAUGGGACAAGACCUACUGUGUGUCCCAUCAAGCGUGCGCUACUCCUAAGAGGAAAUACAAAAGCAUGAGGAUCCCACUAGCCAUCCAUUUCGAAGAUGCCACACCAUCACUAGACCAACAAUCCCACAUUGAAAAGGACCAAAAAGAGGUAAAUCGAAAUCCCUACAUGCUUAAGUACAAUAUUUUCAGUCAUUCCUUGAGAAGAAUCUGACCUAGACAUCGGAAGGUGGUUGGUGAAUCCACCACAACCACCACUUUAGUGACCCCUGCCUCUCUUCCUUUUCAGGAGAUCGGAGCCACCAUCAGCAAUGCCUCGCUGCAUCGAGUGCAAGGAAAAGGAGGUCUACAUAAGUAUGCUCUUCAAAACCUGACGGUGCACACUUGAGAAAGGAUUGACCUAAUGGUUUGAACGCACUAUGAUUGAUGGUGCGAAAACCAAGCAUCAACAAUAACUAUUGACUUACACAUAAAAGAAAAAAGAAUUAUUGACCUAAAAUAAAUCAAAUAAUUAGUAAAAGGAUAACAUAAACGACAUUAAAAAAUUUGAAAAUUGAGAACUACAAAUAUUAGCUAACUCAUCAUAAGCUUGCUGUAGUGUCAACAGGAUCUAGCCCAGUAAAGAAGGUCCAAACCCUCAUGAUACCUUGUAGUGUGUGUGUGAGAAAAUCCCCCUCCCUCUUUUUAACAUUUCAUAUGUAAGUUCUAGAUACUUGGAAUGGUUCAUGUAGCAAAGGAAUUUUAAAUUUGUUUUUGUUUGUUUGUCCUGUAUGCAAAGGCAGAGGGAGGCCUAGGCUAAAAGUGGCAUUGGGCCUCAUUUUAUCCCUUUAGUAUGUGUAUACUAUAUGGAGGAAGAUAAUAAGAAAAAAUGAUAAAAUUUCAACUUACACUUCCCACCCCCAAAAGAAAAAACAUUCAAUCUCUACCUGUGUGUACGAUGAAAUCACCAAAAAAAAAACUACAACCACAAUAAAACUUCUAGCAUUAGUCGUUCAAUGUAUGUUGAUUGGUUAUGAAAAGUGACAUUGUCCUUUUCUUGGUUUAUACUAGCUCUUCAUUUAAUGUAUGUUGUAGGAGAUGCUAAGUUCGAAUUUCACUUUCCUAGGAGGAAAAAAAAAUUGACAUAGAAGUAUCAUGACUUUGGUAUGAAAAGGCCACAAAUUAGAAUUUUUUAUUUUCGAAGUGUCUAAUCGACAAAAAUCAACUAACUAUUGAUUUUGGUAAUAUUUAUUUUCUCAAUUCAGAAACACAUCCCAUAUUCGAAUCCAUCUUUAGGAGCUAUUGUCCUUGAACUUUGUAUCCACUUGAGCUUUAGUUCCUCAACUCUAUUUUCGUAUGUAACAAAAGUGGAGUAACUUUUGUUACAUUUUUCCUUCAAAAUGUGGGGCAAAUUGGUCAAGGACGGAUCUACAGUUGGGCUGGAGUGGGCUCCAGCACAUUCCUGAUUUAGUAAAUAGGCUUAAAGGUGCAGGCUAACAUAGGAAUUUUAGAAACCAGCCUACCCUUCUAUGCAUAAGUCAGCCUAUCACUCUAAUAUAAAAAGAAGGCUACCCAACGAAAAUAAUAGAACAAAAGCCUCCAACCAUCUGACCAAACAAAAAACACGCCUCCAACCAAGAAGUAAUCCAAGCCAAACAGAAAAAAAAAAUUUAAUAAUAAUAAUUGCCUAAAAGCCUAAAAGCACGAGAGAAUCAAAGAAGAAAUGACUCUCUUCCUCUCCAAAAUUGUGUCAAUAUAUCUUCAGUGGUUCUUCAAUCUUAGUAAGUUUCUCUCUUUAUUUUUAUUUUAAUUGUUAUUGUUAAGUUUUUAUGAUUUAGGUUUUGUUUGUUAAAUUUUGAGUCGCGCUAGGCGCGUGAUAGGAAAUUUUUUUAAAACAAAUUAUAAGUUGCGCUACGCACGUGAUAGGGAAAGUCUCCUGUACGCGCGUAGAGAUGCCAGUUGCUAGUAAAAAUUCUGGAUUCGUCCUUGACAUUGGUCCUUUUAAGUGUUUAGUCUUUUUUUUCUUUUUUCUUUUUUCUUUUUCCUAAAUUAGUUUAAAUUAAAAUUUAAACAAUUAAAAAAAAAUAAAAAAACAAAAAAACAAAAAACUCAACCCUCAACCCUCUAUGCUCUCUGUCUUCUUCUCUAAUAGGGUUAGGAGUUUCUCUAUCUUUUUUCUUUCAAUUUUUGCUUUCCCUCUCUCAACUUCAAUGGCGUUGUGCAUGUGUGUCUGGAUAAUUUUGGGCGGGGAGUGGGUGCAGUGGUAAAAUUGGGUGGGCCCUGAUUUGGAAUAGGGCAUGUGGUUGUACGGACUCUGCAAGGUAGACCGUUGGUUUCGAUGAUGGAUUUUUACAUAACACCAGAAAACUUUAUGACCAAAUAAUAAGCAAUUAUAUAUACUGUGGACUUCGAUGAUGGACUUUUUUAAAUUUUUUAUUUUAUUUUAGAAUUAAAAAAGAUAAUAGGUAGUUGUGUUUCAUAAAAAUAGAAUUCAUUAUCUGAUUUUAUUUUUUAUUUUUUUUAUAUGAAAAGUGUGAAUUUAUCAUAUUAUCCUCAUUUAAUUUAUAAUUUCAAUUCUUAAUUUUUGCAUUAAGCAAUGACAUUUUCUGGUAUUUUAAAUGUAGAGAAAAUAUGGAGAGUGGAGAGGGAGAGAGCUUCGGGUAUUUUUCUCCCUCAUUUUGACCGAAAAAAGGUAACAUAAGUUGCUCCAACACUUACGUGUGCACAUAUCCAUUUAAAUAUCAUUAAUAUAUCGAUAAUGUUAGAGGCGAUAAUUUCCAACUCGUUCAUGCUUUAUUUGGACAAUAUAUCGCGAUAUUAUCGAUAAAUAAAUGAAAAUUUUUGAGAAAUGGCGGUUUCGCACACAAGGAGAUUCGAACCCCUCUCUUUCUCAUCCACCUACUGAGCCUUAUCCAACAUGCUGCAAACGAGUUUGUUAAUAAAGCUACGACGUGUAAUAUUUAUAUGGUCCUAAAAAUUUCUGCAAGCUAAUAUUAUCUAGGAUAAAUUUCAAUAUAAAAAAAUCCCUGAUGAUAAAUUUAGGCAUAUAUUUAAUGUUAUUUAUUAUUUUAUUAUGGAGUUGCAUUUUUUUUGGGUUAUAUAUUAUGGAAUUGUACAGUCCCGAUCUCUUGGACCACAGGAGUCCAAGAGAUUUGUGGUCACUCCCCGUUGAAUGUAAAUUCAACGGUUCACUCAAUCUUAAACUCCUUUUAAGAAACUUUUUUGAACCAUUAGAUUAAUAUCCAACGGUGAGUGACCACAAUCUCUUGGACUCCUGUGGUCCAAGAGAUCAGGACUAUGGAAUUAUAUUAUUAUUCACUAUUGAGUUUUAAUAUUGUUCAUUAUAUGUGAUACUAAGUUUUAACUUUAAUAGGAAUUCUUUCUAUGUGGUACUAAGUUACUUAUAUAUAUAUAUAUAUAUUUUUUUUUUUCAAAGUCAUAUAUCUUAUCAUAUGUAAUAUAUUGUAGUAAAUUAUUAUAACUAAAAAAUUAUGGUGUGUUUAAUUUUCUUCACUAAUUACUACAUAUUUUCUAAAGACACAGUGUUUGUCAGAUUGCUACAUAAUCAACUUAAAUCACUCAAACUCAUCAUGCUAUGCAUUUUAUUCCAAAUUUUUGUGAUAAAAUAAAAGAAAAUUGACUAAAUAAACAUCCUUUAAAGUUUCAAUAAAAAAAUUUCAAAUUUUUCUCACAAUUUCUAUAAUUUUAUUCAAUUUUUAUCGAUAUUUGUAUUAAUAUAUCCGUAUUUUUAGACACCGAUAUUUUCGAAACUCUCGAUAUUUUAGCCCUUAUUCGGGAUCAUAACUGCUAGAAAGCAUUUACUGUAUAUAUAUUUUUUGUUAAAUUUGUCAUCGUGAUCGAGUUAAACGAUCCCAAAAGAAAAAUAUCUGGACUUACAAGACGUAACCUAUAAGGGGAAGAGUGCCACAAUUUUAGAUAUUUUUUAUUUGACAACAAUUUUUCUUCAUGGAAGUAUCACGAUUUUGACAGUGGCUAGAGAGCAGUUUUCAAAGAGUUAUGGCUUGAGCAGUUCUGGCUGAGAAUAAUUCAAAUUUUUUUAUUCCUUCGUCGCUGUACAGGUGUGUAGUGAUGGAGACGAGACGAGUCAUGAUCGACAAAAAGUUUGAAGAAAAGAGAAACGUGGAAGCUUUAUGUAGGCAGUUUGGUCUAACUGCAUACUUAAAACUCCCAGAUUUAAAGCCAACACAGUAGCCAGUGAAAAAAAGUCUUAGAACAGACUAAUGAGAAAAAGUCUUGAACAGAUUAAUAAUUUCAAGUUCAAAUCGCUAUGACAAAGAAAAAGCCAGACUUACUCUUCGAAAAGAAACUUACAAGUCUAUAAUAAUAUAUAAAAGCUGGCAAUUUUAUUGCUUAUGGAACACAUACAAACUUUGGUCUUCAUAGUAAUAUUAUUCUCACACACACAAAGAAAACCAACAUCAACAUUAAUUUUUUAGUGACUAGACAAAUUGCAAAUUAUAUGCUAAACGUCGUACUUGAUUCCUAUCCGGUGCAAAGUUGCAUCAACUCCUCCACCACCCCAUCUCUCUCUGCAUCCUCUUUAUUUUUCAUGUUGUCUCUUAAUUCCAAUGCUUUUUUUCUCACACCCUCUCCAAUUUUAUCCACCACCACAUCUCUAAUCACCUUUGCUACCUCUUCACUUUGGAAACUGCCUUCUGCUGUUCUCUUAACCUCCACUCCAACACCCACCUCCUCCACUAGUCUAGCGUUGAUUGGCUGGUCAUAAAGCAUAGGCAAGGCUAUAAUUGGAACGCCAAACUUGAUGCUCUCCAACACUGAGCUCCAUCCACAGUGACUUACAAACCCACCGACACUAUAAUGCUCCAAUAUUUUUGACUGCGGGGCCCAGCCCUCCACUAUCAUUCCCUUCUCUCCCACCCUCUCUGAAAACCCUUCUGGUAACACCUCUUCAACCCUAGUACCUUUCUCUUCCUUAGGAAAUCUUAUAACCCAAAUGAAGCUCACUUUGCUAAGCUCUAACCCAUGAGCUAUGUCUUCUAUUUCCUCCUUGGACAAAAAGUACUCACUGCCAAAGGAAACAUACACAACUGAAGACCUCUCUCUUUUGUUCAGCCAUUUCAUGAUCCAUGUUUCCUCAUCAAGUGUUUGACCCAUGGGGUCUUGAACAAGAGGACCAACCGGAACAAUCUUCUUCUUCACUAAAUCAGAGAGAUAAUCAACAUAUUUUGCUUCAAUCUCUCUAGAUGUCUUUACCAAAAUGAUCUUACAAGAUCGAGCACAGCAUUGCUGUAUGCGGUCUCCAUCCUUGAUGCCAUUUGAUGAAAACUCACACUGAUUGUGGAACUUUCGAAUAUCGUAAUCCCGAAGAUGCAAAGGAAAUUUGGCAGUAGGAUUGUUGAGAUCGUGAGCACAAACUGAACUCAAGAGCGCAGCGUUCAUGAUGCUGAACUCUAUGGCUGGAAUAUUUUGCAACAAAGCAAGAGAGGGUGCCCAUGGUUGAAGAAAAUCGUAGAUGAGCAAAUCCGGCUUUAGGGUUUUGAGGAUGUUGGAGAAGUUGGGGCUGGCCAUGUCAAAGGUCUUUUUGAGAGUGGCCAUGAGAUGGGGAGGGAGGCCAUUGGUAGUGUGGUAAUGAGGUGGCAAGUCAUCAUGUGGAAGAUGUAGUUCCACAAAUUCAAUGCAAUGAGAGUAUUCUUCAGAGAGUUUUGGUUUGAUGGAGCUGAGAUUUACGGGUGUGGAACAAAUAAAUAUGUAAAAAUCCUUGUUCUUAUUGGUGAGCUUCUUGGCUAGCUCUAAGAAGGGAGAUAUGUGGCCGUGAGCUAGCCAUGGAAGCAUAAGAACUCUGACCAUGGUUGGAUUUUGAGAAGAAUCCUUUUCUUUUUUUCUGACUCUUUUUCUUGAGGCACUGGUUGGCCUAUGGCUUCCUCAUAUAUAUAGUUUGUUUUCUUGAGAAGGAUGAGUCAUGAGCCACAAACGUGUUGUGUCAGUAAUUAAUUCUAAUUUCCGGAUUUAGAUGGGAUUUUCAGUUCAUAUCAUAAUAGAUGUUGGGUGGUGAUUUUCCCACUUCCAUUUUGUCCACUUACACUCUUUUUUAUUUUUUAAUGAUUUUUACUAUACUAAAAAAGAAAUGUGUAAGUGAAUAGAUGUUGGGUGGUGAUUUUCCCACUUCCGUUUUGUCCACUUACACUCUUUUUUAUUUUUUAAUGAUUUUUACUAUACUAAAAAAAGAAAUAUAUAAGUGAAUAAAAGAAGAACAAGAAAAUUAGCUCUCUAGAAGGAUAUAAAAAAUCGUACGAAAGUUCCAGAUUGAAUGGGAUGUACUUGAGAUGAAUUCGUAAUUAUUGGCUCUUCCAGGGAUAGACUCAGGCAAUUCCUUUGACUUAUUUUCUUGAGGAACUGCGUGACUAUUGGCUAAUAUUUUGUUUUAAUUUUUUCGAGAUAUUUGUAGUGAUGGUAUGCUUGAUAUACAUCAUUCAAAUCAUAAUAGAAGUUAGUAGAAAAACGUGCGAAAGUUCCAGAUUGAAUGGGGACGUACUUGGGAUGAAUUCGUUGGAAUGUUUCAGAUUAUUGGCUCUUCUAUCUAGCGCCAGACUUAGGAUUUCAAAUUUGAUUGUGCUAAAUUUACUUUACAUAUAUAAACAUAUUAAGUAUAUAAAAAAUUCGACAGUACGAUAUAAUUUCAUUGAUAACAGAAAAUAAUAAUACACCUAAUUAAGGGGGCAUAAUAAACCUUACUCCUAAAAUAACACUAUAUAAGUUGUACAUUUCGAGUCUUAAUAUAAUUAAAAUAAUUCAUUAUUGAUUCAUUAUCUAUAUGAGUUCGGUGACAAAGUCGACAGCUCUAAGAAACAGUCAUAAACAAUUUCUUCUAUUUUUCUUUUUUUUUUCCACGGGGUGUGCAUUCUUUUUUUUCUCUCCUUUUUUUCCCUAUGUGUAGAAAUGUGCAGCUUGUUAUAAAAUAACCUGGAAUAUAUGCGGAUAUUGAGCUACACGUAGAAUAGAUAAGACACAGCUUUUAACGAGGUUCGGCUAUGCCUACGUCCUCGGAGAGCAGCAGCAGUAACCUUUCACUAUAAAAUAAUAUGGCUACAACUUUAGUGUUUACAACAUAUGUGGCUCACUGAAUUUUCUCUCUAGGAGAAUUUCUCUCUGCUUUCUCUUCCUUUCUCUUUUUUUUUCUUUCUUCUUCUUUCCGUUUCUCUUCUUAUUUAUAGGCUGAAAUAAUCACUAUUCAUCACUAUUCAUCACUGUUCACCCGUGACAGACAAACUCUAUCAAAGCCGCCAAAUGAACAGUAAUGAACAGUAAUGAAUAGUUGUGUGAGCUCCAUAUCAAGACUUUUACAACACUCCCCCUUGGAGACCACAUGUCCCUAGAUUGGUUGCCUCAUUAAAACCUUGCUUGGAAAAACCCAGUGGGAAAAUCUAAGCGAAGGAAAAAGAGUACAACGUGCAUAUGUCCUAUGUUAGAGGACUCUUGAAUGCUCCCCCUGAUUUUGCAUGCUCCAACUUGAUUGCUUGCAGAGUUGUCGUAAUCCGAUGCCAUGUACUAACUUUUGGAAUGUAUAUUUCGGCAAUGAUUUAGUGAAGAGAUCUGCCAGGUUAUCACUUGAGCGGAUUUGUCUGACUUUGAUUUCUUGACUCUUCUGGAGCUCAUGUGUAUAGAAAAACUUUGGUGAUAUGUGUUUGGUCCUGUCACCCUUGAUAUAUCCUCCUGUGAUCUGAGCAAUACAAGCUACAUUGUCCUCAUUCAGAAUUGUUGGAGUGUCUGUUGUUGAGGGUAGGGCACAUGUGCUUCGGAUGUGAUGGAUUACCGAUCUUAACCAAACGCAUUCACGACUGGCUUCAUGGAGGGCAAGUAUUUCUGAGCGAUUGGAAGAUGUGGCCACUAAUGUUUGUUUUGUUGAGCGCCAUGAGAUCGCAGUUCCUCCACAUGUAAAUACAUACCCAGUCUGUGAUCGUCCUUGAUGUGGAUCAGAGAGGUAUCCUGCAUCAGCAUAACCAAUAAUACUUUGGGCGUUGGUCGAUUCACUGGAAUAGAAUAACCCCAUGUCUGUUGUCCCACGAAGGUAUCGUAGAACAUGUUUGAUGCCGGUCCAAUGUCGCCUUGUUGGAGCAGAACUGUACCUUGCUAACAGAUUUACUGAGAAUGAUAUGUCUGGUCUGGUACAUUGUGCUAGGUACAAUAAAGCACCUAUUGCACUAAGAUAUGGUACUUCUGGAUCAAGGACCAUUUCAUCAUUCCCUUUUGGACGAUAUGGGUCUUUCUUAGUGUCAAGCGAUCGAACGACCAUUGGAGUGCUAAGUGGAUGGGCUUUAUCCAUGCCAAACCGUUUCAAUACUUUCUCAGUAUAAGUUGAUUGAUGCACCAAAAUUCCAUUAGCACUAUGCUCAAUCUGCAAGCCAAGACAAUAUUUUGUCUUUCCAAGAUCCUUCAUCUCAAACUCACGUUUGAGAUAAUCAACAGUCUUUUGAAGCUCUGCAGAAGUUCCAAUUAGAUUCAUGUCGUCGACAUAUACUGCCACUAUCGCAAAUCCAGACUUUGAUUUCUUAAUAAACACACAUGGGCAAACAGGAUCAUUUGUGUAUCCUUCCUUCAGUAAAUACUUACUGAGACGAUUGUACCACAUUCGUCCAGAUUGUUUUAGCCCAUAUAAUGAUCUUCUCAAUUUAACUGAGAACAUGCCCCGUGGUUUGUUUCUGGCUGCUUCAGGCAACCUGAAUCCUUCUGGAACUUUCAUGUAUAUAUCUGUAUCCAAUUCUCCAUACAAAUAUGCGGUAAUGACAUCCAUGAGUCUCAUUUCAAGUUUUUCUGAAACCGCCAAACUUAUUAGGUAACCGAAUGUAAUUGUGUCCAUUACUGGAGAGUACGUUUCCACAUAAUCAAUUCCAGGCCUUUGUGAAAAACCUUGCGCAACGAGUCGCGCUUUAUACCUUGAGAUCUCAUUUUUCUCAUUGCGCUUUCUUGUAAAUACCCUCUUGUAACCUACAGGGUUCACAUUGGGUGGAGUUGGACUAAUAUGUCCAAAAACACUCCUCUUUUCCAAAGAAUUUAAUUCUGCCUGGAUUGCAUCCUUCCACUUGGGCCAAUCUUGCCUCUGUGUACAUUCAUUAAUAGAGCGUGGUUCAAUAUCAUCAUCUUUUAUGAUUUCAGCAGCCACUGAGAAUGCAAAUAUAUCAUCGAUGAUCAUCUCAUUUCUACUCCACAAUUCAUUAGUGGACGUAUAAUUUAUGGAGAUUUCUUGACUUUCAGGUACGGUUGCCACUCCAGGGGCACUUGUUUCACCAAUGACGUUUUCCUUGUCAAGAAGUACCUGUCCCUCUUUGGGGGCAUUUGAAUUAUGAAUUGUGGGCUCUCUAUUUAUUUCAUUUGGAUUCAUUUUGUCCAUCAACUUCCUCUUUCGAGGAACUGAAUCCUUUGAGCCUAGUGGUCUGCCACGUUUUAGGCGUGCAGCAGAUGAACCAUUUGCUGGCACAUUGCUUUGUCCAUUAUGGACAUCAAUCCGUGCGGGUGCAUUUGCAGCUGGGAUAUGAGAUUUCGUCACCUUUGCUGCAUUAUUAAAUGCAUCUGGCAUCUGAUUUGCAAUACUUUGGAGGUGAACGAUCCUUCUCACUUCGUUUUCGCGUUGAGCAGUAUGAGGAUCGAGAUGAGACAAUAUGGAUACAUUCCAGGAUAAUUCAUGUCGUUUUUCAGGAAUGAGCUUGCCUUGUUCUUUAGACACAGAUUUUUCUCCACCUAAAGGUGGGAAGAUUGUCUCAUUAAAAUCACAAUCCGCAAAUCGUGCGGUAAAAAUAUCACCCGUCAGGGGUUCCAAGUAUCUGAUGAUAGAUGGUGAAUCAACACCAACAUAAAUUCCCAAUCUGCGUUGAGGGCCCAUCUUAGUACGUUGCGAUGGUGCAAUAGGCACAUAUACCGCACACCCAAAAAUUCUUAAAUGUGAAAUGUUUGGUUGAUUUCCCAAUACGAGUUGUAUUGGAGAACCUUGAUUAUUAGCGACUGGCCUCAAUCGCACAAGCGAUGCUGCAUGUAAAAUGGCAUAUCCCCAAGCAGAAACUGGCAACUUUGUUUUCAUUAGCAAAGUGCGUGCUAUCAAUUGAAGGCGUUUAAUUAAAGCUUCUGCCAAGCCAUUUUGAGUAUGCACAUGGGGAACAGGAUGUUCAAUAUCAAUGCCUAAUGACAUGCAGUAGUCAUCAAAAGUCUGAGAUGUAAAUUCACCAGCAUUAUCGAGUCUGAUUGAAUUAAUGGGAUAAUCUGGAAAUUGGGCUCGUAAUUUAAUUAUCUGAGCCAAAAGCCUAGCAAAUGCCAUAUUCCGAGUAGAUAAAAGACAAACAUGUGACCAUCGGGUAGAUGCGUCCACCAAGACCAUAAAGUACCGAAAUGGUCCACAUGGGGGAUGAAUGGGUCCACAAAUGUCCCCUUGAAUUCUCUGCAAAAAUGAUGGAGACUCAACAUCAACCUUUGGUUGUGAUGGUCUGAUCACCAACUUCCCUUGUGAACAAGCUUGGCAAAAGAUGUCGCUUGAUAACAUAAUGUGUUUAGUCAACAAGGGAUGUCCUUUAGAGUUGGUGAUGAUCCUGCGCAUCAUGGUGGAUCCAGGAUGACCCAAUCUGUCAUGCCAAAGCUUAAAAGCAUUUGAGUCAGUAGACUCUUGGUCCAUGACACUAUGUGCCUCAAUUGUCCGUAUGGUUGUGUAAUACAACCCUGAUGAGAGCUCACAAAGCUUUUCCAGUAUACGCUUUUGGGUAUCACUGGAGGUAAUACAAAGAUAUUCCAUGUUUUCCUCUUUCUUUGUUUCAACAUGGUAGCCAUUCAAACGUAUAUCUUUGAAACUCAACAGAUUCCUUCUGGAGUUAGAUGAAUACAAAGCAUCUGGAAUGGACAAUAUUGUUCCAUUCGGUAACAUAAUUUGGGCUAUUCCUGAACCUUCGAUCAGAUCUGCAGGACCUGAUAUGGUUGUUACCUUUGCUUUUGUAAGCAUUAAUUUUGAGAAAUACUUCCGAUCUUGAAAGAUCGAAUGAGUAGUUGCGCUGUCUGCGAGACAAAUAUCUCUGCCAUAGACUUUGUUUUGAGGGCAUCCAUAAUUUACAUCCAUGCCACCAAAUAAGUAAAAUGAGCUGGAAUAUAUAAAGAAGACAACAUUACCACUUUUAUAUAAACAACACUUCAGCUAAUACAAAUAGUACAUUAAGGAAUUUAAUCUAAUUCGGACUUAAUAAAGAAGACAACAUUACCACUUUUAUUGGAUUGAAAUUUAAACAACACUUCAGCUAAUACAAAUAGUACAUUAAGGAAUUUAAUCUAAUUCGGACUCAUAACCUUCAUUCCCUUUUUUAGUAACAAAAUCAGAAACAUCUAGAUGCGUCUUGUUUAGCUUACGUGAUAUUUCUGAUGAGCCAUUUGUGGCUGGCGGAGCAUGAUCAAUGUAAUUUAUCUCCACUUUCCUGUUCUUAAGUGAAGCUUGAUAGAGAUCCGCCAAAUGCCUGGGCGUACGACAUGCGCGCAUCCAAUGUCCCCUUGCACCACAUCUGUGACAAGGGCUUUCAACAUUUCUAGGCACAUGGCUCAUCUGUGCCUUUCCCUUAUUACGGGAUGCAUUUUUGCCAUUCAUGGAUGGACCGCUCCUUGGACCUAAAUCCUCUGAACGAGCACCACGAUUUUUUCUACUUCCUUGCCAGUGGCCACGCUUGCCCCCUCGCCCACGUCUGUGGAUACUGCCACGAGAUGAAGUAGCAUUCACUUCCUGAGAUGUAGCAUUUAUUUCAGGAAGUGGUGCUGAGCCCGAUGGGCGAGAUUGGUGAUUCUUUAAUAAGAGCUCAUUAUUCUGCUCAGCUAACAAGAGGCAAGAUACAAGUUCCGAGUACUUCUUGAAACUGCUAUGUCUGUAUUGCUGUUGAAGGAGGACAUUUGAAGCAUGAAAAGUGCUCAGAGUUUUUUCGAGCAUAUCCUCCUCAGAUAUAUUUUCCCCACAUAGCCUCAUUAAUGAGGUAAUUCUGUGCAUAGCAGAGUUAUACUCGGACACUGACUUGAAAUCUUGAAAUCUCAAGUGGGUCCAUUCGUAUCUAGCUCUUGGGAGAGUCAUCGUUUUCUGGUGAUCGUAUCUUUCACCUAUAGCUUUCCACAGAACCAACGGUUCAUCAACCACCACAUAUUCGCUCUUCAGCGCUUCAUGGAUGUGGCGGCGAAGAAAAAUCAUGGCCUUCGCAUUCUCUUCAGGCGAAGCAUCAUUCUCAUCUACAAUUGUUUGUCCGAGGCCAUUGGCUCGUAGAUGAAUUUUGGCAUCCAGGACCCAUAAUAAAUAGUUGUCCCCGGAAAGGUCCAAGGCAGCAAACUCUAGUUUUGCCAAAUUUGCCAUCCAAAACUUUAGGCUCGAGAUCUGGAAUAUUAAGCCACUUAUUAAUAGGAAUUUCAGGUCCUCAUUAUUCAGGUAUAUUAAUUGAAUAUUAAGCCACUUAUUAAUAGGAAUUUCAGGUCCUCAUUAUUCAGGUAUAUUAAUUGAAGAUAAAAGUAAAGUGUUAUGAAUUUGCUGGUAUGGACGAUAAACCCGCACCAUACUUUAAAUAAAAUUAAAUGUGGGGUUAAAACCACCACCGAAUAAAAUAAGAAAAGUUAGUAUUAGUAACGGUCUCCCACUGAUAAUAUGUUUAGUAUUACCAAUGGUCCAUUUUUGUUAAUGGUUAGUAAAUGUGCGGUAAAGUAAAUGUGCUUGUAUGGGCACUAAUUCUGCUCCAUUCAUUUAAAUAAAAGUAAAGGCGUGGACGAUAAACCCGCACCACCCUUUAAGUAAAUAUUGUCGUAUGGGUAAUAAGCCUACACCAUACCAUAAAUAAAAUUAAAUGUGGGGUUAAAACCACCACCGAAUAAAAUAAGAAAAAAUUAGUAUUAGUAACGGUCUCCCACUGAUAAUAUGUUUAGUAUUACCAAGGGUCCAUUUUUGUUAAUGGUUAGUAAUAGAGAAGCAGAUAGAUAUAGUAUUGAGUUGGAAAAUUUUCAGAAAUAAAAGGAGAGACUAUCGUGCUGAUAACGUGUUAUAAAAUAACCUGGAAUAUAUGCGGAUAUUGAGCUACACGUAGAAUAGAUAAGACACAGCUUUUAACGAAGUUCGGCUAUGCCUACGUCCUCGGAGAGCAGCAGCAGUAACCUUUCACUAUAAAAUAAUAUGGCUACAACUUUAGUGUUUACAACAUAUGUGGCUCACUGAAUUUUCUCUCUAGGAGAAUUUCUCUCUGCUUUCUCUUCUCUCUUUUCUUUCUUUCUUUUCCUUUCUCUUUUUUUUUCUUUCUUCUUCUUUCCGUUUCUCUUCUUAUUUAUAGGCUGAAAUAAUCACUAUUCAUCACUAUUCAUCACUGUUCACCCGUGACAGACAAACUCUAUCAAAGCCGCCAAAUGAACAGUAAUGAAUAGUUGUGUGGGCUUCAUAUCAAGACUUUUACAACACAGCUUUUGUUUUCUUCCUUUUUUUCUCCACAUGCAGUGCAAAGGAUUUCUUGAGAGGAUAAAUUAUUCAAUUGGCUGGGCUAUAAAUUUUUUUUUUUGGGCAGCUUAAAAAACAGCCAUAUGAGUGGUGGCUUUGGUUAGUCAUGCUUAUGGUCCGUCCCUCCCUGGGCUCUUCUGCAAUAUUGCAUGUGCAUUCAGUGUUCAGGAAAAUCUGGAGCACACAGUUAAUCUAACCUCCUUGGCAAUGACAAGUCCCCCAAGCUGAAGGGUUUUAAUCGGGCACAUUUUUGUACUACUACAUGUGCAUGGAGAGAAAUUUCUUGUCAUGUUAUCCUCGUUGUAUUUCAAUUUCACAUGUUUCAUGCAUACACAGUGGCGGAUCCAGGAUUAUGUAAACAAGGGGGCUUAGUGUAAAAGUUCUGAAAUUUUUCUACAAAGAAAAUAAUGCUAAAAAGAUAGAAAGAUAGUACUUCCAUUCAUAAUUCAUAACAAAACCAAUAAUACAAGUUACAAUUGUCCACGACGAGUUUUCAUAUUCUGAAAACGUUGCAUUAUAAUUUCGUUAUCAAUACAAGCAAAAACAUCUCUCUCAAUGUAAACAAUCAAGCUAUCAUUCAACCAUUGAUCUCCCGUUCUGUUGCGAAGUGGAUUUUUAAUAAUAUUCAUAGCGGAAAAUGCCCUCUCCACUGAUGCAGUUGCAACCGGUAAAACCAAAGCCAAUAUAAGAAGCAAAUACACAAAAGGAAAUAUUUCAUGCAUUCCUUUCUCCACCAUUUUUUCCGCAAGACUACUAAUCCCUUCCAAUUGAGAAAAAUCACUACUCGAACGCAUAUGAUGAACAUAAACACCAAGUUGAUCUUCAAGCAUCAAUAAGUCUCUAUCCGAAAAAUCAUAAGGAUAAAAUUGAGCAAGACGAACUAGCUUUCGUUUGUCAAAAGCCACAAAGUUAUUUUUUGGACUCAAGCAUGCCAAACAAGUAAGUAACUCAGUACUUACCUCGUUGAAGCGAUCAUUUAAUUCCGCAAGUUGCCCAUCAAUUACAUGAAUAAAGAUCUCCACACGAUAACGAUGAUAAUUUGUCUUCAUUGGAGCAUUACGCCGUGAUCUCCCUGGAAUUACAUAUUCCUCAUCCAUGGUAGGAACUAUAAUAUCAUGUUUGUAACAAAACGAGGAUGCUUGCUCAACCAAUUCUUCAAACUCAUUAUCCCUCAUCAACUGCAGGUUUUCCUUGCAUGUUUUCACUAAAUUCAUUGCACUCACAAUGUCUUGAUCUUUCUAUUGCAAUGCUAGAGACAAAGUGUUUGUUAUUCCCAAUAUAGCUUUCAUUACAAAUAAGUGAAACACAAACUCAAAAGAUUGUAUUUCUCUCCAUAACUUAUAGGCUUCACCCAAACUAUCAUUAGGAUUAUCAUCAACAUGAUAUUUGAAGCACAUUCACCACAAAUGGGAACAUAGAAAUGAUACUAAUCAACGUACCAUAAUGUGAGUUCCAUCGUGUAUCGCCGGCACGUUUGAGAGUCCUUUCUUGAUUUAAGCCCCGCCCCGUUAUAAGACAAUCAUCUUCAAAAGCUCUCACAUGCUCUUCUUGGUAUUGUGCUCUAAGUGCAUCGCGACGCUUACAAGAUGCUCCAACCACAUUAACCAAACUAUUAGCCGUUGUGAAAAAAGAGUUGUUUAAGGACCCGCCCCGAAUUUUUUCCAAAACCCGAGACGAACCCUUUAAAAUUCCUGACAUCACUCCGAUGCCAGACCCAAAUACUAAAGACCGAGACUUUCUGCCGAAAAUUCGGCAGAGUCUCCCCUAUAAAUUGGACGUUUCUCAAAAUUUCAACCUGCAUAAAAACGCAUUUAAUAUUCCCAACUGGCAGCAUGCACAAUAUAAUUUCAUGCAGUUCACAUAAAUUGGCCUUCGGCCUUCCAAUAAUUCUCAACAGACUACCAAACAAUUCAAUUACCAAAUAUGACUAAUAUUUAGUCUGCGGCUGCACUAAUAACCUUAGGCUGCCUACGUACCCUCCUUGAGGGAUCAAGCCACACGUAGUUCUUCCCUAAAACUCAAUUCCACACAUCGGCGAUACCUUAUUUCAUUUCCCUGUAUUUCACAAAUCCUCCCCAUACGCCGGUACAAACAACGCCACGUAUGGGGCCUGUCAACACGCCGGAUAACCUACGCCACGUGCGACCAUGCCAUACUAUCAUAAUAUCUCCCCAUACGCCGGUACAACCAACGCCACGUAUGGGGUCUGUCUCAACGCCGGAUAACCUAUGCCACGUGAGACCUGCACAUCAUAUCACAAGUCUCCCCAUACGCCGGUACAACCAACGUCACGUAUGGGGUCUGUCGACACGCCGGAUAACCUACGCCACGUGCGACCUCAACACAAUAUCACAUAGCUCCCCAUACGCCGGUACAACCAACGCCACGUAUGGGGCCUGUCUCAACGCCGGAUAACCUACGCCACGUGAAACCUGAACAUAAUAUCACAAAUCUCCCCAUACGCCGGUACAACCAACGCCACGUAUGGGGCCUGUCCGCAACCGGAUAACCUACGCCAUGUGGGACCUCACUUUCACUUGGUGGUACUUGUAGUAAAUCCAACAUCCGGGGAGGUACCUACAGUAGUGCGUAUAGCACUCCAAACUGACAUUCUAGACUCUGUUGUACCCUUGUACAACCAUAUAUACUUAUAUGAAUAAUUCUAAUAGUGUAACCCUCCACAAUAGUCUAGCUCCCGAUAAUCUCCCCUGGAAGGGUGAGAUUACUCCGGGAGACUCAUGGUCAACCAAGGGUCAAACUACUCUAACCCUGGUCAAACGGACCUGCAAAACCCACGACCUCCAAUUUCUGAUCCGAAAGUCUCUAUGGGUUCUACCAUGUAUAGGACACUUGUCCUGCGAGUUUGGUUCAGAUCGGAAAGUCGGAUUUCUCACGAUCGCACGAUCUGACGGUUAAUAUAAAAUAUAAACUUUAAAUUAUUAUUCGGAACAUCCGGGGCUCCGAUUCACGAUCCGUGAAUUCCUACACGAUCCUAGAUUAACAUAUAUUAAAUUUGAGACCAUCCAACGGUCCCAACCUAUCGAACUCGGAUAACGCACACUAUGCGAUUAUCCGUUCGACAGUCAAACGACGUUCGAAUUGAGAUCCGCGAAAUUCUACGCACUCGUGACAACCUAAGGAUCUCAUCGGAACACAUCGCUACUUUUUAUACAGUGCCCACGCGCCGCCGCACGCGCCGGCAGCGCGUGGGUGCCCAAAGCGAUAACGCUUCGGCGGAAAAUCUCAAAACCACGGCUCUAAACUCCUACCCUAGGUAUAAUACCCUAUUUGGAGCCACUUUUGUUCUUGGACCUACCCCAAAAAGUGGCCGGAAAUGGCCGAUCACGGCGGCCAAAGUUUUGGCCGAUUUUCAAUUCGAAAAUGGAGUUGUCUACGCUAAUAAUCGAUCUAAUCCUACACAACAGGCAGCUAGAGCAUGAAAAAUAGGUGAGAAACCAUACCUUGCUCGUCGGAUUUGGUGGCCGGAGGAGGGAGAUCGAGCUCCUUGAAUUUUGGGUUAAAACCGGUCGGAUUUUUGCAUUUUCCAGCGAGCACGGGUGGUUCCAGUGGCUGAGAUUGGUCGGGAUGGAAAGAGGAAGAUGGCACGGUUCUUUUGGGACCGGUGCCACCCCGAGUGUUGGCCGGAUGCGGCGGCGGCGGCUCAAAAACCGCCGCUGUGAACAGUAACAGGGGGGGCUGUUCUGCGCGCAGGAGAGAGAGAGAGAGAGAAAAUCUGAUUUUAUAAAAAAUCCCAUUUCGAAAUAUUUAUGAUUGUGCCACUGGGCUUCUUUUGACCAUAUUUCUCUCGUUACAACUCCGAUUCGAGCCCACUACGUGUCUAUGAACUCGUCUCAGUACGACCUAUCUAAAAAUACAAGUCACGGUCCCAAACUCUCUCCGGUUAAAAAUAUGACUAAAAUACCCUUAAUUAAUUAAAUAAUUAAAUAAGGGUUAAAUUUGGGGUUGGGGUGUUACAAGUUGACAUCAAUGUUUUUCUUUGCUACCGCAACAAGAGCUAGUUGAAGUUGAUGAGCAAAGCAAUGAACAUAAAAUGCACAAGGUUGUUCUCUCAAAAUCUUUGUCUUAAGGCCAUUGAACUCACCUCUCAUAUUGCUAGCUCCAUCAUAACCUUGUCCUCGUAGCUUGGAAAAGCUCAAAUUCGCGGAAGAAAAGAAUUCAUCAAUUGCUUCCUUUAGUGCACUUGAAGUAGUGUCGGUUACAUGUUGAACCCCUACAAACCUUUCAAUUAUUUGUCCUUUGUCAUUCACAUAACGCAACACCAUCGCCAUUUGCUCCUUUAUUGAAACAUCACGUGCUUCAUCCACCAUUAUUGAAAAAUAUCUAUCUUUUACAUCACUCAAGAUAAGAUCAAUGGUUUCUUUGGCACAAGAAUUGACAAGAUCUUUUUGAAUUGAAGGAGCUAUUAACUUUAAAUUUCCCAGAGCAUUUUCCAACACAACGGCCUUAACUUUUUCAUCAUGAUCCGCAAAAAAUUGCAAGAGCUCUAAAUAAUUCCCUUUAUUACUUGAUUGUGCACUUUCAUCAUGACCACGAAAAGAAAUCCCUUGCCGCAACAAAUACCUAGUGCACUUAAGUGAUGCAUUCAAGCAAGUACGAUAAGCCGUGCGAGCUUGGCUUGUUUGCUUGAUCACAAUUGUUUCAAUGUGUGUAGUUUGAUGCAUCAAAUUGUAAGCAACUUCUCUAGCUUGGUUGUGAACACUACCAACCGGUCCAAUAUGAAGGUUAAAUCUUUCUUUCGCCUUCUUCCAAUUAUUGAAGCCUACCCCAGUGAAUGCAUCACCACCCACUUGAUCAAAAUUAGAUUUGAAGAGAUAACAAUGAAGACAAAACGCAGCAUCUUUAGCAAUACUAUAUUCCAACCAAUCAUGAUCAUCAAACCAAUGAGCAAUGAAGCGUCUAUUAAUUCAUGAUUGAUUAGUUUGUGGGAAUUUAUAACUUCUAGGUUGACAAGGUCCCUUUUGUAGAUAUGCUCUUCGGAUCUCAUCCCUAAUAUUAGGACUAUAAUCCGCCAUUCGAGUUCUUAGUCCAGGGUCUGCUUGAAGAUUAGCUAAGAUCUCAUCUACUUCAAUUGGUCUUGCAUUUGAACUACCCGGAUUAGACAGAGAAGAACUAUCCGUAGAUAAUUUUCUUUUAAAGAAUCGUUCCAUAAAUCUACAAAUCAAUUAAUUCAAUCAAUCAUUAAUUUUUAUCCAAAUUAUCAUAUGAAUAUGAAAAUUUCAAUAACCCACUCUCAAUAUUCAAUAUACUCCCUAAACUCAUAUCAAUCAAUAUUCAAUAUACCAAAUUAUCAUAUCAAAUAGCAAUCAAUAUUUAAUAUACCCAAUCAAUUCAUAUUAUCAAUCAAGCAUAAACUCAAUCAAUCUACAUUAAUAUGAUUAUCACUAUGAUUCAUAUCCAUAAAUUUAAUUACAUAAAAAAAAUAUCAAUAUGAUUCAUAUCCAUAAAUUUCAAGCAUAAACUCAAUCAAGCAUAAACUCAAUCAAUCAAUAUGAUUCAUAUCCAUAAAUUUCAUUACAUAAAAAAAAAUAUCAAUAUCAACAAUAUAUAUUAUCACUAUAAUUAUUAAUAUCAGAUUUUCCAUGCUUACUUACUUGUAGUUUAAAAAAUGGGCGGCGGACGGCGGUAGAAGGUGGUGGUGAUCGGCACUGGGCCACCGGUGAAGAGUUGAUGGAGGUUGUCCAAGGUUGGGAGGUUGGGAGGUUAGGGUUUGAGAGGAUGGGAAGAGGGGUUGUGGAAUUGGGAAUGAAAGGUUGGAGAAAAUGAAUCUGUGCAGAGCUGCUGUGCGUGUGUGCUGUUCUGUUUUUUUUUUUUUUUUUUUUAAACCUGGCCCAAAACGACGUCGUUUUGAGGCCAGGUCAAUUAAAAAAAAUUUGACUGAGCCUUGACCAAACGACGUCGUUUGGCAAGGCUGGUUUUAAAAAAAAAAUUACGCGCAGCGCAGCUGCGCAGGACAUUUCGUUGGGGCAUUUCGUCGAGCACAUUGUGUGCAUACAAGGGGGCUUCCAGCAGCUGUCCAAGGGGGCUUUCAUGGACUCCCUUGCCAAAUUUCCAGCCUUCCAAGGGGUCGUCCGACCCCUCUUGUCUCAACGUGGAUCCGCCACUGCUGCAUACACCUACUCGUUUUGUGUUUUGUGUGUGUGUGUGUGUGUUUUUUUCUGAGUGCUUGAGAGAGAACAUGAGAAAGGAGGAGGGAGGAAGGAGUAACAAAAGUGAAAACAAAAAUUAAAAACUGAAAUAUAUUUGAAAUUAUUUUCACUUUUGUUACGAUUUCCUCCUAUAUCCUCUCAUCUCUCUCAAUCUCACCCUCACUCUAAUUCUCACUCUCAUUUUCCUUUAUACUCUACCAUAAAAAAUGAAAAUUAAAAAGUAAAAUUAAAAUGGUUAUCGAACAGGCUAUUUUUCCACGUCACAUAUGACAUAUCAGUUGGUGUGAAAUGAACAAUCAUUUUUUAUCCCGAGAAUCUUUUUUAUUUUUUAUUAGGUUUUUUGAGAAUCGUUUUUACGAUGGAAUCCGACGACCGUUUGCCAUCUGGAAAAGUUAGAGACCUCGAAAAUGAGGUUUGUGUUAUAUUUAGUAAAUGCAGACAACUACAACACCACUUGUUAAAUGCAAAGCUCUUGAUUUGUUGGGUGAUAAUAAUAUUAAUUCACGCGGAAUAAUGAAGACCAUGUAAAGAUUGCUCAAAUUGCACGCAACUGCACCAAGCAAGAUUCUGAAAGCCUAAAACAAAAGGACAAAGUACAGCUAACAGUCAAGCAUUUGAAAAGUUUCAAAGGAAGAAACUGUAGACAAAGAAAUUUUGGAAAUUCGUGUUUACAAAAACCAAAGUUAAUCGAUGGUUGUAGGUGGUUUUAGUUCCCUCGUCACUUGUGGGGACCGAAAAUCAAAUCCCACGUAGUAUGGCCAAAUUCAUGUGGCACGAUUUGUAAGAUAAUAUCUUGUUUUAACCAUGUUUGUGAUCUUCUAAUGGCAGUUUACAUUGAUCUAGGAGUAUAGACUUAAACAUUAUCUGCAGUUCUUGUUAAAAGAGUGUUUGAAUUGAAAAUAAGAACCUUGAGAAUUCCUAAUUCCAUAUGGAUUAAAAUUAACAACCAAUUUUAAUGCAAACUGGAUUACUUAAGUGUUUUUUAAUGGCCAAAACACUUAAGUAAAUGCAUAUAAAUAGAGGUCCAUUCCCUAACAGUCAAUUACUCUACUCAUACAGAAAUCUCACCACAUUGGAGAGAGAGCUCAAGAACUGCAUUGGAGAAGAAUUUCUAUCUUACCUAUUGAAGCUAUGUCGAAUCAAGGUUAGUGUUAAUGAAUGAAGGCAUGACAGAACUUACAUGAUUAAAAGCAAGUGAAGACGUGGAUUAGUUGGACUUCCCUCCCACUAGAGAAGUGUGAGGUAGGAAGGGCAUAACCCAACCAACGACUACCCACGAUUAUGAAAUGGAGAAUGGGAUGCGCAAAGCCAGGGAGGUGGAGUUGAACCCAAGGUCUUGAAGCGCUAGAAAAGCCCAACGGAGCCUCAACCAAAGGUACGAAAAAUUUGAGCAUUGAGAGUUCACUGAACAAACACUGACUUGAGCGUCAAAAUAUCUUUUGUAAUUAGCAAUGCAUUUGAAUAAGAGGAGCCGGAAUGGGCGAAAUUAUACUUGGAUGGACUACAUACAGAUAAGUACGACAUAUUCACUUUGAUGAUUUUAUAACUAAAUGCCACUAAUUUACAUAGUGCUUAUUUUAAAUUUGGAUGUCCAUCUAUCUUAUAAAUGCACAUUGCAUUAGACAUUCAAGCAUCAUAAGUUUUAGGUAUUGACUACACUGCAUUGAUGUAAUCACGCCACUUCAUCGUGAGAAUUGUUCCGUGGACUAGGCCACAUCAUUGUUUUUUAGGCAUGUCAAUAACAAACUUAUGUGCCUCUCACAACAAGUAGAUUUGGCAUUCGUGUCGUGUUUGCAGUAUUUGUGUUAACCUACUUUUUUUAAUGGGUUGACACGACACGACCCGUUAAGAAAACGGAUGAAAAAUAUCAAACACGAACACGAAAUCAACCAGCAAGUAGUUAUAAGGAGCAGCGGAUUAAUAUUAAUGGAUGUAGUACACCACGAAGAAUGGAAUCAUCAGCCUCCAUACUAGUUCAUAAAAGAUCCAGCCGGAGUCUUGGAUCAAGGGUUCAGAUCCAAAUGCAUACAAGUUUGCUCAAUGAUUUGCAAGAGGCCAUUGUUGGUAACAACCCUCCUGUGCUCAUCUUCCUUGUCAUUCCCCUUGCAAUUGUGAUUGAUUUUUAUCACUUCAGAAGAGUAAUCACUUUAUUAUUACCAUCCGUUUUUCAUCUCAUAACCAAGGAAUCUAGGUGGCACAGAGAGAGAGAGAGAGAGAGAGAGAGAGAGAGAGAGAGAGAGAGAGUAGGGGGAAUGGGGGAGAAAGAGACGAAAGAGAGGAAAGAGAAGGAGAGAAAAGAAAAUAAAAAAAAGAGAGAGAUAUAAAUUUAUAAAAAUGCCCUUGAGCUUAACGGGUUAACAUGUAUUUGCGAAUUAACAUGACACGACCCAUUAACUUAACGUGUGGCUAACGGGUCAACACGAUAUCAACACAAAACGAUAACUCAGACCCAAAUACUAAAUUUUUUUUUACGAAUUCAUGUCGUAUUAACGGGUCUGUACGAUAUUACUAUGUCUAACAACAAACAUUUGACUUGUUAUAAGAUAUUUUAUCAAAGCCGUCCAUGCGACAAAAGUAUGCUUAUAUCAUGCACACAACAAGUGUGGGCUUGGGGCAUCUAUGCUGUUGUGCAAAUGUUAAUAUUUGGAAUUGCCUAAGCACACUUGUCAAAAUUUUCUUGCUUAUGAGAACAGUAGGUUCCUAUUUCAUGUAUUUAGAAUUAGUUGUUCAAGUAUCAUGCAGUUACUGAUCGAUGUAUAAUUACAUAUUAUUUUGUACCCUUCUAUCUUAUGAUUUCGUUAUUUUUUUAAAUUAAACUUGUGUUUUUAAUUUAUUUUGUGUUUGUUUCAGUGUUUUAAGCUUUAGGACUUGUUGAGGCUCAAAAAAUCUAAAGCUGGGUCAAAAUAUAUUUCUAGUCAAAUACAACACUUAAUUGGGGAAGAAGCCCGAUUGGGGUAUGCAAGAGUUUGUCGUGUACGCUUGCACAAGUUAUGGUCCACGUGCCACACCAAGAAAAUACGUAAUCCACUACGCAGAAAGGUCGUAACAAGCCCUUAAAAUGUGGCUCUAUGAACCCGUGCUUAUAAUCCCAUUGAGUGCCAUUUGGCCCGGCUAUAGCCUAUUACAAUAUGGCAAAGCUCGACCACAAGCAUGCCAAAUAACACGCAACGCCAAGUGAAAAACCUUUAUCUUGGCAUCAAGCCACGCUACAAGCUUAAGUGGGUCCAAACUACACGAAUUCUUGGGGCUUGCUGAGCGGGUUGUGGUAUGGAUGAUUACGAGCUCAUGAGGCCCAUUUGUAAUACUCCAAAAAAAAAUUAAAAGUGGACUUUCGUAUUUCAGUGAAAAAUAAUAAUAUUACAGUGAAGAAUGAUUAUGGGUAUUUUAUCAAGUGAUUUUGGAUUGAGACUAUUGGAUUAAGUGUGUAAUUUCAAGUUGGAUAAAAAUGCCCUUAUGUAACAUCUUGUGAAUUUUUCAAAAGACAUUUAAGAAAUUGAGGUGAGACCAUUAUGAUUCUUAGGUAGUACGAUAGCAGUCGACUCAACUAACACGUAGGUAAUCGUUUCUGAUUUUUGGGCCAAAAUGACCAAAAUACCUAUAUGUGUUAAAAUAACCAAAAUACCCUUGUAGGGGAAGAAAAAAAAAAAAAAAGGAAAUCUGCAACGUGUAUGCAAAACCAUACUCUUCCAUUCAUUCUUCCCCCCUUCCUUAUACAUUUCCUUCAAAAUUUGAUCUUGAUAUCAAUUAGGGGUGAGUUGUUCACCUAUUAAAGAUGAAUCAUCUAGUUUAGGCUAAGUGUUAUGAUUUCUUAAGCUAAGAUAAGAUUGUAGGAUGAAGGAGAUGGGAGUUGGUUAAGGAAGAGAAUGUAGAAUAGGAGGAAGAGAAGAAAAAUUGCCAAGGCAAGUCAAUUUCGGAUUUUUGAUUUUUGAUUUUUUUUUUUUACUUUGUGUUUGCGUGAUUCUAGUCCCUUGAAGAGUGUUUUUGAGUCACUUAAGUGAUAGGGGAAUUGAAUUGGAAGAGUUUGAAUUUUCAUUUUCGGGUUAGGUGGAUAGAGCAAUUUUUCAAGUGUGGGUGUUUACGAUUUUGGUUCCAUUUUGAAUUUUUGAUGAGUUCUAAUAACAGGUAUGAAGUUUAGAAGAGUUUUAGAAGCUUUAGGAACAACAUGGGGGGUGAUAGAAUGGUUGAAAAUGACUUAGAAUCAAAUCUGGAGUUGGGCUCACCCAUCUCUCACGAAAUAUUGAGUACAACCAGUAGCGUGUGGGGUGAGUGACUUGUGGGAUCGGCAAUGGGUUGAGUAACAUGCGGGUUCAGCACUGGAUUGACCCGCAUGUUCACUUGACCCUUCUUCCUUAUCCUCAUGUUCACUAUUGGCUUCCCUAUGGUCCUCACAAUUCUAUGCCCCCAAAUUCUCACUGUUUACUGUAUCAGGGUCCUUAGCUUGGUCUCUUAUAGUUAGAGCCUCUUUAUUCCUACCUAUUGGAGUUUCUUCAACACGAGCCAUAUAAGUGUGUUCCAAGUAAAUUACCACCACUCUUUGAUAGGUAAGUGAUACUAGAUCACAUCAUUCAAGUACUUGAAGUAUCCAUUUCUAUAUCAAGUUUCUCACGAUACUCUGGUUAACAACCUCUUGAUUCCCUCGACACAAUUAUUGUCAAGUUAAAUCUCUACAAUAUUAGAACUCCUUCUUAAAUUUUGAUUUCUUCUAAUUUGAUUACUAUGAUUCGUCUAGUCUUCAUAAUCGAAUCUCACUAGAUGACAAUGUUGAAAACCUUAAUCCCCAAAUUUUAACUUUAUUUCUCAAAAUUUUAAUUCAAUUUGUGUGAGGGUGGGUUCUACUUUGUUGCAUCACCCAUUGAGAUUGGUAGAAAAUGGCCCACGAGGUAGAAAUUCCUAAGGGAUUUUUGUAGAAAUGUCAUCUGAACUUGGACAUCAGUUUUAAUUUGUCACCGUAAAGAAAAAUUUAAGCAAAAUGUCACCUUAAGUUUUCAAAAUCUAUGAUUUGUCACUUGACUUUAACAUCAUCCAAUUUUCCAUCCAUUUUGAAGGGUAUUUUAGUCUUUCCAAUAUGUAAACCCUUUUUUUAAUAUAAUUUAAGGUGAAAAUCAUAAAUUUUGAAAACUUAAGGUGACAUUUUGCUUAAAUUUUUAUUUAAAAUGAUAAAUUAAAACUGAUAUAUAAAUUCAGGUGACAUUUCUACAAAUAUCCCAAUUAUUAAAACAUCUUACUCAUGUUAUUAAUUUUGACGAGGUGACAGUCGAAUAUCAAACAUUAAUUUGACCUCAGUUUCGAGAUCACUGAAAGAGACUUAAGGCGAAAGAAAAGAAAAACUAAAAAGGAAAUGUCCCAAUUGGACCAAAGACAUCAUUUUUUUUUUCCAAGGACCAAAGACAUCAUUGGCUUAUUGCUUUUGCACCGUCAUUCUUCAAAUGGUCGCGACAAAGAAGCUUCCUCUGUUCAUUCUCGACGGACCCAACUCCCUCUCGACAGUGAAAGUAAAAGUCCCCGUUAGGGUUCAUCAUUGAUGGAGCUGUCCUUCUAAGGUAAGCCAAAUUUCCUUUUGUGCAAUUUGUCAUCGGGAUGCUCUUCAAUUUCAUUCGUUUGAUGUUAAAAUCUCUGUAAUUUGAAGUGAUUCCCUGUCUUUCAUGAUUGCAGCAGCUCAAUUUUGAAGUUGGGGGUUCUGUUUAAUCUUUCUUGAAAAUGAACAAUUCUAAUCAGGACACGCAAGAUCAGAGGUAAGGAUCAUCUGGGCAUCUCUCAUUUCUUUGGUUUGGGUUUUUUGAUAUGAGGGUUUCAAUGUUUGAGGUCCUUUAUCUCAUAUGGAUGUGUUAUACUAUCUCCGUCCCUAUGUUGGUUAAUAAUUUUCUUUUCUGUAGCAUGCCUUUCUACUUUUUGGGUUUGAAGAGAGCUGAAGAAAAGCAAAGAAAUUGGAGCUGAUUUUGGGAGACCAGGGGGCCUUUUGCCUGGCUGGGCUGUCCGCUGGAACUGCUUUUACGCCUAUCCAUUUAUCACCCAUCCCACCUCUUGGAAUCUGUUCGUCGAAAAAAAUCCUCUCCGAACCCAAUAUCUUCCAAGAGGCCAAGAAUCAAACGUGCCUCAUCAACUAUAGCACUCCCCCUCAUGUGCCCUCGAUUGCUCGUCUGCUGUCGGUGGUCAGGUACUGUCGUGUAGCAGCGACGUCGUCUAUCAGGUACUGUUCUCGCC